rnacentral:lncRNA from 1 species
AGGCACACACCUAUACUCGAAUUCAUAAUUUCAAAUUUAGUGUGAAAAAAAACUUAUUCAUCUUAACAUCGCUUGAUGAUAGAAAUAAAUUGUACACCAGCAAAUGGGAUACAAUGAAUAGUACCCUCCAUUUUCUCCAAAUAAAGUUGGCGUUCUUUAUUGGCGGCUAACAUAUUCUAUUUUUCUAUUGAAUAUAAUAACAAUGGAAAAGAUAAUUACACUCUGCACGAAAUUUGCAAAUAUAGUACUCUAAAGAUCAGAGAGAUGUGCCUGUCUUGGAAUCAUUAUUUCUAUGCAAUAUAAAUUACUUAAAAUAUAUUCAAAGUAAAAGGUCCAGAGCAGUGUGACGGCCACGCGGCUCUUUCGUACAAUAGUAAUUUCCGAGAUGCCCCUUAAAGUAAAAAAAAUAUCCAAGUGGAUAACUUAAUCUUUGCUAUAAAUCUGAGCCUUGUUCUUGCUGUCUUUGUAUCAAUUUAGCUAACCAAUCUAGAAAGAGACAGCAGCUAUGGUGUCCGCUACUUCAAGUUUUCUACUUCUUGUUCUUGUUUCUUCUUCCUUCUUUGUAAUAGAAGCCCAGAUACCUGCUCCAGUGAAAGGUCUUUCAUGGUCAUUUUAUCAAACCAGUUGCCCUCAGCUUGAAUCCAUUAUUAGGAAGAGGCUUGAAAAACAGAUCAAAGAUGAUGUUGGCCAAGCUGCUGGCUUACUUCGCCUUCAUUUCCACGAUUGCUUUGUUCAGGUAAUUAAUAUUGAGAAUGGAGUUUAAGAAAAAAGAAGAUUUUUCCAACAAAUACUAAAGUACUCUAGAAUAUGCUAUGAUAUUUCAACACAGGAGCAUGUUCUUAAGAGUACUGUUGAAGAGUUUCUAGAUAUAAAAUGUGUCAUUCUUUUUAAUACAUAAAAAAAUAAUACAAGAGCGCAUUGAUUAUGUUACUUCAAAGUAGAUUAACUCUAGUAUUAAUUUUGAUGGAUAUGUAAUGCAGGGAUGUGAUGGUUCAGUGUUGCUAGAUGGAUCGGCAGGAGGGCCAAGUGAGCAAACUGCAAUUCCUAAUUUGACACUAAGAAAGAAGUCAUUCAAGAUAAUUGAUGAUCUUAGGAAAAGGGUUCACGAUGCCUGUGGGCAAGUUGUAUCUUGCUCUGACAUUACAGCCAUUGCUGCUAGGGACUCUGUUGUCUUGGUAAGACCAAAACUCCCAUUUAGUCCUUGUUUCUUGGUUUAGAUCGUACUAGUUUACUAGGCAGAAACUCUUCAUUUUCAUACCAAAACUAUAUGUUUUGAAAGAUCAUAAUAAGAUAUGGAGUUCAUUUACAGAAAAAGGUGAUUUUCUUUUUUCUGAAUUUGGGACAGGAUAAAGGUGAGAUAAUGACAGAUAAAAUUUUUAAAGACUGAAGGCGUCAUGAAUGAUAAAAUUUGGGACAGGAAAAAGUUGGUUUUUAUCAUUAAUUUCAAAGAACUCGCCCCCCCCCCCCCCGUCUUCAAAUUUAUACUUGUCAAAUCUCUCUCUCUCGUCUGUUUCAUAUCCAUUUUUUAAAAUUUUGACUUUUAUAUAUUGUCAUAAGCUAGACUUAUUGGAGUAUUUACUUGUGAGCUUAUGGUCAUUUCAGACUGGUGGACCCAACUACAAUGUACCCUUAGGAAGAAAGGACGGACUCAACUUUGCAACAGAACAGGCAACCUUAGACAACCUUGUUGCACCAUUUGCCAACACCACAGUCGUCCUCAGUCGCCUUGCAACUAAGGGUUUAGACGCCACCGACGCCGUCGCUCUAUCCGGGGCCCACACCAUCGGAAUCAGCCACUGCACUUCCUUCACCGACCGUCUCUUCCCUAACCAAGACCCAACCAUGGACCAAACAUUCGCUAACAACCUUAAAACCAGUUGUCCAACCGCGAACUCCAACAACACUGUCGACAUGGAUAUCCGAACCCCUAAUUUAUUUGACAACAAAUACUACGUUGAUCUCAUGAAUAGGCAAGGGCUUUUUACUUCUGAUCAAGAUUUGUUCACUGAUAGAAGGACUAGGGGAAUUGUCGAGAGCUUUGCUAAGAACCAGUCACUGUUUUUUGACAAGUUUGUGAUUGGUAUGAUUAAGAUGGGACAGUUGAACGUGGUGACCGGUGGAAAUGGUGAAAUCAGGACUAGGUGUGAUAGGAGGAACAAGGAUAAGAAGGUUGAUAUUGCUACCGUUGUUGAAGAUGUGGAGGAAACUUUCUCUGCUUUGUUUUAAGUUUAAUAAUCCUUUGUUUUAUCUCGGGGAUAAAAGAUUUUUAAUGCUUUUUUGUAAUAAUAACGAGUGUCUUAGCUAGCAUAAUAAUAACCUUUUGUUUGUUAAUGUAAUGUAAGAAUAUGUGUUUUGGAUCUUAUUUUUUCUUCUGAAAAAGUUUGCUAGCUCCAUGGCAUCAUAAUUAUGUAAGUAUUUAUUGUUUACCCGUAAAGCGGUAUAGUUGAUUUUAUACGUGUUUUCUAAACAAAUGAAUUUAUUUGAUCCUAAAAUAGUAAAAUCAUCGAAGAAUUAUUUAUGCAAUACUUAAGUCUUAAGAUAUAGACAAAAUAGCAUAAACAAUAGUUCCGGGAACAGAGUUUUCGGGCACAACAACAAUAAAAUAAAAAAGUAAUAAGAUAAGACUGUAUUGAGCUUUGUGUAGAAUGUAGCGUAAAUUUGCCAGAAAAUUCGUGUCCUUUACAAUGACAAGUGAGCUCACUAUUUAUGGCUUCUUCCUCAAAGUGUACCGGAUUUUCAAAGACCAAGAACAAGGCCGAUGACUCUGCUCCUCCAAUAGUGGGCUCCAUCAUCCCUAGAAGUCUUAUUACCACAAAAGACUUCGAAAAGAAAUUUUCUACUGCUAACUCUCGUACAUAGGUCGUCAGUGGGUACCCUUCUUCCAUACGUCCUUCUAGCAUUCCUGUUGUGAAGGAAGACUGUCACUGCCAUGACUUGGAAAUUAUUGCUCCUGAUCUAUCGGAGCGAGUCUCCCUACCGAAGGAGGGUUUUACAUAUUUUUACACGUAUCCCUUUACUUUGGGUGCGUCCUCUUUGAGCGGAGAGCUUGACUCCGUGAUUGUGGAGUUUUGCUUCCGCUACCAAGUGUGUUUGGCACAAGUAAGUCAUUCUGUGUGGAGGACGGUUGCUUGCCUUCGGCGUUUGUGCCAUGAGACUGGAGAAGAGCUAAUCUUAGCUCAUAUGAUGAAUCUCUAUUCUCCCAAAAUCUUCCGCGGGGGAAUGAUAAACCUCUAUAAACGUGUCCACCAUGAUUUGUUGUCUAGCAAACAAUGACCGUGGGUGGAUGGAACGGUUCGUUGCAGCUGCCACCAACGACAUCAUUCCGGCAAUGGCUCCAUCCUUUCCGGCCGCUUGGAAACACAUUCGUAAGCUCUUUGUUUAGUAUUUCCUUUUACUAAAUAUUUUUCUAUAGUCGUAUUGAUCCUCCAUCCUUCGCCUGGUUUAACAACUCGAUGGAUCCCACCGGUGGUUGAAGGUUUGGAAAUGUGGGUACAAAAGAUUAUGGACGUUACGAUGCCCGAGACUCGCUUGUGGAAAGAACUGCCCCCUAAAUACUGGUGGAAGGCCUAGAAUCGUGGUAAUUCAAACUCACCUUGUUUCAAUUUUUCAUGUGAAGAACUUGAUUGAUCCCUUCUAACCUGUCUAUGAAAUUAGGUCUACCCGCGAGCUAUGUUGAUAUUCCCGAGAAGAAUGUCUUGGCUGAUCCUGCCGAUGCCCCCGAGUCAUCUCCGGUAGUGAUGGUGACUGGCCCUCCUUCCGGGCCGCUCAUAGACACCGUGACGAUCGACGAUGAUGAAAAAGCUAGUGAUGAGGGAGCUUCUCUACAUAGAAGAUGACAAUCCUUAUCAUCUCAAUAGGAUGCUCGACCUGUUGAGAUAGUUACACCAACCGAGGACGAUGCCUCGGCACUUUGGGGAGAGUUUGAUUUGGUAUAUUAUGUCAACUCCCAUUUUCGGGCCCCAAUUGUUGUGCCCGGUACUGCUGGGCUGAGAAUCCAACAACCAGCACUACCUUUGAUGCAACUGCUUCUCACUCUUCAACUCCAUUAGCUUCAUCUCCAUCUUCACCAACACUACCAACUGCUACAUAACUUCCAUCUUCAUCCACUCUUCCACCAGCAAUUGCUACAACAUCUCCAUCGGCCGUACCUGACCAUCAAUAAGGUGUUCCUCUUCCACAAAACCCUGUUCAUGGGAAUUUAGGGCAAAAUUAUGCUGCCCCUUCUGAAGAUCCGCAAAGGAGGAGGAAUGUUACUCUUUCGGUCUCUACCGGAUGUAACUUGCUAUCCCGAUGAAUGGAGCUUGCUAAUUAUUUGAAGCCUUUGGCUUCAGAGAAAGACUAGGAAAAGAUUCUGGCACUCUUGGGAGAAUGUCUGUUGAACAACGCCAUGCACAAUGCUGCAGCAGUACAUUCCUUUCUUCCUUUAUUACUCCUUCUAUUUUUGGGUAUGAACAUAUCCUAAAUUUUACCCUUCUUAGUUUGUGGGGCAACUUUCUUGCUUUUGAGGGCCUUGAGAGGUUGAUUCGUGAAAAGGAAGAGAUUACCUCUGCAUGGGAUCAGCUUUUGGCAGAGCAGGAGCAACAUAUCGCUCGCCUUUCGGAACUGGAAGCCAAAGCUUCUGAGGUUGUUGUAUUGGAGGCUCGUUUGUGGCAAGGCGAGCAAGAAGUGGUAACCCUUAGCCAAGAAAUUGGCAUGCUGAGGGUUAGAUUUGACGAAGCCAAGGCCAAAUGGGCUGAAAUUCAUAACACAGUUCUUGUUGCAACCGAACAUGAGACUGCCUCCGCUGAAAUAGUGAUCAACUUAGAGGUAACCUUGAACUCAAAAAUUGAAGAGCUUCCUGCUACGGGGGCGAAACACGCCUAGCUGGAAGAGACGUACAGGAAAACUAUCGAGCAUAAUAGGCUUUUUAGUUCAACUGUACGUGACCUUGAUGUUAGCUUUAAAUCUGCUAUGUCCUCCCGGGAAAACCUUUCUAUCGAGGUAACCCAACUCAAAGAAGAACUUAACUGCGGAGCGAUUUCCCUCGACUUUGAGAAAACUUACGCUAUGUACAUCAUGAGAAGAAAAACCUUGGAAGAGGCCAAAGUUGGUGUCAUUAAUUUUGAUGCCGAAAUUGCUAAGGCCCGUGAGCUUAAGUUAGCUGCUAAAAGUGGACUCCCAGCGAGGUCUGAUGCACCUAGUCCUUCUGGUUCCAUUUUCGAGUUCUGGAGAACUGAAGAAGAAUCGGAGGAUGAUGAUACUAAAGGCCAAACUGGUGAAAAUGUUGAGCCAUCGGUGCGUCUGUCUACUUCUCCCGGGGGCGCGGACACUUCUCUUCCUCCUAGUUUCGGAGAUAAUACAGUUUAGCUUUUCUUUUCUUUUUCCAAUUCUUGUACCUGUGCCGUUUUAACUCUUUUUUUUUUAAAUAAAAGCAUCUUUUGCUCAAGUAUUGUUUGAGUCUUCAUUUUGUUUGAAUAUUCAUGCAAGUCUUUAAUAUUUGCAUUUUCUUCCUUUUGCUUAAGAAUUUUGCGCAAGCUUUUCUGUUUUGCGUCUUAUUAUACGAAGCCUUGGGUGUAUUCUCCCCGAAAGCAUUUUCGGCUUUGAGCAUCAACCCUUUUUUGUGAGGGCUUUGAUAAGUAUUUGCACAAGUUUACUUUUUGCGUCCUUUCGUAUGCGACUUCGGGUGUAUCUUUCAUCGAAUGCAUUUUGAUUUUGGGCAUAAAUCCUUCCGGAACCAACCGUUUAACGUGAGGGUUUUUAUAAGAGAGGGCCCUCUUAUGUUUACGACAUCUCUUGUUCAUUACGACACUAGCAUUUGAAGUAUUUGUUUAACUUUCAAAUGACAAAGUUAAUUCAUCGUUCAAACAAGAAACAAGAUAAAAACAAAAGCAUUUCAUUUUAUUCCUUCUAUUUUCAAAAAGUACAUAUGCAUUUGCUAUAUUGAAAAGAAAUUACCAUUACUUGUGGCUAACUUGUAUAACUUGUUUCUACGGGGCUGUCUGCGGAGUCCCCAGUCCCGAUGAUGCAAUUAUAUUUCCGUUUUUUUGUUUCCCAGUUGACAUGGCAGUCAUUAUUGCCGUAUCCUCAUAUUAUCCCCCCCCACGUAUUCAAAUGCGAAAAGUGCGAAUAGGAACACUGGAAGUCUUGUAUCUUCAAAUAUUCUACUAAUGCACCUCUAGUGGUUUGUGCUCGUGAACGAUCAGGUAACCUUUGCUCAAUAGCAAACUUAACUUCCCGGUGGGAAUUUUCUAUAGAGAAAAAGAUUAUCUAACUAUCCCCGAGUGGAUCCUUGUUUGUGUGCCUUGCUAUUAAAGGUCUUAUUGUUGUUGUCUUCGUAGUAUGCUUUCUGUUGCUGCCUCGUUAAAAACCUUGCCAGAAAAACCUAAUUGGGACAAAAACUGAACGAAGGGAAAAAGAGUGCAACACAUACUUUCUGAUUAGAUAAUGUUCAUCAGCAAUAAUAUCUUUUGAGGUGUGCCACGUUCCAAUUGCUGGGAAAUAUUUCUCCAUUUUGGUUUUUCAACUCGUAUGAACCUUUCCCAGUGAUAGCUGAAACCCGGUUGGGGCCUUCCCACAUUGGACCUAGCUUCCCCGCAUUGAGCUCAUGGGUGUUUUGAGUUACUUUCCUUAGGAUCAAGUCUCCUGCUUUCAAAUAAUAGAGGUUGGCUCUUUGAUUAUAAUACCGCUUCAUUCUCUGCUUUUGAGCUACCAUUCUUACAUACUCCAAGCCCCUGCAUUCAUCGAGCAGUUCCAAGUUGACUAACAUUGCUUCAUUGUUCGAUUCUCCAUCUGCUGGAAAUAUCUCAAGGUGGGUUUCACUACUUCCACCGGGAUUAAAGCUUUUGCAUCGUACACGGGGGAAAAUGGGUUUCUCCUGUGCUUGACUUGGUCCUAGUUCGGUAUGCCCAUAGAACUCUAGGUAAUUCCUCGGGCCAAUUACCCUUAGCCGCUUCCAAGCUUUUCUUGAGGUUUUGAAUAAUCAUUUUGUUUGUCGACUCUGUCUGUCCGUUUGCGCUCGGAUGAUAGGGUGAAGAUGUGAUCCUCUUUAUUUUUAAAUCUUGGAGGAACUUUGUAAUUCUUGCGCCGAUAAAAUGUGGUCCAUUGUCACAUGCUAUCUCUUUUAGAAUUCUGAACCUGCAAUUUAUAGUUUCCCACAAGAAAUCCACCACUUAGCAUUCUCCGAUCUUCUGAUAAGGACCUGCUUCCACCCAUUUAGAAAAAUAGUUAGUCAAAAUUAAUAGAAAUCUUACCUUUCCAGGAGCUGGUGGCAGUGGUCCGACGAUGUCCAUCCCCCAUUUCAUGAACGGCCACGGGGACAGAACCGAAUAUAAGGGUUCCGCCGGUUGAUGCACCAGUGGUGCGUAGUGUUGACACUUAUCAUAUUUUCGUACGAAGUAUUUGGCGUCUUGUUCCAUGCGAGGCCAAUAAUAUCCUGCCCUUACCGACUUCAACACUAAGGAAUUUGCGCCCGAGUGGUUUCCGUAUAUCCCUUUGUGAACCUCUCUCAUGACAUAGUUUGCUUCGGAUGCCCCUAAGCAUCAGGCCAGCGGGCCUUGGAAAGAGUUUCUAUACAAUUGGCCUCUCUUGAAGCUAUAUCGCGCUGCUUUGGUGCGCAUCGCUCGGGGUAGUUUGGGGUCUUCAGGUAGCUUCCAGUGUUUGAGAUAAUCGAUGAUUUCAUUCCUCCAGUCCCAGACCAGAUUAGUCGAAUUUACCUCAUAUUAACCAUCUGUAUCCAGGACUGAGUUCAUCAGUUAUGCUACCGUCCUGGACUCCGACCCUUUAUUUCCGUUAAUGAUCCUAGGUUUGCCAAUGCAUAUGCUUCUGCGUUAUCUUCCCUUGAAAUAUGAGUAAUUGACCAUUCCCGGAAUCACGCCAACAGAGCCUAAACCUUUACCACGUAUUGUUGCAUGCACUUCUCUUUGGUCUCGAAGAUCUCGUAGACCUGAUUUACCACCAGUUGUGAGUCGCAUUUGAUUUAGAUCACCUCAGAGUCAAGUCCCCGGGCCAAUUCGAACACUACAAUCAAAGCUUCAUACUCUGCUUCGUUGUUAGUUAAAUAGACCGUCUUGAUGGCUUGCCUUAGGGUUUCCCCCGAAGGCGUGAUUAAGACUAUACCGAGCCCGAACCGUUUUACGUUGGAAGCUUCGUCCGUAAAUAAGGUCCAAAUCCCUAAUGUCGAUUUUGACACCAUUACUGCCUCCUUGGUUUCCAGAGGCAAUAAUCCCGAACUGAAAUCGGCCACGAAGUCAGCCAAGACUUGCAACUUAAUUGUAGUCCUUGGUUUAUAUUCUAUGUCGAAUUCACUCAUUUAGAUGGCCUAUUUGGCCAAUCUACCCGAGAUCUCGGGUUUAUGGAGGAUGUUUCGCAAAGGAAAAGUAGUCACCACGGCUAUCGGGUGGCAUUGGAAGUAGGGCCUCAGUUUCCGAGCGGCGACUAUGAGAGUUAAGCCCAGUUUCUCCAAAUGUGGGUAACGCGUUUAUGCUCCCGUUAAAAUUUUACUAACAUAAUAAAUGAGAGAUUGCAUACCUUCAUUCUCUCGGACUAAAACCACACUUACCGCAACUGUCGAGACCGCGAGUUAAACCAAUAAUGUUUUACCUUCUUUUGAUUUUGAAAGCAAUGGAGGGCUUGAAAAGUAUUUCUUUAAAUCCUUCAAAGCCUGUUGGCACUCAGGGGUCCAUUCAAAAUUAUUUUUCUUUUUUAGCAGUGCGAAGAAAUGAUGACACUUUUCUGAUGACUAGGAAAUGAACCUGCUUAAAGCUGCCAAUCACUCUGUAAGCCUUUGGACUUCCUUCACGUUUGAUAGUUGAUCUAGAAUGUCUUCUAUGGCCUUGAUCUUAUCGGGGUUUACAUCAAUUCCCCUUUGUGAUAUGAGAAAUCCCAGAAACUUACUAGAGCUGACCCCGAACGCGUAUUUCUCUGGAUUAAACUUCAUAUUAUGCCUCCUUAGUAUGUUGAAAGUUUCUUACAGAUGUUUAAGAUGAUCACCUACAUUUAAAUACUUAACGAGCAUAUCGUCUAUAUAAACUUCCAUAGUUUUUCCUAUUUGAUUUUCAAACGUCUUGUUCACGAGUCGUUGAUAAGUGGAUCCGGAGUUUUUCAACCCGAAGGGCAUCACAUUGUAGCAAUAUAUACCGAAAAUCGUUAUAAAUAAAGUUUUUUCCUGAUACUCCUGGUUCAUCUUAAUUUGAUUGUACCCAGAAUAAGUAUCGAAAAAACUCAUUAACUCGUGCCCAGCCGUGGCAUCAAUCAUUUGAUCGAUGUUUGGCAGUGGGAACGAGUCUUUCUGGAACACCUUGUUAAGAUCUUUAUAAUCUACACACAUGCAAAACUUAUUGUUCUUCUUAGGAACUACUACUACAUUGGCUAGCUAGUCUGGAUAUCUUACCUCUCGGACCGAACCAAUAUUAAGUAAGCGAGUUACCUCUUCUUUGACGAAUUUAUUCCUGGCUUCGGCAAUCGAGCGUUUCUUUUGUCUUACCGGAGGUAUGUUGGGAUCUAAGCUUAACUUGUGUACGGCUACCUCUGUUGGGAUGCCUGUCAUAUCUUCAUGCGACCACACAAAAUAAUCGGUGCUAAAUUUAAGGAAUUUAAUAAAGUCAGACUUGAGUUUUGGGUCCAGUCCUAUCCUCAAGUGGAAUUUCCUUUCUAGGAAUUCUUCGAACAAUGCCACUUUCUCCAGCUCUUCCGCUGUGGAUUUGUUUGCAUCAGUCUCUUCUGGGACUUGGAAAUAUCUCGGCACCUGACAAUAUUCUGACGCCUCUGCCCCCGAGUUAACUUUAUCUAGUUUGGGAGUAGGUGUUGGUCCCUGUAAUUGCUAUGCUAAGUGUUCCUUUCCUUUGCUACUGGAGACCUAAAUUGCAUUCAUCUCCUUUGCCGCCGGUUGAUCACCCCUUGUAUGCUUAAUCCCUUCGGGCAUUGGAAACUUCAGCAAUUGAUGAUACAUUGAUGGUACAACUUUUAUCUCGUGCAACAAUGGCCUUCCCAGAUCCCAUAUCACCAUCUACUACUUUGGAAAAAGUUGUUUUCAUUACUCCUUCAGCGUUCGUGAGUAAUAAAAUUUCUCCCCAGGUUGUCACACUUGCGAGGUUGAAUCCGGCGAUGAGCUUUGUGGCCGGAAUAAUGCUUUCAGUGAGUUUAGCUUGCUCCAAUACUCUCCGUUGUAUAAUAUUAGCUGAACUUUCUGGAUCCAUUAGAACAUAUUUAAUCUUAAAAUCUAGCUCAUUUAAAGAAAUUACAGUGCGUCGUUAUAUGGUAGCAACAAUCUCUUUGCAUCCUCCUCCGUAAAAGUGAUAUCGUCUUCCCGAAGCCUUUUGCUAUGCGUUAUUGAUUCUUUCAUGUUCUUUGCUGCUGAAAAGGUGACCCCGUUAAUCUCGUUCCCUCUGAAUAUCAUGUUGAUUGUUUGACGCAGGGGAUCUUCUCAUGCUUUUGAGGGUUCCGCAUUGUCCCGGUUAUGACCAUAAUUGUUCUUAGCUCGGUCACUCAAGUAUUCUCCGAGGUGAUCAUUCUUCAAUAAUGUUGCCACUUCUUCCCGGAGGUGUCGAUAGUCUCCUGUCUGAUGGCCAUUCGUCCCGUGGUAUUCAUACCACAAGUUGGUAUCCCUCUGGCUGGGAUCAGAUCUCAUCGGUUUCGGGAACCAUUCUUCUUUGAUGUUUCUCAUGGACCACACCAACUCCACUGUACUGGCGUUGAAGUUGUAUUCCGAUAACUUUGGGUAAGAAGGAUACCGUGAUCCUGACACUUCUUUAUCCUGCAGUGAUCGAUUGUUCUGACCACGAGCAGUCCUCCUGUCAACGACGCAUCUAUCCGCUGUCCGGGAACCUCUGUUGCGACCUUCGGUCCGUUCGUAAGGCAAAAACUGGCCCCUCGAAGUCUUUCUGUCCGCGUCAUAAUCAUCCUUUGAUUUUUCUCUAUUCUUUUCUCAUCCUUUGGUCGACGAUGGAAAACCAACUUUAUCAUCUUUGAUCCUUAUUUUUGAUUCAUACCGGUUGUGGAAAUUCGCCCAGGUCGUUGCUUGAAACUCGAGUAGGCUUUCCUUCAAUUUUCGGGAAGUGUCUGAACUCCUCGGAUUCAAUCCCUUGUUGAAUUCUUCAGCCGCCCAUUCAUCUGGGAUAGCCGGGAGCAACAUUCUCUCUUUCUGGAAUCAGGUAACGAACUCUCGUAGAAGCUCGGACUCUCCUUGCGCAAUCAUGAAUAUGUCAGCCUUUCAGGCCUGUAUCUUUCUAGCCCCGACAUGAGCCUUGAUGAAAGAAUCUGCGGGCAUUUCAAAAGAGUCUAUGGAAUGCUCGGGUAACAGCGAAUACCACGUCAAGGCUCCCCUCGUGAGGGUUUCUCCAAAUUUCUUUAGCAACACAGAUUCAAUUUUGUGAGGAGCUAAAUCAUUUUUCUUUACCGUCAUUAUGUAGGUGGUAAUAUGCUCCUGGGGGUCUGCAAUUCCGUCAUACUUUGGCACUUCAGGCAUCUUGAACUGCUUCGAGAUUAACUAUGGUACCACACUUGACUUGUAUUAAAAUUGAGUAUACCUUUUCGAGUUCGGACCUUUCAGCACUGGUGGCACACCCGGGAUCUUAUCCAUGCGGGCGUUUACCUCCCUCAUAAACCGUAAAAGUUCACUCUUGAAAGGAUCAUUCUUGUUGUUGAGGCCAGAUCCGCUCCCCCUGCCUUAUCGGAGCCAAUUUCAUCCCUGGGAGUGUUGUUGUCGCCCCUCUGCGUUGUUUGAUUUACGGGGAUACCGGGAGCAAUCGGAUCUCGCAUGUUUGCAUUAUUUGAAGCUCUCGACAGCACCUAUUUCAACUUCGUCAUGACCUUAUUCUGUCGCGUGAAGUGGCCUAGAAUGAUCGCUUGUUGCUCUUGCAAGACCCUUACAACGUCAACGACAUGUUCCUCAUUAGCAUCAUCGGGAGUGGUCUCCCGAACAUAUCGAGGAUAUUGCUUAUCAUACACCGGUGUAGCGCCAUUUCCCUCAUUAUGGGUGUCACUAAUUGAGUCCUCAAAAUGAGGAUGAUCUACUCGAAUCUCGGGGUUGUGCAUGUCGUUAACAGUGUUAUAUGUCAUUUCUUAUGAUUUUUUCUAAGAUAAAAUAAUCAAAACACGUUCGUAAAAAGGCAAGGGUCAAUUUAAUUACACGGCUGUCUAUGCCCCACGGUGGGCGCCAAACUGUUUACCCGUAAAACGGUACAUUUAAAUUUAUACAUGGUUUCUAGACAGAUAAAUUAAUUUGAUACUGAAAUAGUAAAAUCAUCGAAGAAUUAUGAAAUACUUAGCAUUAGGAUAUAGACGAAACAGCAGAAGCAACACUUCCGGGAACAAGAUUUUCGAGUACAACAACAACGAAAUCAAAAAGUAAGAAGAUAAUACUAUAUUGAGCUUUGUAUAUAAUGUAGCAUACGUUUUUCAGAAAAUUCAUGUCCUUUACAAUGACAACUGAGCUCACUAUUUAUAGCUAUGAAGGAAGUCCUAGGAUCGUGCCCUUCUUUAAUGUCAAUUAUGAGGAAUAUUGGUGAAGAUGUAACGGUGAACAUAAAUGGUAAAUUCCCUGUAACGGGUAAUUGCUCUUAAUGCCGUGGAAUAUUCUCUAUUAAAUGCUACCGGGCGAAGAGCAUUUAUCACAUCUUUAUGAACGUUAUUCUUUUCGGUUACAAACAAAACAGUUGCCUUCGGUCUUUGGUCAUCCCCCGUCUUGGAUUCCACGUGUCUCUUUUUUGGACGGCCACGUGUCAUAACAUAUUUUACCCUAUACAUUUAUAUAUUCACUUUUACUGCAAAAGUAUAGCCACAAUGUGUCAUUAUUAACUAGAUGUGCGCAUGGCCGUGGGACUUUAAUUCUAGUAAUGUGGGGGUAUUAAUAUAUUUGUAAGUUACAACGUUAAUAGGUAAAUUUCACAAAUAGUCAUAUAACUAUGACCUUUUUUCAUCAAAGUCAUAUAACUUUAUUUUCUCACACAAAAGUCAUAUAUCUUUCACCAUCUUACUCAUUUUUUUAAUUUUUUAAUUCAAACUAAUAAAUUAUGAUACAAUUAAAAUAUGUCCGACCCGACCCGACCUAAUAUCCAUAUCCACAAAUUAAGGUAGAUCGUUUGAAUUUUCAACCAGAAAUUCUUUAAGGUAGCCUCAAAAUACGAUACUUCUCAUAAUUAUGCUUACCAACAAACUAUACAAUUUCAUGAAUGCAAAACAAUUAUCAUGCUAUUUUCUUUUCAGUUAUUCGGUUAUUCCUGGACCUCUCUCCUUAUGUAAGUAUCUUAUUUGUGAUAAUGGGUAGGUGCUUCAUAGAUCCAUGACUAUCCUGUCACAAUCUAUUUAAUUCUAAGGAAGUACCUAAUAGUAAAAAUCAUAAAGUAAAACAUUCCUCGAACUAAAAGAACUUUUAUGGAAAAAUAGAACUACUUUUGUAGGAGAACGAGCAACACUAUUGAACAAAAUAUUGCUUACUAAGCAAUACAACAAAUAAAAUAUGCGUCAACCAAAAGACAAAAGCAGACACAAUAUAUUGUGUCAUUUUAAGUGUAUGCCAUUUACAAAAGAUAAUUUUUUUUUUAGACAAACAUCCCUAUUUUGUCUUUUGAGAGUUUACACAUCUUCUUCACCACAACUUGCACAUAAUCUUGUAUAACGUUCUUCUUGACUUCCCUGCCUCUUUUUUAUACUUUCACAACUUCAGUGGCACCUUGCAUAAUUUUAUGACCAUGUACAGCUCUCCUGGCAACAUCUUGUUCAGCAACAUCCUAUAAAACAAUGCAACACCAUGAAAAAUUAAUAAAAGAUGUAUUUUACGUCUAUAGUUGAUUGAUUUCUUAAGAUGAGGUCCACAUCUAUCCUUUCUGCAUUUUGAGGUUGUUGAAUGAAACCUUGAAUAACCCACAUCUCUGGAUAAUAAGUGUCACGACCCAAACUCUGGUUUAGACCGUGAUGGCGCCCAGCACCCUUGCUAGGCAAGCCGACAGUGAACAAUCUAGUAAUUUUCAUUUUUAAUAAGUCAAACAGCUAACUUUCUUUAAAAAUUUAGAGAAUUUAGCAAAUAACGGAAUUUAAAGUGAACAAAAUGAAAACAGCUAAAUGAAAUCAUAAACGUAGAAAUACAACCUAAAAUCAUAAGUCUACUAGCUAGUGUAUGUCAAGACCCGGUGUCACAAGUAUAUGGGCUACUAGUAGAAUAUACAAAAGAAUUCUAAUCUACCGUCUAAAAUGGGAUAGACAAAACAAAUAAACAAAGAAAAAGACUCCGGCUGCUGCAGAACGACUCGAAAGGGUAGCUCACCGAGUAGUCUUAUAGCGGGGAUCAAAUAUGCGCAUCGGGCUGGUAAUCAGAUGUACUUGCCUCAGAUCCUGCACAAUCAAGUGCAGAAGUAUAGCGUGAGUACAUAAACAACAUGUACCCAGUAAGUAUCUAGUCUAACGUCGAAGAAGUAGUGAUGAUGGGUCGACUCUGACACUUACUAUGGGCCAACAAUAAUAUAUCAAAUAUAUACUAAGCAUGGAUUUCAUGAACAAUACUGAAAGCUCAAUAUCAGGAAAUAGUAAAUUCUUCUUUCGCAAGUAUUAAAUCCCAAGCUUAGUUUCAUUAUUUAACAGCUUGCAAUUCAAGGCAUUUUAAGUGUAAAUCAUGAAUAGUUCCAAAGUUUUUCAUGCGCAUAUCAUGCCAAGGUCGUACGGCCCGAUCCAACAUAAUAUUUAAACUGUGCACUGUCGAGGGUCAAACGGCACGAACCAUAGAUACAUCUAUCUACUAUCGAGGCGUUCGGCCCGCUCCAUAAAUAGAAAAUAUUUCAAAUAACACACAAGUUCUCAUUUAUAGUCAAGUGUUCCAUUCGCAAAUUUAAGUAAGUAACUUUAACCUUUUUCAAUUCUUUUAUCAACUCAAAUAUGCCUUAAGCAAUUAAAUCAACAAAUGAGAGUGCAAACAUUUCAAGUAUAGUAUGGUAUAGGUCCUAGACUACCCGGACAAUAGCAUAAUUAGUAGCUACAUACGGACUCUCGUCACCUCGUACAUACGGAGCCCUACACGUAGGAGCACAUUUUAGUUAUAAUUUACCUAUGGGGUUAAUUCCCUCUUAUAAGGUUAGAAAAGAGACUUACCUCGUCUCAAAGCCUACUUCCCAAUUCAAGAAUGCGCUCAAACCUUCAAAUUUGAUGCCAAACGACUCGAAACUAGUCAAACAUUUCAUAAAUCAAUCAAUCUAUGCUCAGAAGUUCAUAUUUUUAUUAUUAGAGUGAUUACCCAACCCAAAUUGCAAGAUCCCUAAAAUUCACCCCGGGGCCCACAUACCCGGAUUCCAGAAUUAUUUGAAGAAAGUUAUUACCCAUAAUCUUAGGAACAUAAAUAUAUGAUUUUCACUAAGUUUCAUAAUCAUUUUCAUGGUAAAAUCUAAUUUUUAUUAAACCCUUGAUUUUUCAUCUAAACCCAUGAUUUCUACCAAUUUUCAUAUUGAAAUCUACCCAUAAUCUAUGUAUUAAACUCACAUUAAGGUAGGAAUUACUUACCCUCAAUAGCUAGGUUGAAGUCUCCCUUUUUGAAGCUCUAAAAUCUCCCAAAUGUGUGAAGAAUGGGAGAAAAAUGCCUAAGUCCCGUAUUAAAUGAAGUUCACUGUCUUCAGCAAUUUUCGCACCUGCGGUCAUAGGGCUGCACCUGUGCCCUCGCUUCUGCGGACAAAAGUCCGCUUCAGUGAAACUCCCCUGGACCGGCUGGCGUCACUUCUGCGGAUGGGUAUCCGCUUCAACGGAGGAUGGGCUGCCCUUCCUUGGCCGCUUCUGCGAGGUUUGGCUCGCACCUGCGGCUGGCCAAGCGCAGGUGCGAUUAUGAUAGACCUGAUGCUUCAGCUAUUGCUCCAAAUUCUCAUCUUGGUCUGAGCCUCGUCCGAUUGACACUUGGGGCCCCCGGUUCCCCGCGCAAACGUACCAACAAGUUUGGAAUCAUAAAACGGACUCUCUCGAAUUCUCGGAACACCCGAAACAACAUCAAAACUAAGAAUCGCACCCCAAAACCAAUUGAAUCAAACUUAAGAACUUCAAGUUCUUCAAUUUACUCCCAAUGCACUGAAACGUACUUAAACUACACGGAAUGACACUAAAUUUUGCGUACAAGUCUUAAAUGACAUUACAGAACUAUUCCCGAUCUUAGAAUUCCGUUUGACGUUGAUAUAGCCAAAACCCGCUCCAAACCAAAUUUAAAGAACUUCAAGAUUCUUCAAGAACCAACUUUCACUAUUAGGCGCCAAAACGCUACAAGGUCAUCCAAAAUCUGAUUCUAACAUACUCCCAAGUCUAAAAUAUCAUACGAACCUAUUGGAACCGUCAAAUACUAAUUCGAGGUCGUUUACUCAAAAUGUUGACCGAAGUCAAACUUGGCCUUUUUAGCCAACCUUUAGGAAUCAAGUGUUCUGAUUUCAACCCGAAUCCUUCCAAAUCACGAACCAACCAUCCCCGCAAGUCAUAUACUAAUGAAAGCACAUACAAAAAGUCUUAUUUGGGGGAACGAGAUUCUAGAAAGUAAAACGACCGGUCGGGUCAUUACAAUAAGUAUUUGACUAGCCCAAAAGGUAAGAUCUACUUACACAAUAGACAUGGGAAAGCCUUUUAUUUUCUCUCUCAGUGCAUGUUAGGUGACCUAGCUUGUAACACCCUGAAAACGUUUGAAGUGUUUUAAGACUAUUAAGAAGAUUGGUGGGUGCCAAUUAUAUUAAUUCGAGUAUGAACAAGACUAAUAAUAUGAAUGAUAUCAAUUGAUCAUGAUAAUAUAUGUAUGAGGUUCAUUUAGAAUGGUUUAUGAUCCAAGCAGAGCCCUAAGGCUAAGUCAAGUUGUAAAUUAUAUAAUGGAGUAAAGUUUCAAGUGAGUUCGCACAAGACAUAACUUCAAACGAGCAUAAAUCUCAUGAUAUGAAGAGUUAUAUGGUUUAUCACAUAUCUAAUUAAAGGUCUAUGUGUCUAGUUUCUAAUACUUCAAACCGUUCAUCAUUUGGAGGGUUUUACAAGGAGUUAUGACAUUUUUACCAAAGGAUAGUAGAACAGCUAUGUGAGUCUUGCGUAGCUUACACACCAUGCGUAGGCAAAUCCAACAGGUGCUAAUAGAAGAGGAAUGGUCGGACAUCCUCUGUAACCUUUGUGCGUAGCCUACGCAUCCAUCAGACUCAUUUUUAAAAUGUAGAAAUAAGGGUUUUGAGAGAGAAAGUGUUAGUUCUUCAACUUGGAAUUGAUUUCUAGAGAGAACGGGAAGCUCUUCCACCAUGGAUACACUUCAAGGUAUGUUAUUUUGGUACAAAGAUGAUUAUAUUACAUCAUUUAGUAAUAACACUAAUACUAUUAUGGAUCAAAUCCAUAGAAAAUGGGUUGAAUCUUCAAGAACAUCAAAAAGAGGAAAAGUGAGAUUCUUCCACCAAGAGGUAAUCCCUUCACUUGAGCUUCAUAUAUAUGUCAUAUUGGAGUAUGGGUAGCAUAUUUAUGAGUUUUAUUUGAAGUUGUAAUGGGAUAUUAAAUGAACCCUAUAAGGGUGGGCCUUGAAAAUGAUAUUUUGGGUAAAAAAGAAGAUGAAAGUGAUGAAUUGAUAUAAAUGAAAUUGCUUUGAGUUUCUAAUGAUUCCAAUAGACUUGAUAACUUAAUUGAUGAACGAAUUGAAUAGGAAAUCACCAUUUGGACAAGAUGCAACACUAGUUCUUGAAAUGGGUGUUCUUGAACCUAGAGUUUUGUUGGAGAAGACAAUGAAUAGUGACUUGAUGAUAUUGGAUAAUUAACAUAGUGUUAUUAAAGACUCUAAAUGAGUAUUAAAUGAUAAGAAUGGAAUUGAAUAGGCUAAUGAGUGAGCCUAUUGGAUAAUUUGGGAUGGUUGUAGGCUUGUUGCUGAAUUGUGAAGCUUAAAAGAAUAUUUAUAAAUUUUUUUGUAUUUGUAUUGAUGUAUUUAUGAUAUCUAAUGGUAGAUACUGAAUUGUGAGCGAUAUUUGAUUAUUUUAAUUAAUUGGAGCAUUGUAGUAGUUUUGGAGCUUGAAGGUUGAGGUAAGUUGAUUAAGACUUACUCUUCUUGAGGAAUUCUCUUUAAAGCAUGUAUUAAGUUGAUCUAUUGUAUUAUUUGUAAAUGUGCAUUCGUACUUGUGGAGACAUGCGAGAAAGAUGUCACAAUGUGUUUCUAAAUUAUUGCUUAUGAAGUGUCAUGCAAUUUUAUAAAAGUCUUAUUUUUAAAACUUGGUUGCAAAAUGACACUUAAGGAAAUUCUUAUAAGUUUUAUUAAAACUUAUUUGUUGAUAAGAGUAUAAAAUGCUUGAGUGCUAAAUAUAUGUUUUCAUGAAAAAAGUUUAUCUUUUGAAAUUACAACAAAGGAAGCACUUGUUGUAUUUUUAGAUUGAUGUUAUUUGGUAAAGGCUUUAACAUGAAAAAGGAUAUUCAUUUGAUUUUGUUCAAAUAGUUUAGAUUGUCUAUGAAAAUCAUGAUUCGAUAAAAAUAGAUCCUUUGAGGUAAUUAUGCUAUGAAUCUAUUUUUGAUAUGUCAAAUAUUUUGGGAGUUACUAGCGGAGACCACCGAGAUUGGUUCGAAUGUUGAGUUCGUUACCAUGAAACUACACGUGCCGGUGUAGGGACACAUUCCAAGGCAAAGCCGAGGUUUGUGGGAUAAAGUCCCCCAUUGAGAGGGAAGAUGAUCAUUACUUAAAGUAAUGAGGUUAAGUCGACUCGUACGGCACUACGGGAAGCCGCCCAGACAAGUAGGGUCAAAUACUUGUUGCUAGGAUGAUCACCUAGUAGUUGUUCAUUAUGUCAGUGUCAGUAUAGUACUCCCGGUGAAAGAAAAAAGAGAACUUUCUUAUGUUUAGGCCUAAGGAGUCGAAAAUAAUUUCGAUGACUUAAUGAGAUUGAAAUGGUUUUAUAUGAUUUCUAUGAAAAUCUUGGGUUGAUAGAGAUGUUCUAAAAUUUUAUAGCAUGGCUUAAAUUUCACUUGUCUUUUAUUUAAAAUGAUAAGAGCAUGAUUUAUAUAAUUGUUUAUCACUUUAUGUCCAAUAUUGGUUGCAUAGUUUUUUAAAAUCUUGUCCCAGGAACUUGAGUUAAAGAGAGUCUAUGUCAAUUAUUGAGUACCGAUGUGGUGUACUCAACCCUUAGAGGCCCAUCUCCAGGGCUCCACUUAUUUUACAUGUUUCAAAAUGAGGUAUGAUAUGUGGCAUGCGGUCAGGGCUAGGAUGACUCUCUUCCUGAGGUAUAUGGUGAGGCACCGCUCCUAUUUUAUGGUAGCUAUCAUGUUGUUUUCUUAAUUUAUACUAGUCGGGUAUUAGCCCUAUUGUUUAAUUCUAUUCUUUGGUAUAAACGCUUCAUAGAUAGUUGUGAAACGUUGUAGUAAUGGCAUUGUACAUGACGAACAUGAAAAGAUACUUAUUUUACUUAGUCUCAUUGUAAUAAUUAUUAGAAGCUUCAUGUAUAUUUGAAUUGGAAAAAUAUUCCAUUGUUUAACUUGAAAAUAUAUAAAAUUUUCAAAGAGCUUCCGCAGUUAAAUUAGUUUUCAUGCAUAUGGUUUGGGUGCAUCAUAUUGGUUGGUUCGCUCGAGUCGGAUAGUAUGCCGGGUGCUGGUCACGUGGAUUUGGGUCGUGACAUAACUAACUUGCGCCUUCGCUAGAAAUGGGAGGAAGAGGAAAAGCGAAGAAAAACACUAGUGGUAGAAAGGAAACUAACAGACAUUACCAUGCGAGAACAAGGAAAACGAACAGCAAAAGCAAAAGACAAAAUGCAAGAGGAAGAUCAGGAUCACGAAAUUGACAGUGACCUAAAUUGGCCAGAUCUGGGUAGUGCUCGAGCUAAAUUGGAAACGCCGGUGAGCUCAGGAACUCAAUUGAUACCUGUGGCGAGCUCUGGAGCUAAAGGACCAAUUAUAGUGCCGAUCACAAUUGGUGAUGCGAGUACGAGCAAGUUACAAAGAAAUAGAACAGUACAUGUAAGCUCGCCAAAGGAACAGAGGCCUGCAGAGAUUGACAAUAGGAAAAACACUCAGGAGAAGAAACCAGAGUAGGCUGGAGAUGGGGGAAGAUGGCGGGCAGGGUUGUUCCAGGAGAACAAACUCGCAGCUAAGGGUAUGAAUCUAACAUACAUUCCCCCCCGGGUGAUGUAGGACGGGGAAAUCAUAGUACAACUACUAAAAGUGGACAUUGCAGAAGAAAACCAGAAGUGGAAUCGAGCGAUGAUCAUGUAUGUGAUGGGUAAUACUCCAACUAUUGGAGCAAUUGAACGCUUCAUAGCUAACCAGUAGAGUAAUGUGAAAAAACCUAAGGUACUCUUCCAGAAUGAUGGAUAUUUCAUAAUUUUGUUGAAUAGUAGUGAAGAGAGGGAUGAAGUACUGCUGAAUCGUACUUAUACUAUCAAUAGUAGGCCAAUCUUAAUUAGUCCAUGGAUGGCAAGAUUUUAAUGAAAAAGAUCUGAAAACCAUUCCUCUAUAGGUCAAGUUCCCUAAGCUGCCGCUCAACUACUGGAGCAAACUAGCCCUAAAAAAAAUUGGGAGUAGUUUAGGCAAGACCCUGUAUGCUGAUGUGUGUACUACAAUGGCUGAUAGAGUUUUCUAUGCUAUGGUCUUGAUUGAAAUGGACAUCAUUAGGCCCCUACCAGAGAAAUCAAACUACAUGAUCCUAAAGGCAAGGUGAUCGAGCAGAUGGUGCAAUUUGACUGGAAAUCUCAGUACUGCCAGACCUGUUGUCAACUAGGUUACUCGUGUAGAGAUUAAAAAAAAGCAGAAGCAAGAGGGUGGACAUCAGAGAGGUCUAGAAUUGAAGCAAAACCAGGAAUGGAGAAUAGUGAGGGAGUUUGACCCUAAUAUGGACAAAAUUGAUGCUCAAGGCAUGUUCCUUAAUCAAUUGGAGUCAGCAGGAGAGGCGCAACCCAAUAGGGGUGGGCAUAAUAUCGACCGAAUCGAAAAAACUGGCUGAACCAAAAAUUUUGUUUUAUUCUAUUUUUAUUUUUCGGUUUAUUCGGUCAGUUUGCGGUUUAUAGUUUUAAAACGUUUGGUGUUCGGUUCGGUGAUCGGUUUUAAUGGUUCGAUUUUCAGUUAAACCGAAAAAUCAAUUUUUUUAAUCAGUUUUUUUACUCUUAGUCCCUUAUCGUGUUGCUCUUUCUUAGCCUUAAAGCCCAAAACUCAUUCUCAACCUAUAGAAGCCCAAUCCAUUGGAUAUUCUAACACAAACACAACUCCAUUUAUAUAUCCGUCCACUUCUGAAUUCUCCUUGCUUAUUUCUUUCUUCCAUCCAAAAAGUACUUAAUAUGUUUGUUUGAAGCACUAAAUUGAAAAAAGAUAGAAAAUAUUAAAGAUAAUUAAUUCAUACUAUUGAAGUUGCUGACUUACUGUUAUAGUAAUUUGAUUGGAUCUCCACUCUAUACAUUAGUUAGAUAUAAGAUUUUAAUUUUUUUUCCUUCUCUUGUUUUCCCUUCUCUUCACUUAUUCACGGCCUCAUCCAUAAUUCAAAAACUUUUAAGAAAAAAGAAACUAAAAAUAAAUCAAAAGGAAGAGAGUAAAGGAAAAGACAAAAAAAAAAGAAGGAAGAACAUUCAUAAAGCAUUGUAUCAGUUGUUGAUUUAUAAUAUUACUUCAUGAAUGAAGUAUAUAUAUCACCGCAAACUUUUAAAUUCUAUAUAUGGACAAACAUAAAUAAAGUUUACUUUAUAUUGGAUCAUCCAUAAUAAAUAAAAUUAAUUAGUAACUCAAAAAAAUAAAUCAUGUCUCAAGCUCUUUAGUUAAGUUGGGCUUCCAUAACUCUUGCAUAAAUACUCUUAUCUUUUUAGUGUAUUUGAUGGUAUUUCUUAUUUCUUUUGUUAUUUACUGUCAACAAGUAAUCUAUUUUCGUUGUUUUGUACUAUUUUUGUCAUGGUUUGAAAUCGAAAAACCAAACCGAACAUGAAUAAACCGAACUGAACUGAAGUUAUUAUGGUUCGAUUUUGGUUAUUAAAAUCACAAACUGAAAACCAAAUAAACCGAACCGAAAUUCUAUAAAACCGAACCGAACCAACUGAUUCCCACCCCUAUAAUCCAACCAGCAGGGAAAUGACUCACAAUGGCAACUUGCUAGAGAAAAGUCUGUAUCAAAGAAGAAUAUAGGACCCAUAAGAGAGAAUGAAGUAGGCAUUGGCAAUGCCUUCAAAGCACUGGUUGACACAACACAGAAGAUAGUGCAACUAUCUGAAUCUCAAGGUACAAAAGGGCAACAGAGUAGAAGUAAUAGAGGAGGAGGCCCACAACAAACAACCAUAUUAUGAUGAUCAUCAUAGCAUAGAAUGUUAGGGGGUUGAAUAAAGUCUAUACACAAAAAGAACUAAAAAAUUACAAGGAGAAUAAAGUGGUGAUUUUUGAUGUUAUAGAGAAUAGAGUAAAGGAAAUCAAUGCAGGUUCAAUAUUGAAGAAGAUACUUAACAGCUGGUAAUGGGCAGGAAAUUAUGAUGAAGUAUCAAGUGGUAGAAUAUGAGUUGUAUGGGAUCAAUCACAUGUGGAGUUCUCUGUGAUCAGAAUAUAUGAACAAUAUAUAAUGGGGCAUGUUACCAUGAUCCAGCACAGAAUCAAUUUCAAUUUAUGUGUUGUCAAUGGAAUGUAUAUUAUACAAGACAGGAAAAGCCUAUGGGAUGAUUUAAAGGUGACUAUGAAUGGAGUCAGUGGCCCUAGCUUAAUAAUGGGUGAUUUUAAUACUAUCAUAUCUAAGUAAGGAUAAGGUACAUGGAAAUCCAGUCCAGGAGAUAGAGGUAAGGGACUUCAAGAACUUCAUACUUGACACAAGACUAGAUGAACUUAAAAUAGUUGGAUGAAAGUUCACCUGGACAAACAACCAUAUCUAUAGUAAAAUUGAGAGAAUACUGGUAAAUGCAGAAUGGAUACAGAACUGGCCUUACAUAGAGUGGGCCUAGCUUCUCUGAUCAUUGUCCUUUGAGUGUGUUUUUUUAUGGUACUAACCAAGAAGGUAGGGGACCUUUUCAAGUUUCUCAAUUGUUUGGAAAGCCUCAAUGAUUUUGAUGCAAAAGUAAAGCAAUGCUGGAAAACUAGUAAUAGGGGACCUGCCAUGCUUAAUGUGUGGAAUAAGCUCAAAGUGCUAAAAGGAGCCCUAAAGUAACUGAAUAAACAAGAGUUCGGUGGUAUUGGGUAUAAGAUUCAAGUGGAAAGGAACAAACUGGAAGGCAUCCAAGCUCAGAUGACUAUGCCAGGACAUGACACUGAGGCAAUACUACAAGAGAAGGCUGCAAAGCUAGAACUAGAAAAAUGGCUGAUGGUUGAGGAGAGUGUCUUGAAGCAAAAGUCAAGAAUUCAAUGGCUUAACUAGGUGAUUAUAACACAGUAUACUUCCAUGCUUGCAUGAAAAAUAGGCAAGCAAAGAAUCAUAUUGGCAAGCUGACUAACAGUGCUGAGCAAAUCCUUCAAAGUGAAACUGAAAUUGAGGAGGAAAUAUUUAGUUUCUACAAAAGACUACUUGGUACUGCUGCUCCACAACUGCCAGUAGUUAUCCCAGAUAUCAUGCAUAAUGGUUAUACUUUAACUAGGAAUCAACAACUAUAGCUUAUCAAACCAGUUACUAAAGAGGAAGUAAAGCAAGCUAUAAUGGAUAUUGAUGAUAAUAAAGCACCAAGAUGUGAUGGUUAUAAUUCAUUCUUUUUUUUAAAAAGACAUGACACAUCUUGGGUGAUGAAGUUACUGCAGCAGUAAUGGAGUUCUUUAAAACUGCUGAUAUGUGCAAAGCCAUCAAUUGCACCACUAUUACCUUGAUACCAAAAGUUAAGAACCUAACUAACAUCAAGGAGUUCAGGCCAAGUUCCUGCUGCAUAAUGCUUUACAAGAUCAUAUCUGAAGUUCUAACAGCAAGGCUACAUGAUGUUAUAGCAGAUUUAAUAGAUAAUUGCCAAAUAGACUUUGUACCAGGUAGACUGAUCACUGAUAAUAUCAUCAUGAGCCAUGAGCUGAUGAAAGGCUAUGAGAGGAAGAACAUCUCCUCAAGUUGUAUGCUCAAAAUAGAUAUACAGAAGGCCUAUAAUUCUGUUGAAUGGGUGUACAUUGAACAAGCGAUGAAGGUGUUGGGAUUCCCUGAAUUGUUUGUGAAAUGGAUAAUGGCCUAUAUCUGCACAAUGUCUUACUCAGCAAUAAUCAAUGGUAAGCUUGUUAUGCCAUUUGAGGCAAGGAAAGGGCUGAGACAGGGUGAUCCCCUAUCCUCAUUCCUAUUUGUAAUGGCCAUGGAGUACCUAAGUAGACUAAUGAAGCCACUGAAGGACAACAAGAAGUUUAAGUUUCAUCCAAAGUGUGCCAAAGUCAACCUAGUUUAACUGGGGUUUGCUGAUGAUCUACUUCUUUUCUGUAGAGGGGACUUAAAAUCAGUGAAGAUACUCGAUUAAUACUUUUAAAUAUUUUCUACAGCCUCAGGCCUAAUUGCACAUCCAAACAAAAGUUGUAUUUACUUUGGUGGAGUGAGCAACAUGACUCAACAACAUAUUAUGGACAUGCUAGGAUACUCUAAAGGUGAACUACCCUUUAGAUACCUUGUAUCUUACUGAGCACUAAGAGGUUAUUAGUUAUUCAAUGUGAACCUGUAAUUGACAGAUUGUUAAGUAGGAUUCAAAGCUGGACAACAAAAUUUCUAUCAUAUGCUGGAAGAGCAAUGUUAGUAAAGAGUGUUAUAUUUGCUAUACAGACAUUCUAGGAUCAGAUAUUCAUUUUGCCAAGGAAAAUCAUUCAGUUUAUAGAAUUAAUUUGCAGGAGAUUCUUAUGGACAUGAGUUGUUGAACCUACUAAAAGGCAUUGAUUGCCUGGGACAAACUGUGUUCCCCAAAGGUAGCAGAGGGCCUUAAUAUCACCAAUGUGGAGUUAUGAAACAAAGAAGCUAUUUGCAAGCUCUUAUGGAAUAUUUGCACAAAGAAGGAGAAACUGUGGGUACAAUGGAUUCAUUCAGACUACAUAAAAGGAAACACUAUCUGGAAUACAGAGCCCAAGAGUGCAUCAUGGAUCAUCCAAAAGAUAUUCAAGGCAAAAAACUACUUCGAGGCUGCUGGAUUUACAGAAGAGGAUGUACAUCAUAUGGAGAGAUUUCUCUAUGAGACUGUUAAGUCUCGAUCAAGGACAUAAGGUCUUGAACAACUUCGUAUUAUGUGUAUUGAUUUGCGUGCGUGGUGGAAUUCAGUUAUCGGAUGAUUCAGAGUCAAAUUGGAAGAAGGAUGCAAGUUUUAGAAGCUUAAGGCUUAGGAUUUUGACCGUAGUUGGAGUUGUGUUAAGACAACUCCGGAAUGGAGUUACAGUGACUCCAUUAGCUCCGUUGGGUAAUUUUGGACUUAGGAGCGUGUCCGACCUGUGAAUUUGAGGUUUGCAGCUGAUUUAGGCUUGAAAUGGUGAAAGUUAAAUUUUUGGCGAUUUUGACCGGUAGUGGACUUUCUGAUAUCGGGGUUAGAUUCUAAUUUCAGAUAUUGGAGUAGGUCUGUAAUAUUGAAUAUGACUUUUGUGCAAAAUUUGGGGUCAAUCAGACAUGGUUUGAUCAGUUUCGGCAUUGGUUGUAGAAAUUUAAUAUUUCAUCGGAGGAUGAUUCGUGAUUUUAGAAUUGUUUGAUGUGGUUUGAGGGCUCGACUAAGUUCGUAUGAUAUUUUAGGAUUGGUUGAUAUAUUUGAUUGAGGUCCCAGGGGCCUCGGGUAUGUUUCGGAUGCUUAACGGAGGAAAUAUUGGACUUAGGAAAUUUCUAAAGUUUGCUGGUUUCUGGUGUUUCGCACCCGCGGUGGGGGAACCGCAGGUGCGGGGCUGCACAUGCGGAUGAUUAAGCGCAAGAGAAUUUGGAGGGAGUGGUCUGGGGCCGCAGGUACGAGGUGAGUUCCGCAUCUACGAUGGAAUUUCCACAGGUGCGGAACCGUAGAUGCGGUUGAAGGCCCGCAAAAGCGGUUUGACGUGAAGAAAAAGGGCUAAGUGCGAGGGUUUGAUUUCAUUAUUCUUUUUUGGACUUGAGAGCUCGGAAUUUGGCAAUUUUUCGAGGGAUUUUCAGAGGAAGCUUUGGGAUUUGGGCCAUUCGAAGUCAGAUAUUCGUGGAAAGGCCUUGUUAGUGAUUGAUUGAGCUUGGUUCGAGGUAAGUAUCUUGCUUGACUUUGUGUGGGGGAACUACCCCUUAGGAAUUGAGUCUUUUAUGCUAAUUGUAGUCCGAGUACGCGAGGUGACGAGUACGUGCUCGGACGUAUUUGUGGAAAAUUUUCCUUUUAGGGUUCUUAGGUCCUUGUAUUCACUGAAUAUGCAGUUAUUCCCGUUAUGAUUACGUUUCUAAAGUACUAGUUUCACUUCUACCUUCUUUUAUUAGAAUUAAUUGCUUCAUGAUCCACUCUUGUUGUUCAUUUGAUUCAUAUGUGCCUAAACUGAAAUUGUUAUCUCUUCUAUUGCCAUGUUGCAUUUUCCCUAACUGCUUAUCUUUAUUUGAAGUUGUAGUUAUCCCGUUUGUAAAUCUUCACCCUUAAUUGAGGUUAUGAUUAUCUUUUCGCCGCCUACCUUUAUUUGAAGUUGACUUGCCCUUAUUUGGAAUUAUUUGACUCUUGCUAGUUUUCUUGUUGUUGAACCGUAUAUUGUGGGAUCAUUGUUACAUAUUAUUUUCGUCCCUGUUGAGCUAUUCUUAUUACACCUAGUAUUCUUUAUUAUGGCUAUUCCUUGCGAACUAGUUUUACCGUUUCUUGAAAUCGAAGGUUCUUGAGUUGAUUUAUUUGUCGUACCCUCGUAUUAGUGUUAUUGUUGUUGUUGUACUUGUUGUUCUUGNNNNNNNNNNNNNNNNNNNNNNNNNAGCUGGUAUGAACUAUGUUAGGACACUUGCACAAGCAUACACGUAGUUAAGUCACUCUUUCGGUAUAAGAGGUUUCCUUGAUAUUGUUGAGUAUAGAUGCACACCCUCGCUUACUUGCCUUCUAUGUGAGAAUGGCUCUAUUUGGCACGCGAGUCGUUAGUGCGGUCAUGAUGUGUAACAAGGGCACAUGAUGCCAAGUGUUAGGGUUCAGGUAUUGAGACCCGUGAUUUGUGAUUUGUCCGAGGUUCGGAACCUCGUGGAGUUUAUUGACUAAAACCCGGUGUGAAAGCUGUCGUAUUGUUGAGUUGUUACUCGUCCUUUCUUUAUAUGUGAUUAUCGAACUUAGGUUGUGUUUCCGUUCAUUCUUCUAUGUCAUUAUUAUGAGUUUCCGUUGAUAGUUGUUAUUUUCCUUCCUUAUUGAAAUUAUCAUAUUAAUUACCAUAUCGCGUAGUCUUUAUGCAGAUUUCAUACUCUGUUAUUUCUAUACUUAUACUUGUUCAGGUUAUUUAGUCCAGUAAGUGUCUUGACUGUUCCUCGUCACUACUCCACUGAGGUUAGUCUUGAUACUUGCUGGGUACCGCCGUGGUAUACGCAUACUAUACUUCUGCAUAUUUUUGUGCAGAUCCAGGUAUUUUGAAGUCAGUUGAUCAUUAGCUAGCUGUGCGGACUGUUGCUAUGGAGAAUCAAGGUAAACCUGCUGCUGCGUUCACAGGCUUCGGAGUCACCUUCCUAUUUUGUAUUCACAUUGUUUUACCUAUUUCCAAACAAUUGUAUAUAGAAAUUUGUAGCAAUCUUUGUAGAGCUUAUGACUUGUACUACCGGUUUUGGGAAUUGUAAAUUUUUUUACAAAGAACUCCAUUUCAAGUUGUUAGAUGUUAUUUAUUAUGGUUGUUAUUCAGUAAAUGUUAGGCUUACCUAGUCCCUAAGACUAGGUGCCAUCACGAUAUCCAACGGAGGGAAAAUUGGAUCGUGACAAGUUGGUAUCAGAGCUCUAGUUUCAUAGGUGCUAUGAGUCAUAAGCGAGUUUAGUAGAGUCUGGCGGAUCGGUACGGACAUGUCUGUACUUAUCUUCGAGAGGCUACGGAACUAAUAGGACUGUUUCACUUCCUUCAUUCCUAGCGUGCGAGUUCAUUGAUCUCGAAGUUUGAACUUUUAUCAUUCCAUUCUCUCACAGAUGGUGAGGACACGAGCUGCAGUCAUUGAUGACAUUACCCCCGGAACAGAUAUCGCUAGGGGCAGAGGCCAACGAGGAGCACGUACCGCAGCUAGGGCACCUACCAGAGCAGCAGUUGAGGAGCCGCCAGUAGUUCCAGUUAGGGGGGAGGGGCAGGUACCGGAGGCGUCUUCUGUUACCCCCAGACUUCAGGAGACCUUAGCAUAGUUCCUGAGCAUGUUUGGUACAUUGGCUCAGGCGGGGUUGAUUCCGGUUGCACCAACUACUUCACAGACCGGGGGAGGAACUCAGACUCCCGCUGCCCCCACUCCAGAGCAGCGAGUUCAUGUUGGUCAAGUUCCAGGUGUCAUGGCGACACAGUCUGUGAUUCCAGUUCAGCCUGAGGUUAGGGCAGCAACAUCCGAGGAAGAGCAGCUUAGACUUGCAAGGUUAAAGAAAUAUUACCCUCCUACUUUCAGUGGUUUGGCUUUAGAGGGUGCACAAGGUUUUUUAGAGGAGUGCCAUCAUAUUCUCCGCACUAUGGGCAUUGUUGAGACGAGUGGGAUUGCUUUUACUACGUUCUAGCUUAGGGGAGCGACUUAUCAGUGGUGGCGGGCAUACGAGUUGGGUAGCCCGGCCAAGUCAGCUUCACUUAUAUGGGUUCAAUUUUCAGAGAUGUUCUUGAAAAAGUUUGUACCUCAGUCCCUUCGAGAUGCAUGGCGUGCAGAGUUUGAGCAUUUGUGCCAGGCACUAUGUCAGUGUCAGAGUAUGCCAUUAGAUUCAGUGAUUUGGCCAGGCAUGCACCUGCUUUGGUCACUACAAUUAGAGAGCGUGUCCGUAGAUUCAUUGAGGGGCUCAGGCAUGAUAUUCGGUUCAACAUGGCUCGGGAGUUAGAGUCGGACGUUUUGUUUCAGCAGGUGGUAGGGAUCGCUCGUCGAGUAGAGGGCAUAUGGGAUCAGGAGAGAGGAGACAGGUGAGGUCAGGAGAGAGAGGACAGGGAGGCGAGGAGGCCUCGUAGACCGGAGAGAUCUACUGGUCCUUAUUUUGGAGGCGGGUUAUGACAUGGUAGAGGUUUUGUGGGUCAGCUAGUUCAGUUUGCACUUCAGGCUUCGCACAGUAUUUCAGGUGCUCAUGGGUUUCAGAGUACCCGUACCACACAGUUCCCAUAGCCACGUCAGUAGAAAGGUUGCUUCGAGUGUGGAGAUACCAUCCACAGGGUGAUUGAUUGUCCUAGACUCCGUACAGGUGUGUCACAAUAUAGUAUUCAGGCGAGUAGAGGGCACCCAAAAGUAGAAGGCUCAACCCGUUGAUGUGUUUCAUAUAGUAGGCUUGAGGCCUUUGCACCAGAUGAUGCCAUACAGGUAUGCUUUUGAUUUGUUACAGAGGGACACCAUUCGUAUUUUGUUUCAGUUCUGCUUAUCGGGGCGAGUUCCCCUAUUUGUUGUCCCACCUAUGGGUGAGUUCAUGAUUUAGCAUUAUGUUUAUGUGUUUGCCCCUGUUGGGAGAUUCUAUGAGUGAUAGUCGUGUCUAUCGUUGUUUUAAUUCAUUGUUGAAAGUUACGAGACUAGAAGUGAAUUCAUGUUGUCUAGUAUGGCAGGUUUGAUGUGAUUCCUGAGUAAUUUGGUUACGAUUUGUGAUUGGAUACUCUACCCGGGGUAACAGUUUAGUAAGUGUUGUGAUUUUAUUGGCAGAAUUGAGUUAAAGGAAGAUUUCCAUUGGUAUGAUGUGUAUUCGACUUGUGAUUCCACGUUGAGGGUGAGACCCUCACGAUUCCAUAUGAUUUGAUAUGUUUGAGCCGGGCUGCGUGCUGCGGUAGAAGUUAUAUCAAGAUGAGAUACUUGUGAUUUGUUCAUAUACCUUGAUUCUUCCUUUUUAAAUUGAUUCGUAGUAUGGUACUGAUAUAGAGUUUUGCCUGUCGGGCUUGUUUAAUAUUUCUCUUAUGUGUUUCUAUUUACAUAUUCAGUCAUUUUUGUUCUGUGCUUCUUGAGUUUUAGCUUGCGGGGUAUAUGUCCGGUGGCGUUAGUUGUGACGUGUUGAUUCGGGUGUAUAGUUAAGAGGUCUUCACAUUUCUUGUAUCGUUGUCAGUGUUGUGAAGGUUUGAAAUAGGGUUCUAACGGAUAUGAGGCUAAUUGCCGGUGCUGGUUUUGAUUACGGGCAGCUAUUGUGAGCAGAAAUGUUAUCAUGGGCCUAAAUGUGGUGUGUCACAUUGUGUGGUUGUACCUUGCGGUUGUAGGCAUGAGUUGCUGAAGCUAGGUGAGACUGAUACCGGGUAUGGAUUUAGAAUCAAGUCUUUUGGAGAUGAAUUGAAGGUGAGAAUUCUGACUGUAAGCCUUAUCGGUGCUGGUAGAAAGGAUAAAUUAUAGUUCAGAUGGUGUCAUAAGGCUUAUAUGGAUUGGGGUGACGUGGGGUCACUCGCGGGUGUAUGUUGGAUAUGUGCUUUCAGUGAUUUGAAGACUUCGAGGCGAUUCUUGGAACGUUCGAGGACAAACAUUUGUUUAAGAGGGGAAGGAUGUAAUGACUCGGCCGGACGUUUUGAGAAUUUAAGUACUGAUCGGUGGCAUAAGGUCCUGAGCAGCUUCGUAUUAUGUGUAUUGAUUUGCGUGCAUGGUUGAAUUCAGUUAUCGGAUGAUUCAGAGUCAAAUCGGAAGAAGGAUGCAAGCUUUGGAAGCUUAAGUCUUAGGAUUUUGACCGUAGUUGGAACUGUGUGAAGACAACUCUGGAAUGGAGUUCCGGCUGCUAGGUUAGCUUUUUUGGGUGAUUUUGGACUUAGGAGCGUGUCCGGAUUGUAAAUUUAAGGUCUGCAGCUAAUUUAGGCUUGAAAUGGCGAAAGUCAAAUUUUUGGAGACUUUGACCGGUAGUGGACUUUCUAAUAUCAGGGUCGGAUUCUGAUUCCGGAAGUUGGAGUAGGUCUGUAAUCUUGAAUAUGGCUUGUGUGCAAAAUUUAGGGUCAAUCAGACAUGGUUUGAUAGGUUUCAACAUCGGUUGUAGAAAUUUGAAGUUUCAAGAUCUUUUAGUUUGAAUCGGAAGAUGAUUCGUGAUUUUAGCGUUGUUUGAUGUAGUUUAAGGGCUCGACUAAGUUCGUAUGGUGUUUUAGGAUUGGUUGGUAUGUUUGGUUGAGGUCUCGGGGGCCUCGGGUGUAUUUCGGAUGCUUAACGGAGGAAAUAUUAGACUUAGAAAAUUUCUGAAGUUUGCUGGUUUCUGGUGUUUCGCACCUGCGGUGGGGGAAACGCAGGUGCGGGGCCGCACAUGUGGAUGAUUGAGCACAGAAACAGAUUUGGAGGGAGUGUUCAGGGGCCGCAGGUGCGAGGUGAUAUCCGCAUCUGCGAUGCCCGCAAUUGCGCUGGAGAGAUCAUAGGAGCGAUGGAGGACCGCAGAAGCGGACAUAGGUCCGCAGGUGCGACCUUUUGAUCGCAGAAGCAGUCGAUGAGUUUUAAGUGAAAACCGCACAUGCGAUGGAAUUUCCGCAUGUGCGGAACCGCGGAUGCGGUUGAAGGCCCGCAGAAGCAGUUUGACCGAAAGAAAAAGGUCUAAGUGCGAGGGUUUGAUUUCAUUCUUCUUUUUUGGACUUGAGAGCUCGGAAUUUGGCGAUUUUUCAAGGGAUUUUCAGAGGAAGCUUUGGGGUUUGGGCCAUUCGGAGUCAGAUAUUCGUGGAAAGGCAUUGUUAGCGAUUGAUUGAGCUUGGUUCGAGGUAAGUAUCUUGUCUAACUUCGUGUGGGGGAACUACCCCUUAGGAAUUGAGUCUUUUAUGCUAAUUGUAGUCCGGGUACGCGAGGUGACGAGUACGUGCUCAGACGUAUUUGUGGAAAAUUUUCCUUUUAGAGUUCUUAGGUCCUUGUAUUCAUUAAAUAUGCAGUUGUUCCCGUUAUGAUUACGUUUCUAAAGUACUAGUUUCACUUCUACCUGCUUUUAUUAGAAUUAAUUGCUUCAUGAUCCACUCUUGUAGUUCAUUUGAUUCAUAUGUGCCUUAACUGAAAUUGUUAUAUCUUCUAUUGCCAUGUUGCAUUUCCCCUAACUGCUUAUCUUUAUUUGAAGUUGUAGUUACCCCUUUUGUAAAUGUUCACCCUUAAUUGAGGUUAUGCUUAUCUUUCUGCCGCCUACCUUUAUUUGAAUUUGUUGCAUCUCUUUCGUAAUUGUCCAAACUUAUAAAAACACUAGAUCUGCCACUUGGAUAUUAAUAUUGACUUGGAUUAACCAUUUUCUCUAGAAAUCUAAUUAUAUAAAAACCUAGAUCUAAAUUUUGGGUUAUACAACUUACUAUCAUAAUUUAAAAUUUAUUGAUAGUAAUUUUUUUAAAAACACCUAAUGUAACCUAAAAGCCUUUUAAAUCCUACUAUUCCUAUUCGAAGUCCCUUUCUUUAGAGUAUUGUUCAAUGUGCAACAGUAAAAAAAAUUAAAGGUACUGUUCUUCUUCUUCUUCUUCCUUUAAACAUACUAUGAUGACUCAUUUUGAUUGGGGCUAGCAUUGAAUAGGAAAGUACCAUUAUACCAUGUGCAACUAAUGGUAUUUACUUUUUUCAAAAAAUAUCUUCAAAGCAUUAUUUGGUAUACAUUGGAAUGAUUUUUUUGAUUUUUUUUUUCUUCUUUAAGAAUGAGUUUCAAGUACCAUUUNNNNNNNNNNNNNNNNNNNNNNNNNNNNNNNNNNNNNNNNNNNNNNNNNNNNNNNNNNNNNNNNNNNNNNNNNNNNNNNNNNNNNNNNNNNNNNNNNNNNNNNNNNNNNNNNNNNNNNNNNNNNNNNNNNNNNNNNNNNNNNNNNNNNNNNNNNNNNNNNNNNNNNNNNNNNNNNNNNNNNNNNNNNNNNNNNNNNNNNNNNNNNNNNNNNNNNNNNNNNNNNNNNNNNNNNNNNNNNNNNNNNNNNNNNNNNNNNNNNNNNNNNNNNNNNNNNNNNNNNNNNNNNNNNNNNNNNNNNNNNNNNNNNNNNNNNNNNNNNNNNNNNNNNNNNNNNNNNNNNNNNNNNNNNNNNNNNNNNNNNNNNNNNNNNNNNNNNUAUCAUUUCUCAAAAGAAAAAAGAUGAGCCCCAAACUGAUAGUUGGCCUAGCAUCCAAACAAGUUGUUUUGGCUCCUAGAAAUUUAUCGUUUUCAGAUAAAUUUAUCUUCGCUUAUAGGCAAUUACCAGUGGUUUUAUAUAUUAGUCGUUUUGAUAGAUUAACAUUUUAGAAAAUGAAAAGGUAAAUAUUUAUUACCUAUUUUUUAAAAAUUUAUCCUUACUAUUUUAAUUACUGAAGUGUUAUUUAAAUAAAAUAUUUAAACAAAGAUAAAUAGUGGUUUAAAUAUGUACUCUCUCAUGAUUAAGGCUAUGAAGUAAUUUUCUUAAAAAGUCUUGCGAAAUUUUAAAAGGCAGACUAUACUGUUCUUUCCGUCUUUUGUUUCUUUUUAUAUGCAUAUUCUGCUUCUUUUUUUUCCCUUUCUUCUUUUGGUGAUUAAAGCAGUUUAUUCUUUGACAAUUUCACUGAUAGAGGCCGCCCACGUGCAAGGUAGCAUUUAAGACUUACCAGUACGUAGGAACGUAGGUUCAGUUAAAUAAUGACUCCAACUUUGGUUCUUUUCUUUUUGUUGGUAAACAGUUGCUCCACCUUUGCUCUUUGAUAUAAGUUGCCACAUGGUCUGCAUUACAAUUUACAAACAUGAGUCAUAGCUUGAAAAUUGAAAUUUAGUGAAGAAUUCUAUUGAAAUUCAUCAUAUUAAAACGAACAAUACCUCACAAGUAUAAAAGAUUAGAAAGUUGAAUAUUACGUGUGAGCUAAUAAAUAGGAAAACUAAAAGGUAGAGUUAGAGUAGAAAGUAGAAAGGUGACAUUUAACUAAUUGAGAUGGAAGAAGUACAGUAAGAAAACUUAUUCACAUUUAUUAGAUGUCUCAAACUAAUAAGUCCAUGAUAUAUUUUUUUAUACAAAUAUUAUAACCCAAGCUAAUUAAUAUGUAUUGCUAUGACAAUUUUGUCACUUAAUUAUGAAGGAUUAACAUGUUCGUCCAUGCACCAGAUCAAAUAUCGCAGUAUAACUUAUUAGGAUACAAUAAACCAUUUACACUCUUCUCGAAAUACAAGUUGGCCUAUUUACUGGCGGCUAACAUAUUUUACUUUUCUGAUUGAACGUAACAAUAAUUAAGAAGAUAAUUUGCAAAUCUCACUCUGCAAUCUGCAUGAUAUUCGCACAUAAUUUUAAAUAAUUGGGAUGGCCUUUCUUGGAACAAGGAUGUCUCUCUUGGAGUAAUAAUUACAUGCAAUGCAAUAUGAAAUAUUUAAAUCGAAAGGUCCACAGCAACGUGACGACCAUGUGGCUCUUUCAUAAAAAUUAACCGUGAUGCCUCAUAAAGUCUAAAGCAUAUACCAAAAAAAUCCUAAAGUGUACAGGUUUAUCUGGCCCUAAAGUUGACCCUUUUACUUGCUGUCUUUGUAUGAAGCUAAUUAACCUAGAAAUUAAAGAGGCAAAAAUUAACCUAGUGUAUAAGCAAGUCUGCGACCACGUGGCUCUUUCUCCGUUGUUAGCGGAAAUGAUAAGUUAAUACAACCCCUUUAAUUUGUGAAACAAGCAAACACUAGAAGUUAAACCUCACUGGGCUAAAAGUUACAUUAUUUUCUUUUUAUGUUAUUUAAUAGGAAUAUUAUUUAAUUAGGCGUAAAUUUUAAAAUGUUAAUACAAUUAUUCAUUAUAUGAGUAAUAGUAGUUGAAAGAAAACUACUUAAAUUGAAUGAUAGUAGAAUGCAAGUUUGAGUAGUUAAUUUUUCUAAAGGUCAUACAUGAGUAGUUAGUAACUUUCUAGGGGUCAAGGUUUUCUCUCUCUAGAAUGAAAUUUCCUCUUAGCGACGGCCGAAGAUGACGAGGAAAUCCAAAACUAGGGGAGGAAGGCAAUGAAGUCAAGAGUGCAUACAACCUCCAUCUACAGAAUAAAAAAUGAGAGUGCCUAACUCGGCGGAUACAAAAAACACUCUUAAUAUCAACGCCUUACAAGGAAUUGUACAGCUAGAUUUGCAUCAAUGCUCGGCAUCGAAUACCGAAAAAAUGCUGUCAUAUAAUAUGUGUUGGGUUCUAACCCCUUAGCAGCUGUGAUGAAUGGCUACUUUCAUAGAAUCUAGGAAAAAUUGGGGAUUGAUAACGUUGUGCAAGUAAACAGAGGAUUUUUUCUUGUGAGAUUCACCCAAAUUGAAAAUAGGGUAAAGGUUGUGGAAGACGGAGUCCAGAUGUUCGACAAAAAGCCAGUGGCAGUUAAGCCUUGGUCGCCUGAAAUUGAUACGAGGAAUAAACAUUAACUAAUAUUACAGGGCUAGCGGGCGAUCCUCUAAAGGCUGGCAGAGCCACCACAUAGAAGGAGAUGAUGACAUUUGCUAGGAUGCUUGUGGAAGUAGCAUUGGACCAGCCUUACCCAAUAUGUAUCAUGUUUGAAAAUGAGUAUGGCAAAAUCAUUGAGAAACAGGUGCACUAUGAAUGAAAACCUGCACUAUGCCAUGAUUGCAAUAACUAUGGACAUGAACUGAAGGAAUAUAGUAAACAAAUGCAAGCAGAAAAGCAGAAACCAGACCAACAAGGAAAGGAAGUAGAACAGAACAAGACAUGGAAUGACACUAGAGGGAAUGUGCAUGUAGAGGGACUGAACAACAAAGUGGUAGAGACUAACCAGAAUGCAUGUUUUGUGCAAAAUUGAGGCAGGGUAAGGGUUAAUAGCCCUAAAAGAACCAUGGGAGGUCCUAAUAAGGAUCAAACACUAAGCAUAGGAAACUCGUUCGAGGCACUAGGGAGCCCAGCAGGAUGGGGAUAGCGGAGCAAGGGCAUAUUACAACAGGAAAUAUGGUACAGGGAGGGAAAGAUGACCCAAAACAGGGAAGGGUGGGGGAUUUCCACCCCUUCCAAUGGAUAGUAUCGGUUUUUGGAACACCAGGGGACUAAAUAGGCUAAAUAAACAGAAGGAAUUGAAUCUGUUUAUGCAUCAGUGCAAAGUUGGCUUAUAUCGUCUCCUAGAAACUAAGAUGAAGAGAAAUAAUACUCAAAAUGCUUCCCUUAAUCUAUGUAGAGCCUGGUCUUUUACAACCAAUUUGGCUUUACACCCAGGGGAAAGAAUAUAGGUGGUUAGGACGCCCUCAAUAAUUUAUUUUCAGAUUGAAUUCAGCUCUAAACAAGUGAUUCAUUGUGUGGUAACACACAUGGGCAUUGGCCUAGUUUUCAAUGCAACUUUUGAAUAUGGAUUCAAUGAUCCAUCAUUAAGAAGAACCUUGUGGCAGGAUAUAAGAAAAAUAAAUAGCACUGUGACGGGGCCAUGGGCAAUUAUGGGUGAUUUUAAUUGUAUGUUGCAUAAGGAGGAUAGAAUUGAAAGACAUGUAGUCAUGCUAGAAAUUAAAGAAUUCAGAGCAUGUGUGGCUGAUUGUAGACUGCAGGAGUUAAUAUCAUCAGGAUAUUAUUUCACAUGGAAUAACAAACAAGAAGGAAGGGGGAUAGAGUAUAUAGUAGGAUUGAUAGAGUGUAAGUGAACACUGAAUGGAUAACUCUACUACCUGUAUCUGAAGUUUAUUAUAUGAAUGAAGGGCUCUAUGAUCACUGACCAGCAAUUAAAAGUAGGAGAAUGGUCAGCAUAUAAGCAGGAAGCAAUUCAAGUAUUAUAACACGUGGACAAUGACACUUGACUUCUAAGAAAAAGUGAAAGGGAGUUGGGAUGGAGAGAUAGAUGGGGACAAAUUAUUUCAAGUGGUGGGGAAGAUGAACAGAUUAAAGGCAGUGUUACUCAGCUUGAACAAAGAAAGGUUCCCAGAUAUAGAAAAGAAGGCAGAUAGAGCAAUGUAGGACUUAAAGAAAUGUCAGUCAAAAGUGCAAGACGUCCCCAUGAAUAAAACACUAAUUGAGGAAGAAAUGCACUUAGCUAAGGAAUGCAAAAUCUAGGGAGAAGCUAGAGAUCAAUUCUUGCGCCAAAAAAGUAGAGUUCAAUGGCUAACUCAAGGAGAUCAAAACACAAAAUUUUUUCACAGUGCAAUAAAGGAAAUAAGAAAUAAGAAUAGAAUCUUCUCUGUUAUUGAUGCACAACGGUCCACUAAAAAAGAACCAGGGGAAGUAGCAGAAGCAUUUAUAGGCUUCUGCAAGAAUUUGCUGGGGAUAAAAAGUAGAAAGGAGGCAACAUGUAUGCAGUGAACUAGUUAGGCAAGGGCUCACAAUCACAUAGGAACAAAGGGAAUGGCUAGAAAAUAGAUUCUCUGAAAUGGAGGUAAAGCAAGCAGUAUAAGCAAUAUCAGGGGAUAAGGCUCUAGGGCCUGAUGGCUAUGGUAGCCGGUUCUUUAAGGAUUGUUGAGAAAUUGUGGGUAAUGAUAUAAUUACAAGAGUAUUAGAGUUCUUUUAGGCUGGAAAAAUGCCAAGAAGUCUCAAUGUCACAACAAUUCAUUAAUUCCAAUGAGCAUCCAUGCAGAACAUGUGGGAGACUAUCGACGUAUAGGCUGCUGUAAUACCAUCUACAAGGUGAUAUCUAAGAUGUUGAGUGAGAAUGAAGUCAGUUUUACCAGACAUCAUUUUAGAAAAUCAAAGUGCAUUUGUUGUUAGGAGAACCACUAUCCAGAAUGUCCUCAUCUGCCAAGACUUAGUGAGAUUAUACAACAUGAAAGCAACCACAAAAAGAUCCCUAAUAAAAAUUGACUUGAGAAAAGCCUACGAUACUGUAGAAUAGGACUUUGUGCAGGAGAUGCUACAUGCUUUAAACUUCCCCAGUAAAUUCAUCAAAUAGAUAAUGUUAUGCAUCACUACGCCCAGAUAUUCAAUAGCAAUCAAUGUGGGGUUAUAUGAAAACAUAGAGGAUUGCGGCAAAGGGAUCCCAUGUCCCUAUUCAUUUUUGUGAUUUGCAUGGAAUACUUCACCAGAAUCAUGUACAGGGUGGCCACACUUCAGGGUAUCACAUUUCACUGUAAAUGUAAAGGUCUGCAACUAAAUUAUUUGUGUUUUGCAGAUGAUAUGCUCUUGUUUUGUAAAGAAGAACUACACUAUGUUGCAUUUAUGUUAAGAGGCCUAGCCAGCAUCUCCAAUGCAUUGGGGCUGACCACAAAUGCAACCAAGUCCAACAUAUAUAGUGCUAACAUGGAAAUGGAAAGUGUUAAGGACAUAUUUAAAAUGACAGGCUACAAGAAAUGAUCAUUACCCUUCAGGUACCUAGGAGUGCCAAUCUCAGCAAAGAAAAUCUCUUUUGUAGACUGUGAAAUGUUAGUGAAGAGGAUGUGUACGAGAAUCCAAAGUUGGGGCACACGAAACAUGUCGUAUGCUGGGAGAGUUCUACUAGUGAAUUUAGUUAUAAUGCAUAUUCACUCAUACUGGUCAUCCAUAUUUUUCUUGCCUAAGAAGAUAUUAAAAAAUAUCAUAGCCAUCUGCAGGUUUCUAUGGGAUGGGAAAGUCAACACCAACAAAUUAUCACCGGUGGCUUGGGAAUUAGUGUGCAGACCUAAACAAGAAGGUGGGCUAGAGAUCAUAGAUUGUGAGUUGUGGAACCAAGAAGCUAUAGCAAAAUAUAUGUGGAAUGUAGCCAAGAAGGCUGACAACCUAUGGGUAAAUGGGUGGACCACAUAUACCUAAAAGGAACUUCCUGGCUAAUUAUAUUAAUUCGAAGUGUUUAAAGGUUUUAAAGAAGAUCGACAUGUGCUAAUUAUAUAUAUUCGCGUGUGAGCAAGGGCUAAUGAUAUAAAUAAUAUCACUUGAACAUAAUAAUAUAUUUAUGAGGUAUAUUAGAAAUGGUUUAUGGUCUAAGAAGAGCCCUAAGGCUAAGUCAAGUUGGAAAUUAUAUGAUGGGCUAAAGUUUCUAGUGGGUUCGCACAAGACUUAACUUCAAACAAGCAUAAAUCUCAUGAUAUGAAGUUUUAUACGGUGUAUGACCUAUUAAAUGAAAGGUCUAUGUGUCUAGUUUCUAAUGCUUUAAACCUUUCAUCAUUUGGAUAUUUAUAAAAUGAGUUAUGGGCUUUGUACCAGAAGGUGGUAGUGCAGCUAUGCAGUUUCAGAAUUUGGCCAAGGGAAUAGCCUCCUGCGCAGUGUUUUAAAAGGCAUGGGUGUAGGGCAAAGCGCUUUACAUAUGCCUCAACGAGGCCUACGCUCCGAGGCANNNNNNNNNNNNNNNNNNNNNNNNNAUAUGUGCUACUUACAACUUACAAGCACAAGUAACUUAUUAAUCAAAAUAAUUUAUUAUACGCUACUUACAACUUACAAGCACAAGUAACUUGAGUCGAAAAUAGGAUGACUAACCUGCAAUUUGAAAUUUGAACUUGCUGAUAUGAAGGAGAAUGAAGUUCUCUUUGUAUUUGUAAAGAAAUUGAAUAUUCGUUAUUUUGGGAGAUAUUAGCAGACUAAGGAACAACAUAAAGAAUUGGGAAAAAUCAUAAAUUAGGGUUUUAAUCAAUAAAAAGAUCUUAACUUUUAAAUUUGAUACAUUUCAGUUCCUUUUUAAAACUUUUGAGUAAUUACAAGCUGACUUUUGAGAAUUUGGGUAUUAUACGAAGGACUUAUUCAACAAAUUUUAUUUUAAUUUGAAAAGGUCUCUGGGGCUUACGUCUCACUACAAAAACGUGCCUCAAACGCCCAGGCGUACACCUCGAACGCCCGGGCGUACGCCUCUUGAAACUUUCACCCCACACCUGCGUAGGUUUUAUGUGUAGGCUAAGCUGCUUUAGGGGCCAUUUUAAAGGGGCAGAAACAAGGGGUUUAGAGAGAGAAAAAGUUAAUUCUUCAACUUGGAAUUGAUUUCUAGAGAGGAGGAGCUCUUCCACCAUGGAUACACUUCAAGGUAAGUUAUUUUGAUACAAGGAUGAUUUUAUUACAUCAUUUAGUGAUUACUAACACUAUUAUGGAUCAAAUCCAUAGAAAAUGGGUUGAAUCUUUAAGAACAUCAAAAAGAAAAAAAUGAGAUUCUUCUACCAAGAGGUAAUCCCUUCACUUGAGCUUCAUAUUUAUGUCAUAUUAGAGUAUGGGUAGCAUGUUUAUGAAUUUUAUUUAUAGUUGUAAUGGAAUAUUGUAUGAACCCUAAGAACGUCUUGAAAAUAAUAUUUUGGACAAAGAAGAAGAUGAAUAGUGAUGAAUUGAUAUAAAUGGAAUUGUUUUGAGUUUCUAAUGAUUCCAAUAGACUUGAUAACUUAAUUGAUGAACGAAUUGAAUAGGGAUCACUAUUUGGACAAGAUGCAACACUAGUUCUUGAAAUGUGUGUUCUUGAACCUAUAGGGGUUUGUUGAAGAAGACAAUGAAUAGUGACUUGAUGAUGUUGGAUAAUUAAUGUAGUAUUAUUAAUGACUCCAAAUGAGUGUUAAAUUAAAGGAAUGGAAUUAAAUAGGCUAAUAGGUGAGCCUAUUGGAUAAUUUGGGAUGGUUGAAGGCUUGUUGACGAAUUAUGAAGCCUAAAUAAAUAUUUAUGAAUUGUUUUAUAUUUGUUUUGAUGUAGUUGAGAUAUCUUAUGGUAGAUACUGAAUUGUGGGCGAUAUUGGAGCAUAAUAGUAUUUUUGGAGCUUGAAGGUUGAGAUAAGUUGAUUAAAACUUACUCUUCUUGAGGGAUUCUCUUUAAAAGCAUAUCUUAAGUUGAUACAUUGUAUUAUUUGUAAAUGUGCAUCCGUACUUGUGGGAAGAAGCGGGAAAGAUGUCACCAUGUGUUUCUAAAUUGUUGCUUAUGAAGUGUCAUGUCAUUUUAUAAAAAUCUUGUUCGCAAAAUGACACUUAAGGAAAUUUUUAUAAGUUAUAUUAAAACUUAUUUGUUGAUGAGAGUAUAAAAUGCUCGAGUGCUAAAGAUAUGUUUUGAUGAAAAAGUUUGUCUUUUGAAAUUUCAACAAAGGAAGCACUAGUUGUAUCUUUAGAUUGGUGUUAAUUGCUAAAGGCUUUAACAUGAAAAAGGUUAUUCAUUUGAUUUUGUUCUAAUAAUUUGAAUUGGCUAUAAAAAUUAUGAUUUGAUAAAAAUAUAUCCUUUAAGAAAAUUGUGCUAUGUAUCUAUUUUUGAUAUGUCAAAUAUUUUGGAAGUUACUGGUGGAUCACCGAGAUUGGUUCGAAUAUUGAAUUCGUUACUAUGAAACUACACGUAGCGGUGUAGGGAUACAUUCCAAGGCUAAGUCGAGGUUUGUGGGAUAAAGUCCCCCAUUGAGAGGGAAAAUGAUCAUUACUUACAGUAAUGAGGUUAAGUCAAGUCGUACGGCACUAUGGGAAGCCGUCCAGACAAGUAGAGUCAAAUAAUUGUUGCUAGGAUGAUCACUUAGUAGUUGUUCAUUAUGUAUGUCGGUAUACUACUCCUAGUGAAAGGUAAAAGAGAACUUUCUUAUGUUUAGGCCUAAGGAGGCGAAAGUGGUUUCAAUGACAUAUAUUUAAUGGCUUACAUGGUUUACAUUUUACUUGUUUUUUAUUUAAAACGAUAAAGAGCAUGAUUUAUGUAACCGUUUAUCACUUUAUUUCCAAUAUUGGUUGCACAAGUUUUGUAAAAUCUUGUCCAGGAACUUGAGUUAGAGAGAGUCUAUGACACAUAUUGAGUAUCGCUAUGGUGUUCUCAGCCCUUAGGAGCCCCCUUCUAGAGCCCCACUUACUUUACAUGUUUCAGAAUGAGGAAUGAUAUGUGGCAUACAGACAGAGCUAGGAUGACUCUCUUUCUGAAGUAUAUGGCGAUGCACCGCUCCUAUUUCCUGGAAACUAUCAUAUGUUUUUCUUAAUUUAUGUUAUUCGGGCAUUAGCCUAUGUGUUUAGUUCUAUUCCUUGGUAUAGAGGCCCUAUAGUAAUUGUGAAAAGUUGUAAUAAUGGGAUUGUAUGUGGCAUACGUGAAAAUAUAUUUAUUUUACUUAGUCUCAUUGUUAUAAUUAUGAGAGGCUUCAUGUAUGAUUUUGAAUUGGAAAGUUUUUCCAUUGUUUAACUUGAAAAAUAUAUAAAAUUUUCAAAGAGCUUCCGCAAAUAAAUUUGUUUUUAUGCCUAUGAUUUGGGUGCAUCAUAUGAGUUGGUUCGCUUAGGUCGGAUAGUGUGUCGGGUUUCGGUCACAUGGAUUUGGAUCGUGAAAAAUUUGGUAUCAGAGCACUAGGUUCUAAGUAGAGUCCUAGGAAGUCUAUGGAGCCGUAUCAAGUAGAGUCCCUCUUAUCGGUCUGUUGCCGGCCACACUUAUAUCGGGGAGGCACCAAAGACAUUUAGGGAGUUUCACUUUCUUUUUACUCUAGUUUGUGUGUUGUGCCUGAAAUGAGAGAUAUGAUUCUCUGUCAUAUUGAAUACCCGGCAUGGUAGAUACUGAAGUGGUGAGCACAAAGCUCAAGGUUCAAGAUAUCACAUGUGCUGCUUGAGAAAUAGUUGGGAAUUAUCAGUCUAUCCAUGAAAUAAAUGAUGGGUUAAGGUCAAGAACAUCUUUAAAAGAAAUUGAUAUAGUCAAGAUGAAUAACUAUGGUGAACAGGAAUCAUAAGUCGAAUUCUGAUAACUCAUGGAAAAGUAAAUAAGGUGAUGAUGUCAGUUGGUACUGCUAGAAUAGUGACAGAACUCACGAAGGAUUCCACUGAAGGUUGAAAAAAAGGUUAAGUCCUAUAUAGGAAUGUUUCUAAAUUGUAGAUCAAGGUAUUGGGAUAGCUAUCUGCUAUGACAAUUACUAUUUACUAGUACAACAAAGGAAUAAAUAAAUAAAAAAGAAACACAAUGGUUACAAGAUAAAUGGAAAGGUAAUACCUCAAAUUACCGUGAUGUGCUGUCGAGGAAUGACAAGAAUCGAAUUGGUAAGAGAAUGUACAUCAAUCAAGUUCAUACCGAUCACCUUGUAAUUCAUAGGGAUGAGGAUCUAUUUGGGAUAACACCAAGAAUUUCCAAAAGUAUAUUUUAGAAAAGGGGAUGUAAGGAAACCUUCAUGAUUUUUAGAAAGGUGAACAAGGAAAAAUGCAAGAGAUGACCCUUAGUCUCACAAGAGAUUGGGAGACUGUUGACUUGGUAAGGUCUUCUCAUAGUAGUGGCUCAUGCGAUGAUAUAACUUAUAAGAAAUAAAGUACCAUGUGGGGGCACAAGUUGAGGGUAUUUGAAGCAUGUCAUAUGCAAAAACAAAAGGGGGUAGGUGAACUUUGAAUACCUCCCAUAUGUCAAAUGUGAUACAAAUGAAUGUCAAUCUUCAAUGAUACACACUGAGGUAUGUGAAUUUAAAUGGGUAAGUGAAAAAGUGUUAAUGCAUGAUAUGCACAAAAGGUGUAAUCUUAGAAGAUUUCAAAAAGCAAAUAGGUUGCCAAAGAAGGUAAAGUAAUGUGGAAUGACAACCUUGAGUUUGUCUAAUCGGGACAAGCCUUAUUUUAUCCUUUUGAACUUCUGGGAAUUGAAAAUUUCUAAAGGUAACUUCCAAAGCACCUAUACAUUGUCAAGUGGAGCUAUUAACUUGUUAUUUUGAUGGAAUCUUAAGAUUUAAGAAGAAUAAAUAUUUGAAAUGAUGUAUCAGGCCAAAUUGGAGCUUCAGGCAGAUUAUGAAUAUUGCAUAUGUAGUUUAAGGCUCAAGAGCUUGCAAACGAUGACGGUACACGUGUGAAAUUGAUGAGUUACGAGUGAUCCAAGGCUACGUAGUGAUGCCUUACGAAUCCUAGUUGUUAUUUACUGUCGCGCCCCAUUUUCUCGUGAAAGCGGGCUUCAACAUGUGACAUAUCUUUUAAAAGGAGGUAUUAAAAAAGAAGAGUCGCCACCUAAUAAUUUUUAAGGUGCGUUAGGGAACCUAGUUGCAAAUAACUCUGUUUGACUAGUCAACGAUACCAAAUAUCGGGUAAGGGCUUAAAUUACCUCAAAGAGAAGGUGUUAGGUACUCUUCGAGGUCCACAACUGUGGGUCCCGACCGAACUUUAGAGCAUGUGGAUUAUACAAUUAGGCUAGGCGAUUAAAUAAAUAGAAGGGAAGUUCAGAGGUUGUAGAGACAUAUGAGAAUCGGUACAAGUCUUAAUGACUAUAAGGAUACAACUAUAUUGGUCUAUAUUAAACGACCAAAUAUAGAUAACAAGUACAUAAAUAAAAUGAGGGGGGGGGGGGGUCCUAAGUUUUUAGCCUAAAGGAUCACCCCGUGCAACAUAAAUAAUACUUUGCAACUCCCUUAAAGUAGAGGUUGCUCGUAUUAUUUAGCGAGCACAGACUAUUAUCUCCUGCUACCCGAUUACUAUGUUGAAGUUGUUUACUUAAAAGCGUUCUAAUUCAAUUCCAAGUCGUACCCUAUGCGUGCACUACCUGUCCCUUGCCUAUGGUCCAGGAGGCUUUGGACCUACUAUAAGGUGGUUCUAGACUUUACUUAGGUUGCUCAAAAUGAUAAAACUAGGCGAUAUGCAAAAUAGAUAGGACUGCAUAUAAUUACAAUAAAAGACUUAAGUAACCUCCACACAUAAGUAGGAAAGCACGAAUAAAUUUCUAGUUAGGCAGUAGAUGACAUUACGACGUGUUGGAAUCGUUAAGUCCUAUAAGCAUGAUUUCUAUGUGAUUAUGGAUUCCAGUAUUAUAUAGGAAGUGCUGUAAUUUUUGGACUAACGUAGAGGCAAAUUAGAGCGUUGCAAGUCCUAUAGACAUGAUAUCUAAUCGUUUGCAUAAUAAGGUUGUGAAAAUAAUCCAAUAAUUCUGAAUUACUAAAGCUGAUUUUAUAGAUAUGCGUCUUAGGCAGGCAAUAAUACACUAUAGGCAUGAUCUCUAAAAGUCGCAUAAUUAGGCAGUGAAGUUAUUUGAAAACACAAAAUUAGUAGUAUCAAUAAACAUCCUAUGGACAUGAUUUCUAACAAUUGACAAUUGGACUUGAUUUUUAUACACUUUAUCCCUAUAGUCAUGAUAUUAAAAUGAAACAAUGCAAAAGCAGCAUGAAAUAAUUGAUUAAUUAGUUAAGACCCUAUAGUCAUGGUAUCUAGAUAAGUAAAGGUAUUGCAUUGUUGUAUCCUAUAUGCAUGUUAUCUAAUAGUGCAUAGAAGUAAACAUGCGAACAAUUGAAACACUUAGGUUCUUACAAACAUGUUUCUGAUAGUGUGCGGUCAUUAGACAUGUUGAGUAGGUGAAGUGUUUGAGUUCCUAUAGGCAUGAUAUCUAAGUGGAAGAAGUCUAGUUUGGAUCUUAUAGGCAUUCUCUCUAGCCAUUCAAGUCAUAACAUUGUGUGCAUAUAAUUCCAGAGAAUGAGGCAUGAUGAGUAAACAAGCUAUUAAGAUCCUAUAGGCAUGAUAUCAACCCAUUCAUGCAAAAGAUAAAGUAUCCCAUUUCCCCUUUUUCACUAAUCCCCAAUUGUUCGUUAUUACAAGUUAUUACAGGUCCAAGAAUGAAAUAAUACAAACUUAAAGAUGACAAAACACAAACUGAAAUGAAUACAAGCCCACUAAAGCAAUUACAUGUCCAAUGUAAAAGUAACCUAGGAAUAUCACAGGCCUUCAAUAGUCUUACUCUUCGGGCAAACAGCAGGCCCAAACCACAGGAUCACAAGAUAACUAGAGUGCACUUGAAUCCAGUGCCUAGGUCCAACAACACCCAUGGCCCAUCUCAAGGCCCAAUGAAUAACUUACUUACCCACAUGGAUACUAAAUUUAGCUAUGCAGGUGACACAAUACUCACAGAACAACUUAAUCCCUUAGUUCUUAGAGCUGAAUCCAUUAACAGCUCUAGCCAAGACAUAUAAACAGGAUCAUGCUAAAUGAAAAGGCACACAAGACACAUAUGAGGCAAGCUUAUUCUUUGUAAUUCCAGAAAGAGAGUUUGAUAGUGACAAGGUUGACCGUCAUAGGACAGUAAACCAUUCCAGUAAAGCAUGAUCCAGAAACAACCUAAGGACCUUUAGAUGAUAGUCUAGCAGAAUUAUGAACAAGAAGCAGGUAGAGUGCAGUCUUGAUAUGAAGGUUUUAACAUGAAAACCUAAUGAGAAUGUGGUUGCAAACAGCAUAACAACAUGCUAGCUGGCACAAUUUGGAAAACAUACUUGGUUGAUCAUGAAACUUAACCCGAUGGACAUUAACUAUAGCACAACGAUUCUAAAGAACUCAUAGUAGGCAAAAGAACAUGUCACCUAUAGGCUAACAGGACAGACAUACAUUGGGAUUCAUGUUAGUCGACCACACAUGAGAGAGAACUACACAUUGGUAUUUAUCCUAGAAGCAAUGCUAAAGGGUGCAGGAUUGCCCAAUCAGGGAACACAAUUAUCAGAGUUACAAAUCGCAGACAAACAUGCUUGGCUAGAGAUUAAGACAAUGCUAUAACAUGGGAGAGUUAAGGAUCAGUUUGCAUGAAAUAAUAGGUUAUACCUAAAGGAUCUAGUAGGAAGGGAUUCAUUAAAGCAGACUUUGAACAGGCAAUUUCUACAAAAGGUCCCAGAAAUCCAAGGCAUGCAUAUGAACUAACAACGGACAAAGGACACGACAUUGAGGCUAAUAUGAGCAUGACCAAUCAGACAAAACCUAAGAAGGCUAGAAAUCAUUUGAGUCAAAUACAUAGAGUGAAAGUAUACUAUACAUGUUGAAGCUUAUCAAGUCUAAUAAUAGAGAACAUGGAACUGCGGAACGUCAUUGAGACAAUAGAACUACAUAAAACAUACAACAAUACAACACUGGGAGUUCACAAAUAACAAAAAAGCUUAGGUCAUGCUUGUCUACAAAAGUUCAAACAAUAUUGGCACGCAUAAUACACAUACAUGAAUAAGUAGAGGAGUAAUAAUUAAGGCUGUAAAGUGUAGAGAAAAGUAACCAGUUGCUAAGAUAAACGAGCAAAAGAGUGAGUAACUUAGAAUCUCAGCGAUGACAGCAAAGAAAGAUAACAGUGAGAAUGCUAGAUCCUAGUGCAUCAGAGUUCACAGGAGCUUCAGUGAGCCCGGAGCAGUGCUCGCACUAUGGAGGUUAAUAGUGAAGAUUCCGUUGGUAUCGGCUUUCAGCCGACCACAAUCAAGAGAGCAGAAAUAAUAUAAAGGGUGAAAAGUGAGAGAAUAACAGUAGUUCUUAAGCGAUUACAGUAUGUCCAAAGAGGAAAUUGGGGAUGGGGUUUAUAUAGUAAUAAAAAUCAACACAUAAAUAAGGAAAUAUAGUCAACCGAACAUAAACAAGGAAAGAAGAACAUGCAAAAAUCAAUUUAGAAUCGGAUUAGGAGAAGAAACCAGGUAAACCAUGGUUUGACUAGGAUCAGAAAUUGGCCGGAGAUCUUGGUGAAUCAGAACCCCAUAGCCUUUCUAUGAACAUAUACGGACAAAUUAUCCUCCAAAUCUUGGAGAGUAAAGCCGAUCUCCUUUGAUUCAGAGACUGGUACUUGCCAAAAAUGGGCAAGUACUAAGUAACACCAUAUUUAUACAAGUAAUAGCGGUAUAAUCCGGAAAAAGUAAGUAAAUCAUGGUAAAAAUCCAUGGAUGAUUUGGAUUCGGAGAAGAUUGGAAUGACCUAAAAUCCGCAUAUCGUGAUGGGGCCUAUCUUAAUACUAGGCAAGCCGACAACCUCAAUAACCCAUAAUUUCUUUUAAAUAGUGAAAACAUAAUAAUUAAUUUUAAGGGAAAAGUCCCACAAAUACUGAAUAUAAAUAUACUCCCAAAACCCGGAGUCACUGAGUACAUGAGCAUCUAUACAACACAAGUGUGGAAAAUACGGUCUAUAAUAGUCUGAGACCAAAUACAGUAAACUAAGAGAUAGGGAAGGAGAGACAAGGUCUACGUAACACCGCAGCUACCUCGGAAUCUCCGAAAAAUUAACUGUGCAAAAGAACUAACACCCGCUGUGUUCGGGAUCACCUAGAUCUGCACACGAAGUGCAUGGUGUAGUAUGAGUACAACCAACUCAGCAAGUAAUAAUAAUAAAUAAAGAAUUGAAAGUAGUGAUGAGAUUCACAUCUAUUCCAAAUACAGUAAUUUCCAACAUGAAAAGGUAGGCAUGCUUUCAAGUUCAACAUUUAAAACUCUGCAGUAAUUUCAUAUCAACUUUGAUUGAGACAAAAAUAAUGUCUUUCAGAGUUUUUCCAAAACAAUGAUAUAUGACAGCUGAAAUGCAGCAAUAAUGAAAUCAAUGCAUCCUCUCAAAAUAACAGUCACCCAGUCCUCCCAUUCACUCCAACCUCACAAUCACUCUUUCCUUACAUUCACUCAUUCCUCACAGUCACUCAUUCCUCUCAAUCACUCCGCACUCGCACUCAAUAGGUACCUGCGCUUACUGGGGGUGUAUACAGACUCCAGAGGGGCUCCUUCAGCCCAAGCGCUAUAUCAAGACAAUCAUGGCAUAUAAUAAUGAACAUGAUGCGGCAUGCAGACCGAUCCCAUAAAUAUCCUCAUAAUUAGGCCCUCAACCUCACUCAAUCAUCAUCCUCUCUAGUCUCUCGGGCUCUCAGAAAUCAUGAUAAGCAGCCCAAACAACAAUGAUAUGAUGCAUCAAUAAUGAACAAUAGAGACUGAGAUAAAAUGUGAAAAUAAAAUUGUGACUGAGUGCAAAAAAACAAUUUAGCAAAUAAUUCCAUAAGUACACAACCUCUCUGUGUCCCAAUGGUGUAAACACAUCUCUCUGUGUCCCAAUGGUGUAAACACAUGGUUUAAACAUGAUUUAUAGUUCGAUUUCUCUAAAACAUGAAAAAUGUACGGAUAUCAACAGAUUAUUCAACUACACAGUUCCAUGGAAUUGACCAAGUAACAAUUCCUACGGUGCACGUCCACACGCCCGUCACCUAGCAUGUUCGUCACCUCAAAACCAAAUCACAUAACAUAUAAUCCGGGGUUUCAUACUCUCAGGACCAAAUUUACAACUGUUACUUACCUCAAACCGUGUAAUUCUUUAUUCUGCAAUGCCUUUGCCUCGCGAAUCGGCCUCCAAAUGCCUCAAAUCUAGCCACAAAUAAUUUGAUUCAGUCAAUAAAAAUUAUAGGAAUUAAUUCCAUAUGAAAAUAUAAAUUUUCCAUCAAAAUCCGAAAUUUCACCCAAAACUGCCCGUGGGGCCCACGUCUCGGAACCCGUCAAAAAAUACAAAAUUGGAAAGCCCAUUCAACCACGAGUCUAACCAUACCAAUUUUACCUAAUUCCGACAUCAACUCAACCCUCAAAUUUUCAAAUUAAACCAAGAGGGUUUUCUAAACUUUCCAACUUAAUUUACCCAUAAAAUGUUAAAAAACAACUAUGGAUUCGGGUGAUUUGACCAAUAAUGAGUUAAGAAUAUUUACCACGUUAGUUUCCUUGAAAACCUCCAUAAAAAUCGCCUCUUCUCGAGCUCCAAUUUGUCAAAAAUGGAAAAUGGGAUGCAGUUCCAUUUUCAGAACUUAAACAUUCUGCCAAGGCAUUCCUUCUUCGCGAACGCGACAGGUCCCUCGCAUUCGCGAAGCACAAAAUUGUGUUGUCCAAACAUUUCCCUUUGCGAAUGCGAGACACAGCUCGCGUACGCGAUUCUUUACCGGGUGAACCUUCGCGAAAGCGAAGGCAAAAUCCUCACCAGCUAUUUUCCCUUUCGCGAAUGCGAUACCCCAUCGCGAACGCGAUGAACAACCUUGCCUGCCCCUAGCUCCUCUUCGUGAAUGCGAGGCCCCUUUCGCGAAUGCGAAAAGAAAAUUUUUGCCUGCCUUUAGUUCCUCUUCGCGAAUGUGAGAGCCCUCUCGCGAUCGCGAAGAAGGAAACCAGACACAGGCAUCAGAAAAUUCCAGCCAAGUUCCAAGUUCAAAAGUCAUUCCGUUAACCAUCCAAAACUCACCCGAGGCCCCCGGGACCUCAACCAAACAUAUCAUCAAGUCCCAAAAUAUCAUACGAACUUGGUAGAACCCUCAAAUCACCUCAAACAAUGCUAAAACCAUGAAUCAUAUCCCAAUUCAAGCCUAAUGAAACUAAGAACUUUCCACUUCUACAAUCAACGCCGAAACCUAUCAAAUUAAGUCCGAUUGACCUCAAAUUUUGCACAUAAGUCGUAAAUGAUAUAACAGACCUGUUCCAAUUUCCAGAAUUGGAUUUCGAUCCCGAUAUCAAAAAGUCAACUCCCUCGUCAAACUUCCCAAAAAUUCAACUUUCUCCAUAUCAAGCCUAAUUCCACUACGGACCUCCAAAUCACAAUCCAAACACGCUUCCAAGUCCAAAAUCACCCAACAGAGCUAACGAAACCAUCACAAUUCAAAUCUGGGGGGUCGUUUACACAUAAGUCAACAUCCGGUCAACUUUUCCAACUUAAGUUUCCAUUAUGAGACUAAGUAUCUCAAUUCACUCCGAAAUCUUUUCGGACCCGAACCAACUAACCCGGUAAGUCAUAAGACAACUGUAAAGCAUAAAUUGAGCAGUAAAUGGGGGAACGAGGUUAUAAUACUCAAAACAACUGGCCGGAUGAUUACAAAGAUUUUGGGUGGCGGCUAGGGUUUCUUAGAGAAGAAAAGAGUAGAGAAUUUAGGGGAGACUGGAGUGUGAGAAUGAGAUUAGGGCUUAGGGUGAGGGGAUAUAAGGAAAGGGUAGGGAUUAUUAUGGGCUGUUGAUCAUCUGAGAUCAACGGUCGUGAUUAAAGGAAAGUGGGGUGGGUCGAGUAAAUGGGUCCCGACCGGGUUGGAACAAAAGGGGUCGUUUGGUUUGGGCCAGCGCAGAUUGGGGUUGGGAUCAUUUGUUUGGAUCUUAAUUGGUCGGGAAAUAAGGCAUAAUUUAGGCCAAAUUUUGAAGUAGGGGGAUUAAGAGGAAAUAAUUUUAAUAAAAUAUAAAAGAUGCUAUUUAUGCAACUUAAUACUUUAAAAUAAUAGUUGAAAAUUAUUAAAAAUGUAAACAAUUAUUUUGUCCUUAAAUAAAAUGACAAAUGCAAUUUAUUGUAAAAUAUGGGCUAUUAUUGCAAAAUUACGUAUUUGGCAUGAAACGUGCAAAUGUAAUUAUAUAAAAUGAAGUAAAUUAUUAUAACACAGAUAUGUGAAUGCAAAUAAUAGAGUUGGAUGGUUAAAUCAUCACAAAAUAAUUUUAAGGGGGUAAUUAAUACAUAUUCAAUUAAUUUAUCUGCAAGAAAAUCAGUUUUAAAGCUUUAAAAAUUACGAACAAUUAUAAAACUACUUGUAUAACUAUUGUAAAUNNNNNNNNNNNNNNNNNNNNNNNNNCAAAAUUGGGUAUCAACAGCUGCCCCUCUUUACUUGGGAAUGAUGAAAGAGUUGUCGGGUAAAGAAAAUGAUGACCAAUUUUGUCUGAAAUGAGAGGGGGAUGAUGUGUUUUUAAAAAAUAGGGGACCGAACCCUGGUUCUUGAGUUGCCUAUAUAUCUCUGGUAUUACGGGAAUCAAGCUGUGUGUAGUUUUGGAUCCAACGACGAACGAAACCGAUGGAGUUAUUAUAAGAGUGGUCGUACAUUUCAAAAGGAUAUUUUGGGUAAGAUAGUGUCGUAAGUAACGAAUAAUUUUGGAUGGAGUCAUGGAUGUGAAAUGAAUAUCACAGAUGUACGAGGCAGAUAUUUGGACGGUUAUAGAAUAAAAAGUAAUUAAUUACUGGUCGUCGGUUACGUUUGAGAUAGUCAAAGGAUACGAACGUUGUGAAUGGAAACCGGAGCGAGAAUUGCUCCUGUUUGUAGAACGGUUACCUCCCGAGUGACCUGCAAAACUUAAAACAUGAUGCACACGAAUAUAUGAGGUUAUUGCGUAAUUUAAACAUGAUGAAAAUUCCCUUUUGGACCAUGAGGGUUGUCUUCGGACGUUUGUGGAUGAUGUCCUUGGACCGUGACGUCCUGGGCCAUAAAGCGUAUGAUAAGGGAUUCACAAGCCAUGAAAUGGUGUCCUCGGUCCAUGAGGAUGGUGCCUCUGAACUAUGACGUCUUUGAAUAAUGAUGUGUAGUUUCUAGAGAUCCUCCGGUCUUGGCAUGAUGUCUUCGGGCUAUGAGGAUGAUGCCCUUAGACUAUGACGCCUUCGGACAAUGUGGCGAUGUUUCAUCCCGUGAAAUGCAAAGAUGCUGUAAUAUGGAUCGCUUGUCAAAGAAAACAGGUGAUGCUCAGUCGUAUGCGAGAAUGAGAUGAGGCAAGGUUUUGUCUUGUAUGAGAUGAGGGUAGUAUGGAGACAAUGCUUAGUCUCACGUAGCGAAAAGGCAGUGCUUAGCCUUAUACAAUAUGGAGGCAAUGCUUAGCCUCUUUCAAUGUAUGGAGACAAUGCUUCGUCUAAUGCAGAGAAAAUGCAUUGCUUACCACUUAUGCGAUAUGGAGGCAAUACUUAGCCUAAUGCAAGGUAUGGAGACAAUGCUUAGUCUCAUGCAGAGAAAAGGCAGUGCUUAGCCUUAUGAAAUAUAGAGGCAGUGCUUAAUCUCAUGAUAGAAAACCAAUGAAUAAUUGCUAGAGAGUAAAUCAUUUCUUAGCUUGAUGUGUUAGCGUUUGGCGAUUCUUGUUGGUGUGAAGAUAGUGAUCUUGCUAUGUGUAUGUAUUUGCAGAUGUUCCUGUUAUGUUCAUUAUGCCUGUGGCCAAAGAAAAAUCGUGAGUUUUGGUCAGGGGGAAUGUUGGUUCGUGCUCUCGAUUCCUUGCUUCACCAUUACUCUUGUCUUGAGGUCUUGCUUGAGUCACCUUGGGUAACGUCUGGCUGCCAUAGAAACAAAAUUUCGAAAAACAUGCAUGCAUUUGACAAAUUAUUUGUAAAAAUGUAGUUGUUUGAAAUAUGUGAUAAUGCACAAGAUCAAAUAAUUUUGAUGAACUGAUGAUUGCGACGUAUUUUUGAGACAUUUCAACCUCCUUGAUUCGGAAUUUUGAGGAUCCUCCUCAAAAUUCUGCCCUAAUUUAAAUGCGUACUUCUGGCGCUACAUUCUUGGCGGUUCCAAACACGAUGAGAUCAGGAAAACUCGAGAUCUUGCCCCAGUUUCUGACCAUAGGGGGAAUGAAGAUUUUAUUAUUAUGUGACCAAAGCCACAGGGCUGCCUACGUAUCCCCUCUUAAACGAGAAUUAGGCCGAGUGUAGUUCAGUUACGUCAAAUAGAAAGUGCAAACAUAAUCUUAAACAUAGUAUCUCUUGACUGCGUCCGAAUUGAUGGGUUUUAGACAUAUCUCCCCAUCCAUCUCUGCAAGUAUAAGUGCUCCUCCUGUUAAUACCCAGUGAACCAUGUAAGGGCCUUGCCAGUCAGGUGAGAAUUUCCCCUUUGCUUCAUCCUGGUGUGGGAAGAUUCGCUAUGGUACCAAUUGCCCCAGCAUGAAUUGCCUCGACCUGACCUAUUUGUUGAAAGCUCUUUCCAUUCUAUUCUGGUAGAGUUGACCGUGACAUACUGCGUUCAUUCUUUUUCCAUCGAUGAGAGCUAAUUUUUCAUACCGGUUCCAUAUCCAUUCUACGUCGCUGAGCUCGGCUUCUUGUAUGAUUCUUAAAGAAGGGAUUUCCACUUCGGCGGGGAUAACAGAUUCAGUACCGUAGAUCGGGUUACCAAAGUUGAGGUACGAUCUGUGGUGCGAUACCCGAGCAAAGCAAACAGUAGCUUCUCGUGCUAUUAUUUGUAAUUAUCUACCAUUUUCCUUAAUAUCUUCUUAAUGUUCUUGUUGACGGCCUCUACGGCUCCGUUCAUUUGCGGUAUGUAUGAUGUAGAGUUCCGAUGCUUGAUCUUGAAUGUUUCACACAUGGCUUUCAACAAGUCUCUAUUAAGAUUGGCAGCAUUGUCAGUAAUGAUUGACUUAGGUGCUCCAAAUCGACAAACGAUGCGGUCUCGAACAAAAUCUGCUAUAAACUUCUUAGUUAUAGUCUUAUAGGAUGCGGCUUCAACCCUUUUUGUGAAGUAGUAUAUAGUCACCAGAAUGAACCUAUGUCCGUUUGAAGUAGCGGGUGUUCGAUUGGUCGAAUGACAUCUAUACCCUAAGUGAAGAAGGGCCAGAAUGAACUUGUUGCAUUAAGUUCGUUGGGUGGUACCCGUAUCAUGUUAGCAUGUAUCUGGCAUUGGUAAAGCUUUUGAACAUAUUUGAUGUAGUAUGUUUCCAUAGUCAUCCAGAAAUACCCUGCUCUUAAUAUCUUCUUGGCCAGAACGAAACCAUUUGUGUGGGGUCUGCAAGUUCCGACAUGUAUUUCUUCGAGCAAUCUAGACGAAUCCUUGGCAUUGACACAUCACAACAAACCUAAAUCAGGGGUCCUUCUGUACAGAUUCCUCCACUUUGAAAGAAAUGGUUGGCCAAUCUUCUAAUCGUGUGCCUCUGAGUAUGGGUAGUGUGCUCUGGAUAUUCUCCUUUUUCCAAGUAAUUCUUGAUGUCGUGGAACCACCUAUUUCCGUCAAUCUCUUCUUCAACAUGAGCUCAAUAAGCUAGCUGCUUAUGAAUUCCUAUUGGGAUAGGAUCAAUGAAAUUCUUAUCUAGGUGUUUUAUCAUGGAAGACAAAGUAGCUAAUGCAUCUACAAACUCAUUCUUAAUCCUUGGAACAUGUUUGAACUCUAUCUUUGUGAGCCUCUUGAUCAGCUCUUGUACACAGUGCAAAUAUGGUAAUAUUUUGGUGUUCUUUGUAGCCCAUUCUUCAAGAAUCUGGUGCACCAACAGAUCUGAAUCUCCGAUUACCAGCAACUCCUGAAUGUUUAUGUCAAUGGCCAACCUGAGUCCCAGGAUGCAAGCCUCAUAUUCCGCCAUAUUGUUGGUGCACAGAAACCUAAGUUUUGCGGAUACCGGAUAAUGUUGACCGGUUUCUGAUACUAAGACAACUUUGAUACCCACUCCUUUGAAGUUUGUUGCUCUGUCCAAGAACAUCCUCCAACCAUCGUACGCCUUGGUGAUAUCUUCUCCUACAAACGACAUCUCCUCAUCGGGAAAAUACAUUUUCAAUGGUUCAUAUUCUCCGUCUACGGGAUUUUCUUCCAAGUGAUCCGCCAAGGCUUGCCCUUUGACUGCCUUUUGAAUUACAUAGACGAUGUGGAACUCACUUAGCAAUAUUUUCCACUUUGCUAACUUAACCCUAGGUAUGGGUUUAUGAAAGAUGUAUUUUAGCAGAUCCAUCCUUGACAUGAGAUAUGUAGUGUACGCAGAGAAAUAAUGUCUCAGCUCCUGGCUAUCCAUGUCAGAGCACAACAAGUUCGUUCUAACAAAGAGUACUGGGCUUCGUAAGGCAUGAAUGUCUUGCUCAGAUAAUAUAUCGCAUGCUCCUUCCUUCCAGUUUCAUCAUGUCGUCCUAGAACGCAACCAAAAGCCCCAUCCAACACAGAUAGAUAAAGCAGCAGAGGUCUUCCUGGUUCUGGUGGGACCAGCACAAGCGGUUUAGAUAAAUACUCCUUGAUUUUGUCGAAGGCUUUCUGGCAUUCCUCAGUCAACAUCUUUCCUCAACAUUCUGAAGAUUGGCUCACAUAUCACCGUUGAUUCUGCUAUAAAUCGGCUGACGUAAUUGAAGCACCCUAGAAAACUUAUCAUAUCUUUCUUAUUCUUUGGAGGCGGCAAGUCCUGGAUAGCUUUGAUUUUUGACGGGUCUAACUCAAUACCUCGGCGACUAACGAUGAAACCUAACAACUUUCCAGUAGGGACUCCAAAGGCACAUUUUGCAAGAUUCAACUUCAAAUUGUAUUUCUGAAGCCGGUCAAAAAUUUCUUCAAAUCUGCUAUGUGAUCCGAACUCCUUUUAGAUUUGAUGAUAACAUCAUCCACGUACACCUCUAUUUCCUUGUGUAUUAUGUCAUGGAAAAAUAGUCGUCAUGACCCUCAUGUAGGUGGCCCCAGCAUUCUUCAAACGAAAUGGCAUCAUUUUGUAAUUAUAUAUUCCCCAUGGUGUGAUAAAGACGGUCUUUACGGCUUCCUCUUCAUCCAUCCAGAUCUGAUGGUAUCCUGCGAAGCAAUCCAUGAAGGAUUGGAGUUCAUUCUUGGCGCAGUUGUCAAUCAGUAUAUGUAUGUUGGGCAGUGGGAAAUCAUCCUUAGGACUUGCUCUAUUCAGAUCUCGGUAAUCAACACAUACUCUAACUUUUCCAUCUUUCUUCGGAACUGGCAUAAUGUUGGCCAACCAGGUCGGGUAUUCGACUACUCGAAGAACCUUGGCUUUGAUUUGCUUGGUGACUUCCUCUUUUAUCUUCAAUCUCAUAUCUGGCUUGAACUUUCUGAGCUUCUGCUUUACCGGUAGACACAUGGGAUUGGUGGGUAGCUUGUGAGCUACUAUGGAUGUGCCUAAACCAGUCAUAUCAUCGUAGGACCAUGCAAAGAUGUCCUCAUACUCCUUUAGGAAUCUGAUAUACUCGUCUUUCUCUGACGGUGAUUUAUGAAUGCUUAUUGUCAUGGGCUGCUUUCCAUCAUCGACCCAUGACCCCUUGGACGCACCUCGUGGCGUCCUGGCAAGCCUCCCAAUGCCUAGCACCACAGUCGGCCCCGUGGUUUUGGCAGCGCCAAGUGACAAGCGCGCAUGCGCCUCUGUCGCCCCACCAAUAAUCAGUGCCAGUGCCCAGCGGCUGGCAAAUGCCAACAGUGUCGCGCGCACCGACAAUACCGCAUGCACAAACCAUCAUGUUGCCAAUAGCACCGCACGCACAGACAGUGCCCCGCACACAGAUCCAAUGCCAAGCACCAGUGCCCAGCCGCAGGCAAAUCCAAAUAGUGCCGCGCGCGCCGACAGCAAUACGCGCGCAGACCCUGAUGCUCAAGACAAAGUUGGUGCCAUCGGACUUGCUUCUACCUUGUAGAAGACUAAGUCCUUUUCAUUGUAAUUAUAGAGUAGUUGUACUUCAUUCAUUUUCAGUGUGCUUCUACAUCUUUCAUAGGUCAACUCAUGUAACUUUGGUUUAUUUGUUUUAAGCAUUAUUAAGGGGGACCAAAGCAUUCAAACAUUCAAGCAAUCAAACAAUUUUCUAUACUGGUGUCUCUCCCCCCGACACCGCAUAGCAUUUUGUAAUAGCUUUCAUCAUCAUCAAUAAAAUCAUCAGCUUUCAUCAUUAUUGCUCAUUUUCGCUGCUCAAUUGCUCACGACAUUGGUUUUUCCAUACGAAACUGACAAUCUAGUCUAGCGUAUAGAAGGGGCCUCAGUUGGCGCAUAGCAACCGCACUGACAUCAGUUGCUUAGCCUUACGUCGCCCUUCCAAGGAACUUAAGGAAGGCGCCGCAUAACAGUUGAUAUCAGAGCCUAUGCUCGACAUCGGAUGAGGGAACUCAUUGCCAUCAUCACCCUUUCUGACCAUGGUGAAUUACGGGGAUCGCAUCACGACCCUGCAAAGGUUGGACGACCAGGACCGCAGAAUGCGGUAGGCUGAAGUUGACAUAGCAAACAUCAGUUGCGACUCUGAGGAAGACCGGCAUACGACAGCAGUUGAGGCAGCCACAAUUCAUGGUAAAUUCGACGACCUCCAACAGGAGCGUGCCGAGGAUUUAGCCCAUCGUGACCUAGAGGCAGACAGACUGACUGCCAUGCAGCAAACCAUAGACAACUUUACAGGCCAACUCAAUGUUGUCAAUGCUUCCCUUCAAAGCCUACUCAAAGGAGGCGAAAACCAAAUCAGGGUUGCCAUGAACAUUGGCCCAAUGCCACAAAAGCUGAAAAUCCUGGAGCCAAAGCCAUACAACGGAGCUCGGGAUGCUAAAGAAGUGGAAAACUUCAUCUUCGACAUCGAACAAUACUUCGAUGCCAUAGGACAGUUGGAAGAAUCCAAAAAGGUAGCAACUACUACCAUGUAUCUUAAAGGAGAUGCAAAACUCUGGUGGCGAGUCAAAUACGAAGCCAUCAGGGCCGGUGAAGAUACUCUCAACACAUGGGCAGAACUGAAGGCAGCCAUACGCCUGCAAUUCUUCCCCGAAAAUAUGGAAUACAAUGCACAGAGAAAGUUGCAUGAACUCCUCCACACCAGGUCAGUGCAGGACUACGUGCGUGAAUUCUCCGUACUCAUGCUAAACAUACGGGAUAUGGGGGAUAAAGGCAAAUUGUUCGCAUUCAUAGAAGGUUUGAAACCUCAUGCUCGUAUGGAGCUGCAAAGACAAAGGAUAGAUACCCUACCCAAGGUCAUUCAAGAUGCAGAUUGCCUUAGGGAUUAUCAUAUGAAAACUCAGAAGGAUAGGCCCCGGCCGCCUGUCCGAUGGGGAUACAACGGGAGCCAACCUAGAAACGGUGGCCCUAACAGAAAUGGAGGAGAUCAAGGUGCAUCCAAAUCCAAGACUCCUUCCUAAAGCAGCAAUAGUGUUGCAUCAGUCAACAACAAUCAGGGGAGAAAUCCCCUUUCAGAAUACCGUCAUUGCGGCGGGGAACAUUGGAACAAUCAAUGUCCCAAUACACAGAUCAAUGCUCAACAGACUGUUGAAGAUGAGUCAGAUCCUGACGACUCAAACAACGCAGAGCAAGUAGGUGCCUUCAACAUAUUUGUUGGCUCCAUUCAUAAUACCUUUGUGGGAACCAGUGCUGGUAACCCCAAGAAGAAUGCCUGACCAAUCAUCAAGAAAGGGAAAGAAAAGGCAGAUGAGAAGCCUCUCACCACACAAAAGAGGACCUUAAUGUUCGUCGACAUAAAAGUAAACGGCAAACCUAUUCGGACAUUGAUAGACACGGGUGCUACCCACAACUACCUGGCCUCAACUUAGGUGCAGCACCUCGGUCUAGCGGUGAAAAAGAGUAGGGGUCGUGUCAAGGCUAUCAACUCUCCAUAUCAGUCAGUGAGUGGAAUAGCCAAAGAAGUGCCAAUGAAGCUUGGACCAUACAAGGGAAUAUUCGACCUACGCAUAGCUAUCAUCGAUGACUUCGAAGUGAUAGUGGGAUUGGAAUUCCUCAUGAAAACAAACUCCAUCCUGGUGCCAUAUGCCAACAUGCUCCUACUGAUGGGAGACAACAGGGCCAAAUCCCGCGCCAUACCAUGCAUACCUAUAAAGAUGGCCGCUGAAAGCAUCUCGGCCAUGCAGUCAAAGAAGGGAAUCAACAAACCUGAACCAACGGUUCCGGCUGCCCUCAACAUCAUCAAUCAAACAUCAGAUCAUCGGUGCCCAAUAACUCAUGGCACCCCUCAGUAUGUGAAGACUUGUCAAGCAUGCCUAAAGGACAAGUCGGAUCACUCAGCACAAGCGGGACUCUUGGAGCCGCUACCUGUCCCACAAAGAACUUGCGAAAGUCUUUCCCUGAAUUUCAUCACAGGAUUACCCAAGGUCGGAAAUAUUGCAACUAUCAUGGUGGUAGUAGACCGAUUUUCCAAGUAUUCUACCUUCAUAGCAGCCCCACAAAACAUAUCGGCAGAAGAUACAGCUCGACUCUUCUUCUCUCAUAUAGUCAAAUAUUGGGGCAUGCCUAAAGACAUCAUUAGUGACUGCGACCAACGCUUCACUAGCAAAUUUUGGACCCAUAUCUUCAGUUGCCUCGGAUCCAAAUUGAGUCAUAACUCAAACUUCCAUCAACAAACAGAUGGCCAGCCAGACCGGUUCAAUGACAUGCUGGAGGAAUAUCUCUGCCAAUUUGCAACCGGGUCACAAACACAUUGGGUGAAGCUUCUGGAUGCUUCUCAGCUGUGUUUCAAUUCACAAAAGUGCGCCGAUACAAACAAAAGCGCUUUUGAAAUUGUUACCGGACAGCAACUGCUACUCCCACAGACGGUGAAUGCACCAAACAUACCAAUAUCAUCUCGAGCUGCCAGUUUCUCACAAGAAUGGGAGCAAACUUCUACGAUAGUGUGGAUUUAUCUUGUCCAAGCCCAAGAUAGGGCAAUGAGAUAUGCCGAACAAAACCUUCGCUUUGCCCAACAUCAAGCAGGGGAGAAAGUGUUGGUAAGAACCCCGAGGUGGAAUUUGUUUGCAAAGAGGACCCAAGAUCCUCACAUAUUGCAAAGAUACAUCGGACCUUUUUCCAUUGAAAGGCGCAUCAAGAAAUUCACAUACCAGUUGAACACACCAGCCUGGUGGAAAAUCCAUCUAGUCUUCCAUGUCAACCGCCUCAAGUCAUUUCAGAAAUACAUGGAAGAUCAUUCAGAAAGCCAUCUCACAACACCAAGGGGAACAGACCUCCCAGCCAACAAGAGCCUGACCAAUCAUCAUCAUCCGACAGGUAAGGCUCCGAGGACGUCGCCAACUCAGGUGGGGGAGAAUGUCAUGGGCUGCUUUCCAUCAUCAACCAUGACCCCUUGGACGCGCCCCGUGGCAUCCUGGCAAGCCUCUUAAUGCCUAGCACCCAGUCGGCCCCGUGGUCUCAGUAGCGGCACGUGACACGCCGCAUGCGCCUCUGUCGCCCCAUCGAUAAUCAGUUCCAGCGCCCAUUGGCUGGUGAAUGCCAACAGUAUCGCACGUACCGACAAUGUCGCACGCACAAACCAUCAUGUUGCCAACAAUUCCACACGCACAGACAGUACCCCGCGGGCAGAUCCAAUGCCAAGCGCCAGAGCCCAGCCGCAGGCAAAUCCAAAUAGUGUCGUGCGCGCCGACAGUAAUGCGCGCGCAGACCUUGAUGCACAAGACAAAGUUGCUGCCAUCGGACUUGCUUCUACCUUGUAGAAGACUAAGUCCUUUUCAUUGUAAUUAUAGAGUAGUUUUACUUCAUUCAUAUUCAGUGUGCUUCUACAGCUUUCAUAGGUCAACUCAUGUAACUUUGGUUUGUUUUUUUAAGCAUUAUUAAGGGGGACCAAAGCAUUCAAACAUUCAAGCAAUCAAACAAUUCUCUAUACUGGUGUCUCUCCCCCCAACACCGCAUAGCAUUUUGUAAUAGCUUUCAUCAUCAUCAAUACAAUCAUCAGCUUUCAUCAUCAUUGCUCAUUUUCGCUGUUCAAUUGCUCACGACAUUGGUUUUCCCGUACGACACUGACAAUCUAGUCUAGCGUACGGAGGGGAACUCAGUUGGCACAUAACAACCGCACUGACAUCGGUUGCUUAGCCUAAUGUCGCCCUUCCAAGGAACUUCAGGAAGGCUCCACGUAACAUUAUACGCGUUUCCUUGACCAUUUCGGAAUCCCCUAAUUUAACGACCUCAAUUUUCUCCAAAUUAGACUUCGGUUUGUUUUCAAAAUUCUCUACUUCUCUGACGAUUUCCUCAGGUAUUAUAUCAUCUUCCAGAUCCUCUGAAUCACUAUCCUUAUGUUUAUUGUCUCAAUAUAUGUCACAGUCGUGGUUCUUUAGGAUAUGUAAUAAUUAUGCUGAAAAGAAUGUAGAAAGAUAAUAAUAAAUAUGAAAAGUAGUAAUGCAUUAAUAAAACUUUAAAAAUGUUAACAAGUACGACUCGAUGGCUCGAGUAAUUAUUUCAAAAUAAAAUAUUGAAAAAUGUCUUAAAUGCUCAAAACUAUUUGAAAAUAAUUCAUGCUAAUUUGCCAGGCUACCCAGGAACUCGGUGAGCUCGGGAUGGUGCAACGGUCCAAUUCUUGAGAAUAGCUCCUUUUUCCAUGGUUUGAAUGGUAAGUUCUUCCUCCUCCUCCUCCUCAACAAUUGCACUGUAGUCUAUGUCUUCUUCAUCUAGAAACAACUUCCUCAUGCCAUCCAAAACCUCAUCUUCCUCAGAUCCUCACAUCAUGUCAGCCUGAUGGAAUGUCUGGUGCAGAGGUUGUAUGGGUUGUUCCAGUGGAUAAUAAGGAGCACGCCAUGGAGGUGACCAAUCCUGAUAUUCUUGCCAUGUGUAUUAAUAUUCGAGUCCAAAGGUCGUGCCAUGGUACUGUGGUUGUACAGGUUUGGUGAUCCCCUGAAGCUUUUGCCGAGACCCUUUCCUAGUUCAUACUCCAUCCACAUCAAUAUUAUUUCUAUCUUGUUUCUCCACCAUCGGUCCUUUUCAAUUGCGUUAACCCGUUCAAUGCGAUGAUGUGUUUCUCCACCCAGCUUCCUUCUAUUUUUGACGACUGAAAUGGUCUGGUUGGUGUAUAUGGGGUUGUUCACAUCUCUAUAGAUGAUCACCUCCGGAUGAUUCCACUCAAACUUCAUAGCCUGGUGUAGAGUUGAAGCCACUGCCCCGACUGCAUGUAUCCAUGACCGUCCCAACAAUAGAUUGUAAGUAGCAGAUAUAUCUAGCACUUGGACCCAUCUGUAGAUUGAGGUUGAUUUCUCCAAUGCUGGCUCUCUCAGAUCCAUCAAACGCCUUCACAUUCGUGCUUCCCAUUCGUAUCUCGUGCAGGACUUUACCCAGUCUCUUUAGAGUGGUCAAUGGACAUAUGUUAAGACUCGAACCUCCAUCUAUCAAGACCCUGGUGAUGAACUUAUCUUUGAAUUGCACCGUGAUGUGCAAUGCCCUGUUAUAACUCAGUCCUUCUGGUAGUAAUUUAUUUUUGUGGAAAGUGAUUUUGUGGCUCUCCAAUACCUGUCCAACUAUGUUAUCCAUCUCUCCACUAGAGAUUCCGGCGGGUACAUAAGCUUUACUUAACACCUUCAUCAGAGCAUCAUUUUGCGUGUCUGAGUUUUGCAGUAGUGAUAAGAUGGAUAUUUGAGCAGGAGUUUUGUUCAUGUGGUCAAUAACAGAGUACUCCCUUGCUUGUAUCUUCAUCCAAAGAUCGUCAGUGCCAGUCUCGACAACAGGCGCCUUAGGUGUAGCUUCCUUACUCGUUCCUCCCAGAUUUUCAGUUGUGUAAACUCUGCCAGUUCUAGUCAUACCUUGCGCGAUAACUAUUUCUUGCACUUUUGCUUUUCUCUUUCUUCUUGCUUCUGCAACAUAAUCCCAUGGGAUGGCAUCAGACUUGUAAGAUGGUGUGGGAGCUACCAUCACAGUGAAGGGUGUAGUUACAUCAACUUCAAAUGGCGCCUAAGUUUGUACCACAACUGGCGUGAGGAUGACCGAAGUUGUUUUAGGGGUGUCUCAUUCUCGAAUGAGUCCGAAGGACCCUUCCUGAUCCUAUUCCUCAUCAAUUUCUAUCACAUUCACUCCCUCACCUCUGUGAUCUGGAAGAGGGUUGUUGCGAACAUUUGGUCUAGAUUCCUUUGCUUAUAUAACCUCAGUGUCGAUCAAUGUAUGAAUCUUGUCUUUCAACGUGCGACAUUCCUCAAUGGUAUGACCUUUCAUGCCUGAAUGAUAAGCACAUAUUUUGUUGGGGUUGAUCCAUUGGGAAGGAUUAUCCACAACAAAGACAGGAAUAAGGGUAACAUAACCAGCAGCCUUCAGUCUCUCAUACAGUUGGUCUAUGGGUCAGCAAUUGGGGUGUAUUGUCUAGGAGGUCCGCGGUCAAAAUUUGGGCGUGGCUUCGGGUAGUUUUGGCCUUCGGGUAGAGGUGAAUGGUAAUAUGCAGGUUGAGCAUUGUAGGUAUGGUAGGUGGCAGGGUAUUGGUAUUUCAGGGGUGAGGGUUGAUAUGUGGAUGGAGGUGUUUUGUAUGUGAGGGGAGACUUAGGGCCCUCGACUACCAUCACGGUACACACUUCUUUCUUCUUUAAAAUAUCCCCUGAUUGCAAAGCUUUAUUCAUGGCCUGCAGUACCUCGAAAUUGGUUACCAUCCCAUUCUUAAUUCCUUCUUCUAUUCUUUCUGCUAGCUUGAUGAUGUCGUAGAACUUGUGAUUUUCAAUAACCAUCAACAUUUUGUAAUACUGGGGGUCUUGAGCUCUGAAGAAUUUUUUUUUUAUUUGUUCUUCUUCAAGUGCUAGCCUUACCUUUGCAGCCUCUGAUCUCCGACGAGUAGCAUACUCGCGGAAGGUUUCUGUCGGCUUCUUCUUGAGGUUUUGAAUGUAGAAAAUGUUUGGCGUAUUUUUCGUGUUGAACCUGAAUCUAUCCUUGAAAUCUGAUGCCAUACUUACCCAACUAACCCACUUAUUUGUGUUUUGAGUGAUAUACCAAGACAAAGAGUCUCCCGUAAGGCUUCGCAUGAACAAUUUCAUGCAAAUUUGUUCAUUCUUGCCCAACCUACAAGCUUGUCACAGUAUGUUCUCUGAUGCACCUUCGGAUCACCGGUACCAUCGAAUAUUUUGAACUUGGGAGGUUUGUAACCCUCCGACAGUUCCAUAUCCGGUUGAAUACAUAGGUCCUCAUAGUUUAGACCUUCAACGCCUUUACUGCCUUCAAUACUCUGGACUCUUCCUGUGAUCUUCUUGAGCUCCUUUGCCAUGUUUAUAAUGAGCAGGUCCUUUUCAGUCGAUUCGGGUAUGUAUAGGGUUUGUUGCGGGGUAUGGGAUAAGGUUUCCACAUAUAUCGGGUUGCUUUGAUGAGUUCCCGAAACUUGGGUAUAUAGAUGGUCAUUGGUCGAGUUCUGGGGAUCAGGAGUGGGUUACAGUGCAUUUUGAGGGGUGUGAUAAGUAAUUGUUUGCGGUUAUUGAGUUAGAUGAUGGUGGUGUUGUUGUGGGGUCGGCACUGGUGGCGGGUUAAGGUUCUAGGGAGGUUCGGGAUAAUGGUAUGGUGCGGAAGGAUUUGGUGGUAGAUUUUGGUUUUUUGUGUUUUGUGGUGGUGUUUGGUUCUGUGUAUUCGGGUUUUGGUGGUUGAUGUCGGGAAUAUUGAGAGUAAGGGAAAUGUUUGCAAAAUUUCGGACCUGCUCAAGCUCGCCCUGUAGUUCUAGGAUUUUCUGCUCCAAACGUAAGACCAACUCAUUUUGCCCCGGAGUACUUCUGCCAUCUGAAGUUUCCACAUUUUCUGCCACAAUAGCAUUGUCUUUCCUGAUACUUAAAUCAUCCAUCUUCCAUUUUCCCUUUCUUUUGCUUUCGGGUCGCUUGGUGGAGGAGGAGGUGGAGAAUCUCUGGAUCUAGUAUGGCAUGCUAAUGAUGCCAGUAUGUAUGAACCAACCUUUGGGAAUGGGAAUAAUCAAAAACUAAAAGAAAAAGCAAAACGUAACCAAGUUAGUAAGGUGAAAAUAAAAGAAUGUUUGCAGUAUUUAAACAUGUUUCACAAAGUCAUGCAAUAAUUCGCGUCCUAAUUUUAGGGACAUCAUUGUGUCUGAGGUAGGCCUAAGCGACACAUAGACUUGGAGAAAAUUGAUGCCAACUUUGCUUUAUUUCAUUAAUGCGAAAAUAGGCCAAAUCAAACUUUCACUAAAUCGACAAUAAUAAUAAAGUCACUAAUGGCAUCAAGCCUUAUUAAAUCAAAAUCUAAGCUAGAAAGUUUUAAAGAACAUUAUCUCCUAAUCUACUGGGUCCCUAAAGGAUCUUCUCUAUGCUUAGCUCUCUUGUCUCCAUCAAUUAGGUUUCCCAGAUCGCGCAUAUCCAACAGUAAGUAAGCUUUUGCCAGAUUUCCUCCUUCAUCGUCGUUCAUGCCUUGACAGUCCGAGAGUCUCAUUCUAUCUUCCCUUCUAGCUCCAUUAGUUUGUGUUCCAAGUAUUCCAAUCUUUUUGUUGACUUAGUGACAAUCUCCUUCCAUUCCCUUAUCGCCUUCAUGUUCACUUUGUGCUUCUCCAGAUGUUUAGCUUCGGACUCGAACACCCUUUUGUGUAGCCUCUUAUACUUAACUUGUGCCUCAUCCACUUCAUCUAUGAUCCUAUCCUUCAGAUUGACUCCUGGCUUGAUGUCCCUUGCUACGUCGUCUUCCAGCCAUGAUAGAUAGUAGUACAUAUGACCAGCGGGAUACCUGUCCGACUCGAUAGUUUCUCCUUCCACAAUGAUCUUUCGGUUCCACAUAUGUUGCGCCUCUAACUUGAAUGGAAUGACGUCUCCCUUGAAAUCUGCUUUGUAUUGGACUAUAUUGGAAACUCGAGGUAUGACUUGUUUCCUUUUAGCUUGUCUCACUACCCUUAUAGGAGCGUAAGGAUAGAUUCCUUGCAACCCAAUCAGUGCCAAAUGAGUAGUCCCCCUUGACCUGAUGAUGAACUCACUACUAGGAAACCAUUCAAACAUCUAAUGUACCUGCUCGUCUGUCAGAUUGCUGAAGAAACACACCCAACUUACAGCAUUUCUAGGCUAUGCAAACCUGUCCAGAAUAAACGUCAUUUUCUUUGGGUUAUGGUUAGCUACAUAGUCAUUCAGUGGCUUUCGCAGAAGCUCUUGACGGUACUCUCCUCUCUGAAAGUGUUCUAGCAGCCAGACUUGUACCAAUAGAUUAUAACCCUCAAAUUGUCCAAAUCCCUACUUGCACUGAUUUAUAGCGUGGUACAUCUCAGCUAAGAUCAUAGGGAUGUUGGUAUAAGUUUGUCCCUCGAUGCCAUCCAUCAAGGUCCUGGCGACCAUGGCUAAGCGAGUAUGAAUCAUUCCUCCUUUCAUUGGAAAUAUCAACAACCCCAAGAAACAGACGACGAACAUAUAAACCCGCGGUGCACCCAACCCAAGGAAGUAAUGGCGAGUUCAUCAUGGUGAUGAUGAUACGACUUACUAUGCCCAUAACGCUCGUAAAGAAAUUCAAAAAGGAUGUAUGAUUUCUUUAGACAUAGAAGUUCAUCAUUCUUCUUAAAACCCAACAUUUUCAGAAAACCGUGGGGAGUGCGAUUCUUUGGUACUAGUAAUCCCGGACUAUCCCAUAAUAACUUGGCAAAGCCUCCUAUUUAUUCUAAAAGAGGAGUCAUUUCUAUAUUGCCAAAUCGGGAAACAUCUCUUUUCUCAUCCCAAAACAUAGUAGCGGCCUCAAUCAGUUCCCUUUUUGGUCGAAUGUUUAGCAAUGAUGGCAGGUCAUCAAGUACUCUCCUCACAUAUUUUUUGUCGCAAAGUGCAAGGUCUUUCCACCAGUCAAGUAGCAAAUGUGGGAUGUUUUAGACCAUACCGAACCUCGGGAUUUCAUGCUUUAUUUUCUGCAAACAAACAAAGGUUAGCCCUUUCCCCCUCCAGAUUUGACUACUUAUGAAACAAUGAUCAACACGUUGGCACAUUUUCUCCAAAAAUGCAAAUAAUAUGAUAGUGUCCAUUGGGAUUGUGAAAAUCCCGUCGGACUUUGGACAAGAUUCAUCUUAGCGGGUCGUUACAUUAAUAACGCUUCAACCCAUACUAGGUUUAGCAUGUUGCAUGUACAUUUCAAAUCGGAGUGGAGUUUCUAGAAUGGUCUAUACUGGUACUCCCAAGUGGACAACUUGAGAGGGAAAAGCGUGGGACCAUCGAUUGUACCGCUGAUCGACUAGUCUACCGCAAAUAAGCCCUUCCUAUUUCAAAAGGGUGGUCUCUGGAAAGCGCGGACACUCAUCAAGCGCUGCUAUAUUGAUAAUUGGCACGAGUGGAGUAUGAUGUGGAGCAUGCUUUAUGCAGAAAUAAUAACACAUUACCAAGUAUUUGCAUAAUAAAAGUAUGUAAAAGCAGUAAAUAAAAUAGCAAAAGUCAACAUGAAAAGAAGAGAAAAGAAAGACAAAACAGAGAAGUCGGAUUAGCUCAUGAAAAUGUGCGAGAACGUAAUGAAGAAGGUGGGGAAAUAGGGAUGGGAGAGUCAUAAUAUAGCAGUCUUAGUCAAGAAGAAAAGAGAUGGAGAAGGUCAUACAUGUCAUAGCAAACAAAGGAGAAUAAUGGAAGGGAUAUACAUGUCAUAGCAAUUUUAAACAAAUAAAGGUGAAUAAAGAAAGGGAUGUGCAUGUAAUAGCAAUUUAAAAAAAAAAUAAAGAAAAAUAAAAGAAAGCAAUCCACAUAAGUCAAGUUCAUUAUGGUAAAAGCCUGAGUAUUUCCCUAGCAGAGUCGCCAUGCUGUCGCGCCCUAUUUUCUCGCGAAAGCGGGCUUUGACAUGUGACAACUCUUUUAAAAGGAGGUAUUAAAAGAGAAAAGUCGCCACCUAACGAUUUUUAAGGUACGUUAGGGCACCUAGUUGCAAAUAACUCUGUUUAACUAGUCAACGCCACCAAAGAUCGGGUAAGGGCUUAAAUUACCUCAAAGAUAAGGUUUUAGAAACUCUUCGAGGUUCACAACUGUAGGUCCCGACCGAAAUUUAGACCAUGUGGAUUAUACAAUUAGGCUAGACGAUCAAAUAAAUAUAAGGGAUGUUUAGAGGUUGUAGAGACAUAUGAGAAUCGGUACAAGUCUUAAUGACUACAAGGAUACAACUACAUUGGUCUAUAUUAAAUGACAAAAUAUAGAUAACAAGUACAAAAAUUAGGGGGGGGGGGGCUAAGUUUUUAGCCUAAAGGAUCACCCCGUACAACAUAAAUAAUACUUUACAACUCCCUUAAAGUAGAGGUUGCUCGUAUUAUUAAGCGGGCACAGACUAUCAUCUCCUGCUACCCGAUUACUAUGUUGAAGGUGUUUACUUAAAAGCAUUCUAAUUCAAUUCUAAGUCGUACCCUGUGCGUGCACUACUCGUCCCAUGCCUAUGGUCCAGGAAGCCUUGGACCUACUAUAAGGUAGUUUUAGACUUUACUUAGGUUGCUAAAAAUGAUAAAAUUAGGCGACAUGCAAAACAGAUAGGACUGCAUAUAAUUGCAAUAAAAGGCUCAAGUAACCUCCACACAUAAGCAGGAAAGCACGCAAACAGAUUUCUGGUUAUGCAGUAGACGACAUUAAGACGUGUUGGAAUCCUUAAGUCAUAUAGGCAUGAUUUCUAUGUGAUUCUGGAUUCCAAUAUUAUAUAGGCAGUGCUGUAAUUUAUGAAGUAACGUAUAGGCAAAUUAGAGCGUUGCAAGUCCUAUAUACAUAAUAUCUAAUCAUUUGUGUAAUAAGGUUUUGAAAACAAUCCCAUAAUUCUGAAUUAGUAAAGCUGAUUUUAUAGAUAUGCCUCUUAGGCAGGCGAUAGUACACUAUAGGUAUGAUCUCUAAUAGUAGCAUAAUUAGGCAGUGAAGUCAUUUGAAAACACAAGAUUAGUAGUGUCAAUAAACAUCCUAUGGGUAGGAUUUCUAACAAUUGACAAUUGGACUUGAUUUUUAAACAAUUUAUCCCUAUAGGCAUGCUAUCUAAAUGAAGCAGUACAAAAGCAGCAUGAAGCAAUUGAUUAAUUAUUUAAUACUUUAUAGUCAUGGUAUCUAGAUAAGUAAAGGUAUUGCAUUGUUAUAUCCUAUAAGCAUGUUAUCUAAUAGUGCAUAGAACGCGAACAAGUGAAACACUUAGGUUCUUACAAACAUGUUUCUGAUAGUGUGCGGGCAUUAGACAGGUUGAGUAAGUGAAGUGUUUGAGUUCCUAUAGGCAUGAUAUCUAAGUGCAAGAAGUCUAGUUUGGAUCCUAUUGGCAAGUUCUCUAGCCAUUCAAGUCAUAACAUUGUGUGCAUAUAAUUCCAGAGAAUAAGGCGUGAUGAAUAAACAAGCUAUUAAGAUCCUAUAGACAUGAUCUCUAACCAUUCAUGCAAAAGAUAAAGUAUCCCAGUUCCCCCUUUUCACUAAUUCCUAGUUGUCAGUUAUUACAAGUAAUUACAGGCCCAAAAAUGAAAUAAUACAGUCUUAAAGAUGACAAAACAUAGGCUGAAAUGAAUACAAGCCGACCAAAGCAAUUACAAGCCCAAUAUAAAAGUAACCCGGGAAUAUCCCAGACCUUCCAUAGUCUUACUCUCCGGACAAACAGCAGGCCCAAACCACAGGCUCACACGAUAACUAGAGUGCACAUGAAUCCAGUGCCCAGGUCCAACAACACCCAUGGCCCAUCUCCAGACCCAAUGAAUAACUUACUUACCCACAUGGAUACUAAAUUUAGCUAUGCAGGUGACUCAAUACUCAUAGAACAACUUAAUCCCUUGGUUCUUAGAGCUGUAGCCAUUAACAGCUCUAGACAAGACAUAUAAAUAGGAUCAUGCUAGAUGGAAAGGCACACAAGGCACAUAUGAGGAAAUCUUAUGCUUUGAAAUUCCAGAAACAGAGUUUGAUAGUGACAAGAUUGACCAUCAUAGGACAGUAAACCAUUUCAGUAAAGCAUGAUCCAGAAACAACCUAAGGACCUUUAGAUGAUAUUCUAACAGAAUUAUGAACAAGAAGCAGGUAGAGUAGAGUCUUGAUAUGAAGGUUUUAACAUGAAAACCUAAUGAGAAUGUGGUUGAAAAUAGCAUAACAACAUGCUAGCGGGCACAAUUUGGCAAACAUACUUGGUUGAUCAUCGAACUUAACCUGAUGAACAUUAAUUAUAACACAAAGAUUCUAAAGAACUCAUAGUAGGCAAAAGAACAUAUCAAUUAUAGGCUAGCAGGACAUGCAUGAAUUAGGAUUCAUGUCAGUCGACCACACAUGAGGGAUAACUAAUCAUUGGUAUUUAUCCUAGAAGCAAUGCUAAAGGGUGCAGGAUUGCCCAGUCAGGCAAUACAAUUGCCAGAGUUACAAAUCACAGACAAAAAUGCUUGGUUAGAGAUUAAGACAAUGCUAUAACAUGGGAGAGCGAAGGAUCAGUUUGCAUGAAAUAAUAGGUUAUACAUAAAGGAUAUAGUAGGAAGAGAUUCAUUAAGGUAGACUUUGAGCAAGAAGUUUCUACAAAAGGUCCCAGAAAUCCAAGGCAUGAAUAUGAACUCAUAAUAGAUAAAGGACACGACAUUGAUGCUAACAUGAGCAUGACCAAUUAGACAACACCUAAGAAGGCCAGAAACCAUUUGAGUCAAAUACAUAGAGUGAAAGCAUACUACACAUGUUGAAGCCUAUCAAGUCUGAUAUUAAAGAACAUGGAACCGCAGAACGUCAAUAGAACUACAUAAAGCAUACAAUAAUACAACACUGGGAGUUCACAAAUAACAAAGAAACUUAGGUCAUGCUUGUCUAUAAAAGUUCAAACAGUGUUGGCACGCAGAAUACAAAUACAUGAAUAAGUAGAGGAGUAAUAAUUAAGGUUGUAAAGUGUAGAGAAUGCUAACCAGUUGCAAAGAUAAACGAACAAAAGAGCGAGUAACUUAGAAUCUCAGCGAUGACAACAAAGAAAGAUAACAGUGAGAAUCCAGAUCCAAGUGCGUCAGAGUUCACAUGAGCUUCAGUGAGCCCCGAGCAGUGCUUGUACUAGGGACGUUAAUAGAGAAGAUUUGGGUGGCCUUUUCUAUCAGCCGGCCAUAGUUAAGAGAGCAUAAAUACUAUACAAGGUGAAAAGUAAGAGAAUAACAGUAGUUCUUAAGCGAUUAGAGUCUGUCCAAAGGGGAAAUUGGGGAGGGGUUUAUAGAGUAAUAAAAAUCAACACAUAAAUAAGGAAAUACAAUCAAUCGAACAUAAACAAGAAAAGAAGAAUAUGCAAAAAUCAAUUUAGAAGCAGAUUAGGAGAAGAAACCAGGUAAACCAUAGUUUGACUAGGAUCAUAAAUUGGCCGGAGAUCUUGGUGAAUCAAAACCUCAUAGCCUUGCUAUGAAUGUAUACAGAUGAAAUAUCGUCCAAAUCUUGGAGAGUAAAGCCGAUCUCCUUUGACUCAGAGACUGGUACUUUCCAAAAAUGGGCAAGUACCAUGUAACACCAUAUUUACACAAGUAAUAGCAGUAUAAUCCCUAAAAGGUAAGUAAAUCAUGGUAAGAAUUCAUGGAUGAUUUGGAUUCGGAGAAGAUUUUGGGUGGCGGCUAGGGUUUCUCAGAGAAGAGGAGAGUAGAGGAUUUAGGGGUGACUGGAGUGUGAGAAUGGGAUUAGGUUUUAGGGUGAGGGGAUAUAAGGAAAGGGUAGGGAUUAUUAUGGGCCGUUGAUCAUCUGAGAUCAACAAUCGUGAUUAAAGGGAGGUGGGGCGGGUCGAGUAAAUGGGUCUCGACCGGGUUGGAACAAAAGGGGUCAUUUGGUUUAGGCCAGGGAAGAUUGGGGUUGGGCUCAUUUGUUUGGACCUUAAUUGGUCCGGAAAUAAGGCAUAAUUUGGGCCAGAUUUUGAAGUAUGGGGAUUAAGGGGAAAUAAUUUUAAUAAAAUAGCUAAAUAAAAUAUAAAAAAUACUAUUUAUUAAACUUAAUACUUUAAAACAAUAGUUGAAGAUUAUGAUAAAUGUAAAAAAAUAUUUUGUCCUUAAAUAAAAUGACAAAUGCAAUUUAUUGUAAAAUAUAGGCUAUUUUUGUAAAAUUACGUAUUUGGCAUAAAAAGUACAAAUUUAAUUAUAUAAAAUAAAGUAAAAUAUUAUAAAAUAGAUAUGUUAAUGCAAAUAAUAGAGUUGGAUGAUUAAAUCAUCACAAAAUAAUUUUAAGGGAUUAAUUAAUACAUAUUCAAAUAAUUUAACUGCAAGAAAAUCAGCUUUAAAGCUUUAAAAAUUACGAAAAAUUAUAUAAAUACUUGUAUAACUAUUGUACAACAACAAGAUUGAAGAUACCUCGAGAUAUAAAGGUAAUUAUCAUACAAAUGAUUGAGUACCCACACGUAGAAUCCAUGAAUAAUGUGGAAACAAAGAGGUAAUAUUAAUUGCACGAUGAAUGAUGAUGUGAAGGUGUGAUAUUGACUAUAAUUAGAAAAAUUUAAGUUGUGAUGUUUUCAUGAAGAAGAUUGCACGUUUCUUACCUUUAGCAUUAUGAAAAUAGUGUAUGUUAUGAAAAAUUACAUGAAAGUUAUGCGGGUUUAGCCUGAGGCAGUUGUAUUUACCAGUAAUAUAUUUGAGCAUGGACUAAAGGGCAAAAUGCUAGAAAAAGAUUUUUAAAAGUAAACUGGGCAUGAAAAGUGAUAUGCUAACUUUAUUGUUGUACGGGUAGAAAGAGAUGAUACUUGGCAACAUGAGUUGCGACUAGAAGUGUCAUAGUACUUGGGUAUGCGAGGGGAAAAGGAAUCCUUGAUGAGCAUAACCAUUUUUCUUCUAUUGUUAGGAUAGUAGGUACUACUAAGUGUAAUUGCAAAGUAGAAGUCAAGUCUUCGUGAAAAUCUGAAAUGGUGAAUAAGAUUUUGAGCUGGGAAUAAAUAAUUUGUAGUAGUAUAUGGGCGUGUGUAUAAUCAGAUGGAAUGGAAUACGACUUUAAUGAAAUCUUCGAGUUUCAGGUUCAAGUUUUAGAUUUGGAUUUUACGUUUAAGUAAGGGAGCGUCAUAGCAAGUAAAAGUCACCUUAAAGGUGAUGGUUGAAAAAAUAAAAUGUAGAAAUUUUAUUCUCAAAAGAAAGAUGAAGGGAAAACCUUCGGUAAGAUUCCAGAUGAAGUGAGUAAAAUUGUCAUACAGUGCCGGUAUAGGGAUCACAUGCUUAUCACGAGCAAUAUGUACGGUGUUCAAUAUUGGGGUUAUUAAAAGGUACUAUCUAAUAGUCAAAUAUUUAAUGGGCUACUUGAAUAGAUUCUUAUAGCUUUGGAGCAUGUGUCACUUGAAUUAAAUUCAAGCAAUGGCGCAAAAUAAGAAAAUACUUUGGUCAUACAUUGGACUUAGUAGAACAAAUGAAGGUUAUAUUAUGCAUAUUCCUGAAUACAAAAAUACUCUUGCAAACCAAAACAAUGUGCUCCAAUAAGAAGCACGACGUCAAAAAAAAACAAUUAAGUGGUGCAAGUAUUAUCCUAAUAGCAUUGUCACUUUGGAGUUGAAAGCCUACAAUAUAUGAUAGUAUUAUUAUGAUAGGCGCAAUGGCAAAUAUAACUUAAAUUUCUGGUAAGAAAAUAUCAUAAAGAACUUGGUGAUAUCAAUUAGUUGGUUAAGGUUAAGAAAAUAGAAAUAUGUAAUGUGAUGUUCAAGAAUGAAUAGAUACAUGUGCCAUGAAAGGGAAGGAAGCGGAUUGAACAUUUGUCAUAUAGCGGACUUGUUAGCAACCGUAUCAAUCAAUUUUAGAUAUAAAGGAAACUCAAAAGGUUACAUGUGUAAGUGGAGGUAUAAAUCACCCACGUGAUGAAUGGAUCUAAGUAAGACAAUAUCUUAUUGGUAUUCGGAUGGAAUAAAAGAACAUUAUAGAAGGAUUUGAUAACUAGAGAAUUAAGAGUCCUACGAGGACAAACUAUGCUUAGAAGUAAUUUUAUAUUAAUAAUAAAGUCUUUGAAUGGAAGAUUUUUUUUUGUUGCAAGAAAUACUCUUUCACGUGCGACUUGGUGUAUACAUAAUAGAAAGAGAAUACGAAUAUGCAUGACAGUAAUAUGUGUUGCAAUAUAGAGAAACCAAUAUUGGAAUGAGCGAGGUAUAGAUAUGCAACUGUUUAAAAUUGUAAAGAAUUAUUCGAUGCAAUUUUAGUAUAUGCACGGCCAUGUGGGACUUAGAUAUUUUGUUGUUAUACAUUGAGGACGUAUGUGUGGCCGUGCGGGUCCUAGAUAGUUUGUUGUUGUACAUUGAGCAUAUAUGUGUGGCCGUGUAGGGCCUAGACAUCAUAUUAUGUAAAGAUAUUUGGUUGUUGAAUUAUAUUAAAAUUGGUGCCCGUGUGGGGACUGAUAAGUUGAGAUUUUGACUACUUAUUAGCACUUUUUUAAUUUUGUUUUAGUCUGAAAGUAUUGCAUUAUGUUCCCGAAACUAAUAAAAGUGUGCAAAUUACAGGAAUGUUGGAAGUUUGGUAUAUGGGACUCAAAAAGGAGUGUUCCGAAUUAGAAGGCAAGAAAGGGGCACAGAACAAAAGAAGUGCGGACCGCAGAAUUCCAUCUGCGGCCACAGAUCAAGUGAAAAAUCCCAGCAGGAAUUUGGCCAAUGUGCGGCCGCAGAACAAGGUCUGCACUCACAAAUGAUUCAAUGUUCAGAGACGGUGCAAAAGACCAAGUUCUGAAGCCUUGCUGAAGUGCGGACAACAGAAGAAUUAUGCACUCACAAAAGAUGCUUCGCAACCGCAAUCAAAAAUUGUUCGGCUACAGAAUCCAAGAUCUCGCCAACUGAAGAAAUCUGCGGACCGGACUUGGAAUUGUGCGGCCGCAUAACCUCCCGAGGGAAAUUUUUGUCAGCGAAUUUUGGGCCACUAUAAAUAGACGAGUUUCACAUUUUUAGGUCAAGUUUCAAAGUUCGAACUGUUGUAGCCUUACAUUUUGCCAUUUUAGGAAGUUUGUGACUAUUUUAGUGUUUAAAUAUUAUAUUAUAUUAUAUCAUUUUAAUCUUAGAUUAUGAGUUUAAUUAGCAUUUCUUAUUUAUUUUCUUUAAUUUUUACUAUGAGUAGCAAGAUUCUUACUAGGGUUGUGACCCAACCCUAGUGUGUAAACCUUGUGGGUAUUUAAUUUAAUGUUUGUUUAUGAUUGGGUGUUGAUUAUUUAGCUUAGUUUAUGCUCCAAUUUUAGAAUUAAUGGUUGUAAACAUUGAUUCAUGCUUUUUUUGACUUAGUCUCUAUUUGAGAAAGAGAGACCUAGUCUAGGAUAACUUGGCUAACAAGGAAUAGGGCUAAUUGAGGGUUUUAUUAGUCUAAUUAAAGGGUUCAAACUAGAGAUAGGUAGAACAGGGUUUGACCUCAAAUCAACUAUUUUGUUUGAUACCCAUUUGGACCUGAGAUAACCAAAUUGGGCAAAAUCACUCUUUGAUCGAGAGGUAUUGAGUGGGUAAUGUGGAGUUGAGAGCUAUAAUGCACCCCAAUCAACGAAACAAGUAUUAAAGUAUUUAACUGUCACGACCCAAAAUCCCACCACAGGAGUCGUGAUGGCACUUAGUCUCUACAACUAUGUAAGCCGAUUAUAACGGCAAUUCAAGCCAUUUUUUAAAAUUCAAUACAAGUGCCAACAUUAACAACGGAAAUACUCAAACAAUCUCCCAAGACUGGUAAUACUGAGUUACGAACUCUAACUGAAUGCAUGGAAUGAUCUCGAGGACCGAAUAUACAAUACUGUUCGAAUAAGAAAUUAACAGUACAAUAAAUUAGAAAGACUCCAAGGGUCUGCGACGACCAAGCAGCUCUACCUUGAAUUCUUACGAUCAACACACUAACUUUGUCCGAGUUCGAUAUCUCCAACACUUGGCUCUGUACAAAUAUGUGCAGAAGUGUAGUAUGAGUACACCACGGUCGGUACCCAGUAAGUAUCAAGACUAACCUCGGUAGAGUAGUGACGAGGUACAGUCAAGACACUCACUAGUCUAAUAACUUGUGCAAUAUAGCAUAUAAAAAUAAUAGGAAACUAAUAUCAGUAAUAACAACAAUAAUCAACAUGUGAUAUAAACAGCAAGGCAGCAAGAACACCAUAAAUAUUGCUUAAAACAAAUAAUGAACACAAGUACAACCAAUAAUCAAGUCCUUCAAAAUAUACAUCUUUCAUCUAUAAGUUUUUCAAAUAAAAAUCUUUAGAAUAUAAUCCUUUCCAAUAAAUAUAUUUUGAAUAUACUUCCUUCAAAUAAAUAUCAUCCAAAUAUAAUUCUUUCAAAUAAAUAUCUUACGAAUAUAAUUCUUCCAAAUAAAAUAUCUUUCAAAUAUAAUUCUCUCAAACAAAUAUCUUUCGAAUAUAAUUCCUUUCAGGUAAAAGUCACCAUGUGACACCUCAUUUCAUAAUUAUAAAACUUACGGGUCUCAUCCCACUUUCAUAUUUCCAUGGCACUUCAUGCCCAUAUUUCUGUCACAACCACACGGACAACUCACGUGCCAAUAAUAAAAUUAUCAUAUUUCUCCAGCACCUCGUGCCCAUAUUUCUUUCAUAACCUCACGGACAACUCCCCUGCCAAUAAUAAAAACCACCCGGUAAUAGCCACAGGAUCACAAUUACAACAUGAAUUAGACUAUUAUCACGUUUACCGAUACAACAAGACAUGUUGCACAAGAGAUAAAAAUAAACACCAGAAAAAUCACAUCAUAUAAAAAUCAUCAACACAAUAAUCACACAUCAUCACGUAUCAUCCCUGACAAUAGCCACCCUUACCUCUCCCAUAGCCACCCGUAUCAGUCCAUAAUAAUAGCUACCCGUAUCCCUCUGUCCUGACAAUAUCAAUAGCCACCCUUAUUGCUUUUAUAGUCGCCCUUAUCACUCCUAUAGCCGCCCUUAUCACUCUUAUAGCCGCCCUUAUUACUCCGCUCAGACAAUAUCCCAACACACAUAAACACAGUAAAAUGCCACCCUUAUACCCACACAAUAUUAACAGUGGAAUGUCACCCUUAUGUCCUAAUAAUAAUAACUCAAAUCACAUAAUUAUUCACACGGAACAUUAUCACGACAACACAACACAAUCAAUUUAUAUCACAAAUUGCCCAAUGGCCACAACCAAUUCCAAAGAUACAACAAAAUCAAUAAAUUUCACAACAAAUAGCUCAAGGCUUUCCACAACGUAUAUAAAAUCUCAAAGACAACAACUGAGAUGGAAAAGUAACUUAACAUAGGACAUCGCCUUCUUUAAUCCAAAUUUUUAAUAAAUAUAUUAAAGUUUCAUUUUGAACUUAUUUGAUAAUAUUUGCGGAUAACAAUCCAUAAUAAAAUUAUUUCCAAGAAAUGCCAACCCAACUAACCACGGUAUUUAACAUAAUAAAACAAGGAAUGAGGCAUGACAAAUAAAGGAUUUAAUAAGCUCCAAUAAUUUUUUUAAUUUAAUAUUUAAUUAGGAUGUCUGCGAAUUUUAACCGAUAUAAUUUGCACAUAUAAACCAAGUACAUACUCGUCACCUCGCGUACAUGGCUUUCAAUCACACAAUUUUCACAUAAAACUCAAUGCCUAAGGGGUAUUUCCCCCACUCAAGGUUAGGCAAGAUACUUACCUUUUUGAAGUUAGGCCGAUAUUCCAAAAUAGCCUUCUUUCUUGAAUUGACCUCCGGACAGUUCAGAUCUAUCCAAAUUAAUUGUAUAACUUCAUUAAAAUUUCGGAUAAUAAAAUACCAAUUUAAACUUUUAUUCUAAUAAGUCAACGUGGGCUGGCCCCUCGGAACCCGCUGGAAUUUUUAAGAAAUCCGAACAUCCAUUCCGAUACGAGUUCAACCAUACCGAAAUUAUCAAAUUCCGAUAACGGACUGCCCUUCAAAUCUUAAAUUAAAGUCAAGAGGAUUUCUACCAUUUUCAACCCAAUUCACUAAUUUAGUGAUAAAAACAAUAAUAGAUUCAUGCAAUUUAACCAAAAUCAAGUUAGGAAUUCUUACCCCAAUGUUUCCCUCGAAAAACUCUAGAAAUAUAACCUCACCCUGAGCUUCCUUGGUCCAAAAAUGGAAGAAUGAGACGAAUUUGGACUUUAUUCUACUGCCCAGGGGUUUGUUCUUCGCGUUCGCGUCCGUCACCUCGCAUUCGCGAUGAACAAAUUCUUCAACAACCAUUUUCACACUCUUUUCUGACAGCCUCUACUAGAAGGGUCAUAACAUUUUGUACAAAACUCCAAAUAAUGAAUGGUUUGACCGUUUGAAAACUAGACUCAUAACUUUAAUUUGUUGCUCAUCUCCCAAUUCCUUAUAUAUUGCGAGAUAUAAGCUUCCAAAGUCAGCCCUGUACAGUAGAGAUUUCCAAACUCUUCCCAGACAACCUGUAGUUUAUCCACCAUAACUUUUUGUACAAAACUAGAAAUAAAAAAUGGUUUACCUUUCCGAAAUCUAGACUCAAAGGUCUACAACUUUUAUUUUUGGAUCAUCUCGAAUUCCUUAUAGAUUGCGAGAUAUGAGCUUCCAAAGUCAGACCAGUGCAACAGAGAUUUCCUUCUUCGCGAAUGCGAGAGUCUCUUCGCGAACGCAAAGAACAAAAUCCGAGAAGCCAAAUCCUUCUUCGCAAAUAUAAUGACCCGACCAGUCGUUUUGCUUUCGAGAACCCCAUUCCCCUAAAUAAGACUUCUCGUAUAUGCUUUUACUGUUUUAUGACUUGCGGAGAUGGUUAGUUCGUGAUUUGGAAGGGUUCGGGUUGAAAUCAAAAUACUUGGUUCCUUGAGAUUGGCUUAAAAGGCCAAGUUUGACUUCGGUCAAUAUUUUCAGUAAAUGACCUCAGAAUCGGGAUUUGGCAGUUCUAAUAAGUUUGUAUGAUAAUUUCGGACUUGGGCGUAUGUUCGGAUCAGGUUUUGAAUGACCCGGGAGCGUUUCGGUGCCUAAUAGUGAAAGUUAGUUCUUGAAGGUUUUAAAAAAUUUUUAAAUUUGGUUUGGAGCGGGUUUUGGUGAUAUCAAGGUCCAAACGGAAUUCCGAGCACAGGAAUAGUUCCGUAAUGUCAAUUAAGACUUGCACGCAAAAUUUGGUGUCUUUCUGAGUAGUUUAAGUACGUUUCGGCGCAUUAGAAGUAAAUUGAAGAACUCAAAGUUCUUAAGUUUGAUUCAAUUGGUUUUGGGGUGUGAUUCGUAGUUUUAAUGUUGUUUCUGGGGGCCCGAGGGUCAAUCGGACAAAGCUCAGACUAAGUUAGAAGUUGGGAGCAGCUGCUGAAGCUCCAGUUCUGUCAUAACCGCACCUGCACUUGGCCAGCUGCAGGUGCGAGCCAUGAGCCGCAGAAGCGGAAAUGCGAAGGAAUCCCAGGUACCGCAGGUACAGAGGAAUUUACGCACCUGCGUGACCGCAGGUGCGGGAACUAUUUUCACAGGAGCGGAAAGGGCUCACAUAUGCGGCUCCUGGUGUCCGCAGAUCCGGAGCCUGUCCAUGCGAGGAAAAGGCGCACCUACGAAGGUCUUGCCGCAGGUGCGGGACCGCAUAUACGACCCUAUAACCGCAGGUGCGAAAACCGCUGGAGGCAGUGAGCCUCAUUUAUUAUGGGUUAGGGCCAUUUUUAUCACAUUUUCUUCCACUCUUGGGUGAUUUGAGAGCUUCUAAGGAGGGGAUUUAGACCUAGAUUUGUGAGGUAAGUAAUUUCUAUUAAAUAUGAGUUUAGUACAUAUAUUAUGGGUAGAUUUUCACAUGAUAAUUGGUAGAAAUCAUGGGUUUAGGUAAAAAAACCUAGGAUUUAAUAAAAAUAAGAUUCUACCAUGCAAAUGAUUAUGAAACUUAGUGAAUAUCAUAUAUUAUGUUCCUAAGGUUAUGGGUAACUACUUUCUUCAAAAUAAUUUCGGAAUCCGGGAGUGUGGGCCUGGGGUGAAAUUUAGGAAUCUUGCAAUUUGGAUUGGGUAAUCACUUUAAUAGUGGAGAUAUGAACAAUUGAGCAUAGAUUGAUCGAUUUAUAUAAUGUUUGGCUAGUUCCGAGUCGUUUGGCAUCAAAUUUGGAGGUUUGAGCGCAUCCUUGAAUUGGGAAGUAAGCUUUGAGACGAGGUAAGUCUCUUUUCUAACCUUAUAAGAGGGAACUCACCCCAUAGGUGAACUUAAUUAAUAUGUGUUGUUAUUUGUGGGGGGUGGGGGUGGGGUGGAGGGCUACAUACGCACGAAGUGACGAGAGUCCGUACGUAGCUACUAUUCAUGUUUAUGUCCGGGUAGUGUUAGGUCUACGCCAUGCUUGUGGACACCGUUAUUUGAUUAGAUUUGUUAACUGUAUCAAAUGAAACUAAGUCGAGGAUUUUUGAGGGUUUAAAAGCUUCAAGCCGAAUUGUCUUUAUUUUGAAAAGAAUCAAGAAAUGAUUAUGAUUUAUUGAUAAAUUUAUUGAUUUAUUGAUAAAUUUAUUUUGAAAAUUCGCGCCGUUCGACCCUCGGCAGUGCACAGUUUAUAUUUAUGUUGGAUCGGGCCGAACGUCCUUGGUGGUAUUCGUGUGUGAUAAUAGUACUCGAAGUUUCUUUCAUAUUUGGUACAAAGUCAUUGUUUUGUGUGAUCAUAUAUUUUAAAGGAAGGAAAUGAUUUAAGCUCUUAAAGAUGGUGAAGAGUUGUUCAGUUAUUUCUUGUUAUGAGUCUUAUUGUUGUAUGUUAUGAUUAAUUAGAUUUUCAUAUUAUCAUGUUAUUGGCCCUAGUAAGUGUCGGAGUGCACCCCUCGUCAAUACUUCUUCGAGGUUAAACUAGAUACUUACUGAGUACAUAUAAUGUAUGUACAUACGCUACACUUUUGUACUUAAAUGUACAGGAUCUGAGGCAGGUGCAUCUGGUUACCAGUCUGGAGCGCAGUUCUGAUCCCCAUCUCGAGACUUCACGGUGAGCUGCCCUUCCGAGCCGUUCUGCAGCAGCUGGAGUCUCUCAUGCUUUAUUUUUUUCUGUCUAUUUCCUUUCAGACAGUAGGCUAGUACUCUUUUGUAUAUUCUAAUAGAUUGCCCACACACUUGUGACACCAGGUCUUGGUACACACACUAGUAGACUUAUUAUUUUAGAUUUGUUUACAUGAUUACGAUUAGUACUUGUUUUUUUCCUUUUAAUUAUGUCACGUUUGCAAAUUUCUAAAUCUUUUUAACAAAUGAGGAAAUGUUAUCCAAUUAGUAAUUUAUUUAAACGAGAAAUCAUUAGUUUGAUCAGCGUUGGCUUGCCCAAUAAUGGUGUUGGGUACCAUCACGGCCUAUGUUAGAAUUGGGUCGUGACAACAUGGUAUCAGAGCGCUAGGUUCACAUAGGUUUCACAAGUUAUGGGCAGGCCUAGUAGAGUCUUGUGGAUCGAUGCGGAGACGUUCGUACUUAUCUUCGAGAGGCUAUAGGGUGUUAUGAAACUACUCUUUAAUCAUUUCCUAUCAUGCAGUUGAUGGUGUACUAAAUUCCUUUCUCUCAUUCUGUCACGAUGGUGAGGACGCGUACGGCGGACAUUCCAGACUCGGGAGGAGCUGCUUCCCCCAUUGCUAGAGGCCGGGGGAGGGCACCAACCCAAGGUAGGGGAUGAGGGAAUCUCAGUGCUGCCCCAGUAGCACCACCAGCAGACCCAGUAGAGGAUCCCAUCAUUGAGGAGUAGGGAGAGGUGCCUGCCGCAGAGCCAGCCUCGGUAGAUUUCAUAUCAACAGCGGGUUUUCAGGAGGUCAUGGGCCGUAUGCUCCGGUUCAUGGACACCAUGACUCAGGCUGGUUUAUUUCCUGCAGACCCAACACAUCUCAGGCGGGAGGGGGAGCACAGACCCCUACUGCUCAGGAACAUGGGCACGCAACUGCAUUAUACCAGACUCCGGGUACACUACCUGUGGGUGGAGCCCAGCCAGUUGCCACAACUGCACCUGAGCCUAGACAAGCUGUGGACAGUGAUCCACAGAAGCUAUUAGACAGAUGGACUAGGCUACACCUUCCUAUCUUCGUGGGCGAGCGGCAUGAGGAACCCAGGACUUCAUUGACCGGUGCCGGGACAGACUGCACAAUAUGAGGAUAUUGGAGUCCUAUGGGGUAAAUUUCACUACUUUCCAGCUGGAGGGCAGGGCCCGUAGAUGGUGGCAGUCUUAGGACCAGUAUGUUCUCCUCCCAUGACUUAGGACCAGUUUACACAGCUUUUCUUGGAUAGGUAUAUUCCACCCUCUCAAACAGAAGAGUUGCGAGGUCAGUUUGAGCAGCUCGAGCAGGUUCAGAUGUCAGUGACCAAUUAUGAGGAGAGAUUCUCUGAGUUAUCUUGCCAUGCACUUAUGAUACUUCCUACCGACGUAGAGAGAGUGCAGAGAUUUAUUGCGGGGUUACACCCCAGUAUUCGGGCUAGUAUGGCCCGAGAGGUUGAGAUGGGUACUGGCUAUCAGCUAGUAGUGGAGAUUGCUUAGAGUAUUAAGGGCUACCGCCAUAGGGGUAGAGAGCAGAUACAAUAGGACAAGAAGGCCCGAUUCUCUAGAGAAUUUAGAGGUGCCCCGGCCAGGGGCAGAGGGCAGUUUGGGAGGGAUCAGCCUAGCUGGCCCACAUAUCCAGCACCACCACCUCCUCGGAGUACUCCGGUGUGACCCUAUUUCAGUGCUAUGCCAGAUAGUUCUUAUCGCCCACCAGCUCAUCAGGGUUCUUCCAUUGCCUAUUUUAGCGCCAUGCCAGAGAGUUCAUACCGCCCACCAGCCAUUCAGGGUUCUUCUAGUGGGUAUUCAGGCCAUCAGGGUUAGAAUUCGGGGCAACAGUCUAUGGUACCGAGAGGUUGCUACGAGUGUGGAGAUUCGGGUCACAUGAAGAGAACUUGUCUCAGACUUUGGGGCAAGUUAGUACAGUAGGGUCAUCAGCCCAUGAUUCUAGCACCAGCCGUCCGACUGCCCAGAGGUGGGGGACAGGCGGGUAGGGGCCAUCCUAGAGGUGGAGGCCAGGCAGGGGGAGGUCAGCCAGCUAUUGUUCAGCCAGGUGGAGGCCAUCCAGCCGGCGCUCCAGCUAGAUUCUAUGCUUUUCUGUCCAGACUAGAUGCAGUGGCCUCAGAAGUCGUGAUCACGGAUAUUAUUUCUGUCUGCGGUAGGGAUGCUUCAGUAUUAUUUGAUCCAUGGUAUACCUAUUCAUAUGUAUCAUCUCUGUUUGCUCAUUUCCUGGAUAUUCCUCGUGAGUCCUUGGGUACUCCUGUUUGUGUGUCCACUCAUAUGGGAGACUCUAUGGUUAUGGAUCGGAUCUAUCGGUCCUGUGUGGUCACAUUCUGUGGUUACGAGACUAUAGCAGACCUUCUAUUACUUGAUAUGACCGACUUUGAGGUCAUACUGGGCAUGGACUGGUUAUCCCCAUAUCAUGCCAUCCUUGAUUUCCAUGUCAAGACUGUUACCUUAACAAUGCCAAAGUUUCUUAGCUUGGAGUGGAAGGGUUCAUCUGUUAGUACAUCUAGUCGGGUUAUCUCUUUAUCGAAGGCUCGACAUAUGGUCAGGAAGGGUUGUUUGGCUUAUCUAGCCUAUGUUCGGGAUACCACCGUAGAGUCUCCGACCAUUGAUUCGGUGCCAUUAUUUCGGGAGUUUGCCGAUGUGUUUCCUUCGGACCUUCCAGGCAUGCCGCCAGAUCGUGACAUUGAUUUCUGUAUAGACUUGGCUUCAAGCACUUAGCCUAUAUCUAUCCCACCAUAUCGUAUGGCUCCGAAAAAGUUAAAGGAGUUGAAGGAACAACUUGAGGAGUUGCUAGCAAAGGCGUUCGUCAGGCCGAGUGUAUCACCUUGGGGUGCACCAAUAUUAUUUGUGAAGAAGAAGGAUGGGACUAUGCAGAUGUGUAUUGAUUACCGCUAGUUGAACAAAGUACCAUUAAGAACAAGUACCCCUUGCCACGUAUUGAUGAUUUGUUUUACCAGUUGCAGGGUGCUAGCGUGUUUUCUUAGAUCGACUUGAGAUCGGGAUACCAUCAGUUGAAGAUUCGGGACUCAGAUGUUCCGAAGACUGCCUUCCAUACUAGAUAUGGCCAUUAUGAGUUUCUAGUGAUGUCAUUCGGCUUGACUAAUAUUCCAACGGCAUUUAUGGAUUUGAUGAAUAGGGUGUUCAUGCCUUAUAUCGAUUCCUUUGUUAUUGUCUUCAUUGAUGACAUCUUGAUUUACUCACGUAGCAUGGAGGAGAACGAGUAACAUUUGAGAGUGGUGCUUCAGACCUUGAGGGACUAGAAGCUAUAUGUUAAGUUCUCCAAAUGUGAGUUUUGGUUAGAUUCUGUGGCAUUCUUGGGGCAUGUGGUAUCAGGCGAGGGUAUUAAGGUGGAUCCCAAGAAGAUUGAGGCGGUUUAGAGUUGGCCUCGUCCUACUUCGGCGACUGAGAUCAAGAGUUUCCUGGGGCUAGCAGGUUAUUAUCGCUGAUUUGUGGAGGGUUUCUCAUCCAUUGCAGCACCUUUGACUAAAUUGACCCAGAAGGGUGCUCCGUUCCGUUGGACCGACGAUUGUAAGGCGAGCUUUCAGAAGCUCAAGACAGCUUUGACUACAGCAAUGGUUCUAGUGUUGCCUUCCAGUUCGGGGAUGUAUACUGUGUAUUGCGACGCCUCACGCGUUGGCUUGGGUUCUGUAUUGAUGCAGGAAGGGUGAGUUAUUACAUAUGCUUCACGUCAGCUGAAGCUCCUUGAGAAGAAUUAUCCUAUGCACGAUUUAGAGUUGGCCGCGAUUGUUCAUGCUCUUAAGAUCUGGAGGCACUACCUAUAUGGGGUGCCUUGUGAGGUUUACACUGAUCACCGCAGUUUGCAGCACUUGUUCAAGUAAAUGGAUCUCAAUUUGAGGCAGCGCAGAUGGCUUAAGUUACUGAAGGACUACGACAUCACUAUUCUUUAUCAUCCGGGCAAGGCGAAUGUAGUCGCGGAUGCCUUGAGCAGGAAGGCAGAGAGCAUGGGUAGCUUGGCAUUCAUUUCUGCAGAGGAGAGGCCACUAGCUUUGGACAUUCAGUCCUUGGCUAACAUACUUGUGAGGUUGGAUAUUUCAAAGCCCAGCCGAGUUCUUGCAUGUGUUGUUGCCCAAACUUCACUAUUGGAGCAGGUAAAGGCUCGACAGUUUGAUGAUCCGCAUUUGGCAUCUCUCAGAGAGAUGGUACUACAAGAUAGUGCCAAGGAGGUUUCUAUUGGCGAGGAUGGUGUCCUGCAACUCCAGGGUCGUCUAUGUAUUCCUGAUGUAAAUGGCUUGAGGGAGAGGAUUCUGUAGGAGGCGCACAGUUCUCGGUAUUCUAUUCAUCCAGUUGCUACGAAGAUGUAUCGGGACCUGAGACAACAUUAUUGGUGGCAGUGGAUGAAGAAAGACAUAGUUGAGUAUGUAGUUAGGUGACUAAAUUGAUAGCAGGUUAAGUUUGAGCACUAGAGGCUAGGUGGCCUACUCCAGCAGAUGACUAUACCGAAGUGGAAAUGGUAGCGCAUUACUAUGGACUUCGUAGUUGGGUUGCCGCAGACCUUGCAGAAGUUCGAUGCAGUUUGGGUCAUUACUGACAGGUUGACCAAGUCAGCACACUUCAUUCUAGUUGCAACUACUUAUACUUCAGAGAGGUUGGCCCAAAUUUAUAUUCGGGAGAUAGUUCGGUUGCACGGUGUGCCGAUUUCCAUCAUAUCAGACAGAGGCCCUCAGUUCACUUCGUAUUUCUGGACAGCCGUACAGAGUGAGUUGGGGACUCGUGUCGAGCUCAACACUCCGUUCCAUCCACAGACCAACGGGCAGUCAAAGCGGACAGUCCAGAUCUUGGAGGACAUGCUCCAAGCAUGUGUGAUUGACUUUGGGGGACAGUGGGAUCAAAUAUUUCCUUUGGCUGAGUUUCCUUACAACAACAGUUAUCAAUCCAGCAUCGAGAUAGCUCCAUUUGAGGCUUUAUAUGGUAAGCGAUGUCGUUCCCCUAUCGGGUGGUUUGAGCCCGACGAGGCUAAGUUAUAUGGUACUUAUUUGGUGAAGGAUGCCUUGGAAAAGGUAAAGUUGAUUCAGGAGCGAUUUCGCACAGCACAGUCCAGACAGAAGAGUUACGUGGAUAAGAAAGCGCGUGAUUUAUCUUUUAUGGUGGGUUAAAAAGUUCUCUUGAAGGUUUCGCCGAUGAAGGGUAUUAUGAGAUUGGGGAAGAAGGGCAAGUUGAGCCCCAGGUUUAUAGGAACAUUCGAGGUGUUGAGGUGAGUUGGGGAGGUUGCUUAUGUGCUUGCUUUACCUCCCAGCCUAUCAGGGGUUCAUCAGGUUUUUCACGUGUCUAUGCUCCGGAGGUAUCAUGCCGACUUGUCACAUGUGUUAGACUUCAGCACUAUUCAGCUAGAUGAGAGCUUGGGUUAUAAGGAGGAGCCGGUUGCCAUUGUUGCUAAACAUGAUCUCCAGUUGAGAUCCAAGAGGAUUUUCGUGGCAAAGGUCCAGUGGAGGGGCCAACCAGUCGAGGAGGUGACUAGGGAGUCCGAGGAGGACAUGCGGAGCAGAUAUCCACACUUAUUCAGCAUUUCAGGUAUGAUUCUAAACCUGUUCGAGGACGAAUAUUUGUUUAAGAGAUGGAGAAUGUAACGACCCGACCAGUCGUUUUUCUUUCUAGAACCUCAUUCCCCUAAAUAAGACUUUCUGUACACGCUUUUAUUGUUUUAUGACUUGCGAGGAUGGUUAGUUCGGGAUUUGGAAGGGUUCGUGUUGAAAUCAAAAAUCUUGGUUCCUUAAGGUUGGCUUAAAAGGCCAAGUUUGACUUCGGUCAAUAUUUUGAGUAAACGACAUAGAAUUCGGUAUUUGACGGUUCCAAUAGGUUCGUAUGAUGAUUUCAGACUUGGGUGUAUGUUCGGAUCGGGUUUUGGAUGAACCGGGAGCGUUUCAGUGCCUAUUAGUGAAAGUUGGUUCUUGAAGGUUUUAAAAGUUUUUUAAAUUUGGUUUGGAGUGGGUUUUGGUGAUAUCGAGGUCCAAACGGAAUUUUGAGAGUGAGAAUAGUUCCAUAAUGUCAUUUAAGACUUGCACGCAAAAUUUGGUGUCAUUCCGAGUAGUUUAAGUAAGUUUUGGCGCAUUGGAAGUAAAUUAAAGAACUUGAAGUUCUUAAGUUUGAUUCAAUUGGUUUUGGGGUAUGAUUCUUAGAUUUAAUGUUGUUUCGGGAAUUCCGAGAGUUUGAGUUCAGACUAAGUUAGAAGUUGGGAGCGGCUGCUGAAGCUCCAGUUCUGUCAUAACCGCACCUGCGCAUGGCCAGCCGCAUGUGUGAGCCAUGAGCCGCAGAAGCGGAAAUGCGAAGUAAGCCCAGGCACCGCAGGUGCGGAGGAAUUUACACACCUGCGUGACCACAGGUGCGGGCACUGCUUUCGCAGGAGCGGAAAGGGCUCGUAGAUAUGGCUCCUGGUGUCUGCAGAUGCGAAGCCCGGCUAGGCGAGGAAAAGGCGCACCUGCAAAGGUCUUGCCGCAGGUGCGGGAUCGCAGAUGCGGCCCUACGACCGCAGGUGCGGAAACCGCUGGAGGCAGUGAGCCUCAUUUAUUACCGGUUAGGGCCAUUUUUAUCACAUUCUCUUCCACUCUUGGGCGAUUUGAGAGCAUCUAAGGAGGGGAUUUCGACUUAACUUUGUGAGGUAAGUAAUUUCUAUUAAAUAUGAGUUUAGUACAUAUAUUAUGGGUAGAUUUCCACAUGAAAAUUAGUAAAAAUCAUGGGUUUAGGUGAAAAACAAAAGGUUUAAUAAAAAUGAGAUUUUACGACGAAAAUGAUUAUGAAACCUAGCGAAAAGUAUAUAUUAUGUUCCUAAGGUUAUGGGUAACAACUUUCUUCAAAACAAUUUCGGAAUCCGAGCAUGUGGGCCCGUGGGAGAAUUUUAAGAAUCUUGCAAUUUGGAUUGGGUAAUCACUUUAAUAGUGGAGAUAUGAACUAUUGAGCAUAGAUUGAUUGAUUUAUAUAAUGUUUGGCUAGUUCUGAGUCGUUUGGCAUCAAAUUUAGAGGUUUGAGCGCAUUCUUGAAUUGGGAAGUAAGCUUUGAGACGAGGUAAGUCUCUUUUCUAAUCUUGUAAGAAGGAACUCACCCCAUAGGUGAACUUAAUGAAUAUGUGUUGUUAUUUGCCGGGGGGGAGGGGGGGCAGGGGGCUACGUACGCACGAAGUAACGAGAGUCUGUAUAUAGCUACUAUUCCUGUUUAUGUUUGGGUAGUGUUAGGUUUACGCCAUGCUUGUGGACACUGUUAUUUGAUUAUAUUUGUUAACUGUAUCAAAUGGAACUAAGUCGAGGAUUUUUAAGGAUUUAAAAGCUUCAAGCGGAAUUGUCUUUAUUUUGAAAAGAAUCAAGAAAGGGUUAUGAUUUAUUGAUAAAUUUAUAUUUGACCGCAUCGCAUGUAUGAUUCACAAGCAGGGUAAUAGAUGCAUCUAUGGUUCGCGCAAUUCGACCCUCGGCAGUGUACAAUUUACAUUUAUGUUGGAUCGGGCCGAACUUUCUCGGUGGUAUUCGUGUGUGAUAAUAGUACUCGAAAUUUCUUUCAUAUUUGGUACAAAGCCAUUGUUUUGUGUGAUCAUAUGUUUUAAAAGAAGGAAGUGAUUUAAGCUCUUAAAGAUGGUGAAGACUUGUUUAGUUAUUUUUUGUUCUGAGUCUUAUUGUUGUAUAUUAUGCUUAAUUAGAAUUUCAUAUUAUCAUGUUAUUGGCCCUAGUAAGUGUCGGAGUCGACCUCUCGUCACUACUUCUUCGAGGUUAGACUAGAUACUUACUGGGUACAUAUUAUUUAUGUACUCAUGCUACACUUCUGUACUUAAAUGUACAAGAUCUGAGGCAGGUGCAUCUGGUUACCAGUCUGGAGCACAGUUCUAAUCCCCAUCUUGAGACUUUACGGUGAGUUGCACUUCUGAACCGUUCUGCAGUAGCUGGAGUCUCUCUCAUGCUUUAUUUUUUUCUGUCUAUUUCCUUUCAGACAGUAGGCUAGUACUCUUUCAUAUAUUUUACUAGAUUGCCGACAUACUUGUGAUACCAGGUCUUGGUACACACAUUAGUAGACUUAUGAUUUUUGAUUUGAUUACAUGAUUACGAUUAGUACUUAUUUGUUUCCUUUUAAUUAUGUCACGUUUGCAAAUUUCUAAAUCUUUUUAACAAAUGAGGAAAUGUUAUCCACUUAGUAAUUUAUUUAAAUGGGAUACCAUUAGUUUGAUCAGCGUUGGCUUGCCCAACAAUGGUGUUGGGCGCCAUCAUGGCCUAUGAUGGAAUUGGGUCUUGACAGCGAACAUGAGAGGCUCCUUGCGAAUGCGAAGAACAACACUAGACAUCAGAAAAUCAGCAUCCAAAGUAGCCCAAAAUGAUCCGAAACACACCCGAGGUCCCCGGGACCCCAACCAAAUAUACCAACAAGUCCUAAAACAUCAUACGAACUUAGUCGAGGUCUCAAAUCACAUCAAACUUCGCUAAAAGCAUGAUUCACAUUCCAAUUCAAGCCUAAUGAAACAAAGAAAUUCCAACUUCUAUAUUCGAUCUCGAAAACUAUCAAAUCAAGUCCGAAUGACCUUAAAUUUUGCACACAAGUCAUAAAUGGAAUAACAGAGCUUUUCAUAUUUCCAGAAUCGGAUUUCGAUCUCUACUCCCCGGUCAAACCUCCAAACUUAACUUCCUAUUUUCGUCAUUUCAAGCCUAAUUUAGCUACGAACCUCAAAAUAAAUAUCCGAACACACUCCUAAAUCCGAAGUCACCAUACGAAGCUAUUGAAAUCAUCAAAAUUUUAUUCCGGAGUUGUUUUCGCAAAAGUCAAACUCCGGUCAACUCUUUUCAUUUAAGCUUCAAAAAUGAGAAUUGUUCUUUAAAUUUAAUUUUGAAUCUUCCAAAAAUCAAAUGACCGCACAUGUAAGUCAUAAUACGCAUUACGAAAUUGCUCGGGACCUUAAGUAGCUGAAUGUGGCAUAAAUUAUUAAAAUAACUAGUUGGGUCGUUACAUUAACCUAUUAGGCGAACACUUAGGUUAUGGUCACAUCCUUAGGCUUUUUAAUUAUUUGGAAAAACACCAAAAACAAUCAUUCGCUUCUAGUUUAUUUUCUUACCUUAUAAUUGCUAGAGUAAAAUUAGGAUUAGAAAUCAAAAACUUUUGUGGAAGUGCAAUUUAGUUAUUCCAUUCUCUUUCGUUAAGUGUAUACUCCUAACACCCAUUGUAAUUCUCUGUGGUAAUCGACCCCGACUCUUGUUGGGUACUAUUCUUCCAAUGAUCAUUUUCACUCACUAUUGAGUGCGGAUUAGACAUGGAUCAAUUUUUGGCGCCGUUGCCAGGGAGUUAAGACGAUGUUAGCUAUAUAUUUGUGUUUGUUUUUGGAAUAUCUUCUUUUUCUUCUGUGUUACUAACUUCUGCGAGAACCUUUAGGUAUAACCAUGGCGGCGAACAAUGAUCUCGGUAAUAUGCCUUUGGGGGAUGUGGACGGUGAGGAUGGGCAAGUUGGUGAGGUACCUCUUGAACCUCAGGCCAAUCGAAGAAGCCGAUUUCCUCAUGAAAAUGUGCCCUCUCCAACCCCACCUCCACCAUGAGCGGCUCCACAUCCGAUAUUGCCCAACAAAGGUUAUGCUAGUGCAAUAGUCCCUCCCCGCAUUAUGGCAGGCAACUUCCUAUAACCAAUGUGAUGUUCACUUUUCUUGAACAACGAGAAUUCUUUACCGGUGCUCCAACACAAAAUGUUUACAAAUAUUUGAAGGUGUUUGUGGUUACUUGUUAGAGAAGAAAGCAAACAAAUAUCUCCGAGGAUGCAUUGAGGCUAAGGAUUUUUACCUUCUCUCUAUAGGGAAAGCAUUAGAUUGGUUGGAACGAUUGUCAAACAAUUCAAUUCACACUUAGAAUGAGUUGGUAGAAAAUUUCAUUGCUAAGUUUUUCUCUCCCGGACACAUGGCUACACUUCGAGAUGAGAUCUUGGCAUUCAAGAAAGAGCCGAAUGAACCACUAAACGAGAUAUAGGAGCGCUAUAGAACUAUGGUCAAGGAAUAUCCCAAUAACGAUAUGACAGAAAAUAUUAUUCAACAAACCUUCUAUCAUGGGAUUAACACGACCAACCAAUGUGUAGUGAAUCAAUUAGUCAGUGGAAACUUUAUGACUACGCCUUAUUCGGAGGCGUGUGAGAUUUUGGAUGAGAUGAUGGACACAUUUUAGGCUUGGAAAUCCCGGGACAAGAUGACCCGAAUAUGAUCCACCUUCACAAUGAAUUGCAAGACCAUGGGUAAGCCAUUACCGAGUUGACAACUACCAUGACUCAACUAGAAAAGGCCCAACUGAACCAAGUGCUAACUCCUAACCAAGUCAAUGUUAUGGAAGGAGUGAACAUCAGAAGCGGAUGUAGUGUACUACUUACGGGUUCAACUGAACCCAUAACUUUCGACGCUGAGUAAAAAUCUGUAUGUAAAAUUUCAUUAAAACUACAAAAAUAGUAGAUGCGAACCCAUAACUUUAAAAAUAUAAUGGGUUCAAUGUUAAAAACAUUAAAAUUGAACCCAUAGGAUUUAAAUUCUGGAUCCGCUUCUGGUGGACAUGAUGGUGAACAAGAGGAGGACCAAGGGUCCACAAGUGCAAACUCGAGUGGAGAACUAUGUGCAAGAAUAUGGUAGUUUUGAGCACGAUGAUUCCUAUAAUGAACAAGAAGAGGAAGUACAAUAUGUGAAUUAUUUUCAAGGGAAAAGAAACAACUUCCAAGGCCCAAGCCAACAACAAUGGCGACCACAAAACAAUCAAGGCAAUUGGAAUUCUAGCAAUCAAGGAAAUUGGAGUGGAGGCAACAAUCAAGGGAAUUGGCAUAACAACAACAAUCAAGGAAAUUGGAGUGGACACAAUCAAGGAAAUUGGGGAGGUAACAAUCAAGGCGGAUGGAACAACAUUCAAGGCAACCGGGGGUCGAGUUUUCAAAGGCCCCCAAUGUACCAACAACCAAGCAACCCAGCUCUUUAUCCGUCUCAUGGUUCGAGUUCCUCCAACAAUGAGAUGGGGCAUAUUGAAAAUAUGUUCAAGAAAAUGAUGGAAGAGAAUGCUGAUUCAGAUACCCAACUUUCCUCACACAACACAUCAAUAUGCAACCUCGAAGUUCAAAUGGGGCAAAUCUCUCAAGCUUUAAAUUCUCGUCCUAAGGGGGCACUAUCAAACAAUGUGGUGCAACAUAAUGAUGAAGUUCAGAUUGAUAUUGAUGAUAGUGUAUAAGAGACUCAAGAGGAGGUGAAUCCGUCUAGGGAACACAUUAUUGAUAUACCGGAGCCUGUAGUGCAAAAGGCUAAGGCAACAUUGCCUAAGCCUCCAACUCCAUACCCUCAAAGACUUGCCAAGAAAAAUGGUGAGAAUCAAUUCAAGAAAUUUAUUCAAAUGACGAAGAGUCUCUCAAUCAAUGUGCCAUUAGUUGAAGCCUUGGAACAAAUUCCCGGUUAUGCAAAGUUUAAGACCAUCAAAGUCACUCAUCAAGUGAGUGCAAUUGUGCAUUCAAUGGUUCCUAAGUUGGAGGAUCCCUGUGCUUUCACGAUUUCUUGAACGAUUGGAAGUGCCGAAUUUGCUAAAGCUCUUUGUGAUCUUGGGAAAAGUAUCAAUUUUAUGCCUAUUCGGUUUUCAAGACUUUGGGAAUUGGGAAACCAAGACCCAUCUCUAUGAGAUUGAAAAUGGCUGAUCAUAUCGUGAAGAGGCCCUUUGGAGUGAUUGGAGAUGUUUUGGUUCGUGUUGAUAAAUUCAUUCUUCCGGCAAAUUUAUUCAUUCUAGAUUGUGAAGUUUAUUAUGAAGUGCCGAUUAUUAUUGGUAGACACUUCCUAGCUACGGGUAAGGCUCUUUGUGAUGUUGAAGCCUAAUAACUCACUUUCCGGGUUGGUGUGAAAAAGUAGUAUUCCAUGAGUGCAAGUCCUUGCGGAAACCGAAUAGCAAUGAGGUGUGUUCUUUUGUGGACUUGGUGACCGAUGCUAUUGUUGAUAAAACAAGUGCUACAAUAAAUGUUGGUGAUAUGUUGGAGGCCGUAUUGCUCAACUUUGAUGAUGACGAAAUGGAUGGCUUCAUGAAAUGUGUUAAACUCUUUGCAACAAAUGGGGUCGUACAACUAUGCACCUCGGAAAUUGUCUUUAGAUCUUGAAAAUAGGACAACUCCUCAUAUAAAGCCUUCUAUUGAAGAGCAUCCUACCUUGGAGUUGAAGCCAUUUCCUCCAGAUCUUUUGUAUGAAUUUAUUGUUCCUUGUUCGACUUUACCGAUUAUUCUUUCCUCUUGUUUCACUAACGUGCAGAUAGAUUCCACAUUGGCGGUGCUAUAAAAGAGGAAGAAUGAUAUUGGGUGGACCUUGGCGGAUAUUCGGGGGAUAAGCCCCGCCUUUUGCAUGCAUAAGAUCAAGUUGGAGGAUGGCACCAAACCAUAUAUUGAACAUCAAAGGAGACUCAAUGAGGCUAUGCAAGAACUUGUCAAGAAAGAGAUUAUCAAGUGGUUGGAUGUCCGGGUUGUUUACCCCAUCUCUAAUAGUUCAUGGACUUCUCCGGUUCAAUGUGUCCCAAAGAAAGGGGGGAAUGAUGGUGAUCACCAAUGACAAGAAUGAGUUGAUUCCUACAAGAACAGUGACCGGUUGGAGGGCAUGUAUGGACUAUCGCAAGCUCAAUAAAUUCACAAGGAAGGAUCAUGUUUCACUUCCUUUCUUAGAUCAAAUGCUCGAUAUAUUGACCGAUCGUGCUUUCUAUUGCUUUCUUGAUGGGUACUCAGGCUACAAAAAUUCUCAUUGCUCCAGAAGAUCAAGAGAAAACAAUAUUUACAUAUCCCUAUGGUACUUUGCUUUCAAGCGGAUGCCAUUUGGAUUGUGCAAUGCACCGGCGACUUUUCAAAGGUGUAUGAUGGCUAUUUUCACUGACAUGUUGGAGGAAUACCUUGAAGUUUUCAUGGAUGACUUCUCGGUGGUUGGAGAAUCUUUUGAUGAUUCUCUUGCAAAUUUGGACAUAGUGUUAGCUAGAUGUGAAGAAACAAAUUUGGUGCUCAAUUGGGAGAAAUGUCAUUUCAUGGUCAAGGAAGGUAUUGUUCUUGGCCACAAAAUCUCAAGGAAUAAAAUUGAAGUUGACAAGGAAAAAAUUGAGAUAAUUUCUAAGAUUCCACCCCAAACUUCGGUGACGGGUAUGCGGAGUUUCUUUGGCCACGUGGGUUUUUACCAGCGCUUCAUCAAAGACUUCUCUAAGGUUGUGAACCCGUUGUGCAAGCUUCUUGAGAAGGAUGCUAAGUUUCAUCUCAAUGAUGAUUUCAUGAGAGCUUUUGAAUUGUUAAAUCUCAAGUUGACAACUACUCUCAUCAUCACCACUCCAAAUUGGAGUGUGCCUUUUGAACUCGUGUGUGAUGCAAGUGACGUAGCGAUUGGGGCUAUUUUGGGGCAACACAUCAACAAAACUUUUCAUCCAGUUUACUAUGCUAGUAAGAAUAUUAAUAGUUCCCAAGUCAACUAUAUCGUUACGGAGAAAGAGCUCCUUGCUAUUGUAUUUGCAAUUGAGAAGUUACGUUCGUACUUGAUGGGUGCAAAGGUCAUUGUCCAUAUCGAUCAUGCGGCACUUCGUUAUCUUAUUAGCAAAAAGGACUCCAAAGCUUGGUUGAUGAGAUGGGUGCUCUUGUUACAAGAAUUUGACAUUGACAUCUAAGAUAGAAAAGGGUAGUGAAAACCAAGUGGCGAACCACUUGUCUCAUUUGGAGGAAGAGGGGAGGACGUGUGAUGGCCUUGAAAUUAAUGAAUCCUUCCCCGAUGAGCAACUCUUAGCAAUUUCAAUGAAAUAGGUGCCAUGGUUCACAGAUUUAGUAAAUUUUCUUGGGUGUGGAAUCAUUUCGGAUGAGUUCUCUUCAAGCCAAAGGAAGAAGCUCAAACGGGAUUGUCAAGAUUAUUAUUGGGAUGAACCAUACAUUUUCUGAAUUUGUACGGAUGGGGUGAUUAGAAGAUGUGUACCGGAAGAAGAGCAAGGUAAAAUUCUUAGGGCUUGUCAUUCUUCGCCAUAUGGUGAUCAUCAUGGUGGAGUAAGAACGACGGCCAAAGUGCUUAGUUGUGGUUUCUAUUGGCCUACUCUUUACAAAGAAACUAGUUAGUUAGUGAAAAGAUGUGAUGAAUGUCAACGGGCCAAUGAAAUCUCAAACAAAAAUGAAAUGCCUCUCACAACCAUUUUGGAGAUUGAUAUUUUCGAUGUGUGGGGUAUUGACUUCAUGGGCCCUUUUGUGAGUUCUUGUGGAAACAACUACAUUUUGGUCGCGAUGGAUUAUGUGUCCAAAUGGGUUGAGGCCAUUGCUUUACCCAAUAAUGAGGCGAGAAGUGUGGUGGCUUUCUUGAAGAAUUAUAUUUUCACAAGGUUUGGUACUCCACGUGCAAUUAUAAGCGAUGGGGGGUCACAUUUUUUGUAACAAGACUUUCGACUCUUUACUUAGAAAGUAUGGUGUUACUCACAAAGUCACGACUCCCUAUCACCCACAAGCUAGUGGGCAAGUGGAAGUCUCCAACCGGGAGAUAAAGAGUAUUUUGUCCAAAAUGGUGAAUGCUAAUCGGACGGAUUGGUCCAAGAAUCUUGAUGAUGCAGUAUGGGCUUAUCGGACGGCUUGCAAAAUACAUAUCAGAAUGUCGCCAUACCGGUUGGUGUUCGGAAAAUUUUGUCAUCUUUCGGUGGAACUAUAGCACAAGGCCAUGUGGGCUCUAAAAAUGUUGAAUCUUGAUUGGUAUGUAGCCACUAACUUGAGGGUUGUACAUUUGAAUGAAUUGGAUGAAUUCCGGUACCACGCUUAUGCGAGUUCGUCCUUGUACAAAGAAAAUAUGAAAUAACUUCAUGACAAAUAUAUUUGGAACAAAGAGUUCAAGGUAGGCCAUCUUGUAUUGUUGUUUAACUCAAGGUUGAGGAUGUUUCCCGAGAAGCUAAAAUCCAAAGGGGUGGUCCUUUUGACAUUGUGAGUGUGACACAUUUUGGUGCAUUAGACUUGAAGAACAAAAACAAUGAAGUAUUCCGAGUCACUGGUCACCGGGUGAAGCACUACUUGGGAAAGGUUGGAGAUAGCCACGUUGUGGCAGUCAUUCAUUUCACUUGAGGGUAUUCUGCGUCGUGCCAAAAUAUUAAAUCAGGCACUUCUUGGGAGGCAACUCAUGUUUCAUUUCCUUUUUCUUUUGUAGUUAGAUGUUAUUUUUUUUCUAACUUAAUUUGAAGUGUGCAACAAGAGUGAGUGUGACUUAGAAGAAUUGUGGACGAAAAUAUGGCUAAGUGCUCAAGAGAGUGCGGACCACACAUUUUUAUGUGCCAUAGCAGAUGACCAUUUCGUCGGUACAUUUCUCUUGCGGACCGCACAUUUGAAACAUGAAAACUACCAACUCUCUGAAUUUUAAUCUUGUCAGUGCAGAGGUCGAUCUGCGACCGCACCUAAAACUGUGCAGACCGCAUAUUGGUUUUUGAGAAUAAUCACCCAGGUGGUAGGGUGCAGACCGCACAUGAAAAUGUGCGACCGCACUUGUCUCUUCUCCCUUCUCAAAUUUUUGGGUAUAAAUAGAAUAGUGGUCCUCAUCUUACACUUUUCCCUCUUUGAACAAAACACUAUUACUCUGCAAAUGUUUCUUGGAGAUUUUCCCUGUCCACACACACAGCCACCUAGAUUACUCACUCAGUGCAUUCACUAUAUCUGGUAUCCCUCAAUUUCAUGUUAAUUUUUUAAGUUAGUUUAAUUUGUCAAUUUUUUAGUUCUUUUUAGGCCAUCUGUUAUUAGAGUUCCAUUGUGUGUCCAUGUGGGGUAGAUCUGAAUUCGGUUAACUUGAUACAUGCUCUAAGGGGACUGGGUUAGUGAAAUUUCAUGCUUUUACAAUGUUGUCAUGCCUAUUUAUGCAAGAAAUUAAAACAUCUUAGACUAAAAAAAGUUAUUUGUUCGUAAUGGUUUGAAUUCUGCGGUCAUACUUGAAUUGUGCGGUCCGCAGAUAUGAAUGUUUUAGACACUUAUGUGAGGCAGGAAUCUGCAGUCGCGGGUCAAAUUGUGUGGACUGCAGAUUUUCUCUUGCAGCCACAGAUUAGGCUUUUUUCUCUGUCAUCAGAGAGUCUUCACUUUUAAGACUCCAAGGUGUAGCCUCAAGGCAAAUUGUGCGAACCGCAGAAAUCCUCUUGCUGCCGCAGUUUGACCAUUUCUCUCUCAUCAUAGAGUUCACAAAUUUGGGGCUCAGAAGUGCGGUUGUAAUCCUAAUUGUGCGAACCGCACUUCCCUUCUACGGCCGCACAACACAAAUGUGCGGACCGCGAGUUCCCAUCUACGGCCGCAGGUCAAAUUAUGUGGAGCACAUAUCCCGUAUCCUGCAGGCAUGACUCAACUGUACAACCCCAUUGUGUCCUAUGGUUUCUCCCUUACCUACAUGUCUCAUGUAUGUAUUUGAACAAUGAAUUGCAACUAAAAAUCUCCUCUACUUGAUACAGGUACUGGUUCGAUCAAGCGGACGAGGAGACACUUCAAAAGGGAGAGGUGAAUCUGAUCGAGGUUAAGUGACGAGCGCAAAACACACACUUAAAUUUUGCUCGCUAGUAAAAUAUCAUAUAGUAUAAUAUCGUAUCCACAGGGAUUGAAUUUGAAUAGUAUUGUUGUAGUUCCUAUCUUGAUUGAUAUUCAAUAUGAUCAACAAUUGAGAUUUAUAUAAUUUCUAACAAAAAUUAACUAGGACUCUAAAGCUAUUGACUAAAGACAAUUGAAACAAAGAAGGUUAUCACCGAGGGAAAAUAGGAGUUGAUAGGAUAGGUGCAAGAUAAUUGUUUGGUAUCUAACUCUAGAUAAUUCACUUCUAAUGUUCAAGUGAGUCUCUCGAAUUCACUCAAUUAUUAGUUCAAACGUUCAGAAAAAACUCCUCUCUCGAUUAAGUCUUAACCUUACGAGAUGAACCAAUUUAAGCACGUGAAGAUAUGCAAGAAUACUUAGUGGAUUGGUCAUUAGGAAACUUUCUUUCGAUUAUUCUCAUAACUAGGUUUAAUCAAUGAUUCAACUAUCCUCUUUCGAUUACUAAGAAGAAUUAAUGAACUCAACCAACAAUAUAAUGCAAAGAUAUCACAAGUUAUGCCUCUCUCGAUUACAUGAACCAGUGAAUAUAGAUUCAAUAAUUAAAUCAUCCAAAAAUGCUUCAAUACAUAAAACUAGAGUAAUAAUCGAUAAACAAUCAUCAAUACACCAAAUCCAUCAAACCCUAAAGAGAACUACUCUAUAGAUAUAAAGCAAUUCAUCACAAAUAAGUUUAAAGUAAAGGAAAACAUAAAUUCAAUCCAAACUCGGGUAUUGAGUGAGGAAGUAAUGAUGAAAUCCUUGUGCUCGUGUUUUUCCAACUCCUCCUUAGACUCCUUAGGUCGAAUAUGUGUCAAAAGUUCAGAAAAUAAAUGUUUUCCAUGUAAUUAUAUCAAGUAGGGUCUGGUCCAAACGAAAUCACCUUUUCCUAGCCGAAAUAGGACAUUCACUCUGUAAAACUUGCAUAGGCGCGCCGCAUGGGCAACGCGCCAUGCAGGGCGUUAGUGGGGAAAUCCAUAGAGCUCAACAAUUCAAUAGGCAGCAAAAAUACACUGCUGCGUCGCACUAUGCCUCGCAUCCUGCGCCGCACUAGUGCAAAUUUCUCAAAGUACGGCUCAAAUCUUGUGUUUUGACAUCCAGACUUGGUCCUAGACCCCCAAACACAAUCCUGGCUUAAUCCCUUAGGCUUUUACUCAGACUUCAAAGAUCCAAUCGCUCGAAUUCAUUCCAUAACAUCUACAUAGCUCGGAAUCACUUCUACAAGGCAUAAAACACAUAAUAAGUGCAAAACACUAUCAAUUAAAACUCAAACACAAGUAAAGUGCAGUUAAUUAGAGUACAAUAAGUGACUAAAAUACGAGAUUAUAGCCUACCAUAAACACCCCACACUUAAACCAUUGCUCGUCCUCGAGCAAUCAAACUAUACUUCACAUAGACGCGACCUUUUUCAAUAACUCAUAACUCAUCACACCAGAAAUAUUUAAAACAGAUUAAGUACAAUACCAUAACAUCCUAGCCUCAAAAUUUUACUCAAAAGCACCACACAUUAUUUAUAACUCGCUCACUUACUCUAACACAGAGGUCAAGCAUCACCUUUCCUUCAUGAAUCAAGUGCCCUCAUACAACAAUAGAGAGUAGUUCCAUACGCAAUAAUAUUUUAGAGCAAUUAGGAACUCAAGAUAGAAAGAAUUUGCUCACUCUGAGAAACAACAUUCAUGUGCCACAAAAGACGUACCAGGCUUGCCCGUAGUGUACUGCUCUACUAAUUGAGCUCAUUCAGUCAAGGAUCAAGUAGGACUUUAUUUGGUUGUAAUGCAGGCUGCGGGACGGGUAGGAUACAUUUGGAUAUAAGAGUGACUACACCUCCCUAAUCACCUUAAUACAUACAUUGCAUUGUUCAAAACCCCACAUUUAUAUCAAACCAUAACUCCACCCUCACAUCAAUAUACAUUAACUUCCUACUUCUUUAAACACAAGUACAUCAAGAGUCACCACUAUCAACGAAUCUAAUUUUUCUUUUCUUUUCUUAUUAAAUUCAAGUGGCUCUUACUUUUUCAAAAUAGUGCACCUUUCUCUUUAUUUCAAUAGUUCCAUUCAAAAGUCAAACCAACCACCCCACACUUCAACUUUUACAAAGUUCAUAACAAAUUCAAGGUCUCACGAGAGGUAAAAGGUUCAAAUAGAUGGUCAAUUCAAACAAAUGGGUAAAGCUUGUAAUGUGGUUGCCAAAGAAACAAGAUUACAGGCUCAACGGGGUUAACUAAGAUACAUAACAAUUAGGUAGGUAAAAGCAUAUAGUUGGCUCAACAAAGAAAUGCCUAUAUCACUUCCAAGACUGAAUAAAACUACUAUUUCACUUUGCAAACACACGGGGCAAGUUCGAGACAUCAAAUGCAAUGCACAAAAUAACACAAAACCUCACACACACCUAGCACAUAACUCACUCAAGAUUGGAUUAUCAAGACACUCUAGUCAAAGAAGUUAAGAAAAGUUAAGAUCAUGCAAUUUAAGGUACUUAUACAAUAGUAAAAAUCUGAGCCAAAGCAUCACAACUAAAGCACUUACUAUUCUCAAGGUAUGAUAAAGUCAAGAUAUAUUGCCGUCCAUCUAAACCAUAGCACAAGGUUUGCUACUCCUAACAAAAAUAAAAACUAAUUACACCUGAUUCACACAAAACACUUAGAAACGAACCGCGACACAAAGAAAAACCAAUUGUGCCUUGUUACACUACCUAACAAAAGAUAAUCUUUUUUUCGUUUUUCCUUUGACUUUAAUCCCUCCAAAAAACUGUUGAAUGAUAUCCAUCAUCGGAAAAAAACAAAAAUAUUCCAAUUUUUAUGGGUUUUUCAAUUUUUUUCUAUCUCUAACUACUAAAACUAACAAAACAAAAAAAAAACUAAUAUACAAACGUACUGUCACGACCCAAAAUCUCACCCGUUGUGAUGGUGCCUAUCUCAAUACUAGGAAAGCCGACAAUCUCAAUUAACCACAUAUCUUUUAAAUUUGAAAACACAAUAAUUAAAUUCAGCAGAAGAAAUCUCACAAGUACAAAUAUAAACACUCCAAAAACCCGGUGUCACUGAGUACAUGAGAAUCUAAUAUGAAUACAAGUCUGGAAAACACAGUCUAUAAUAGUCUAAGACCAAAUACAGUAUAUAAGGAGAUAGGAAAGGAGAGACAAGGUCUCUGAAACACAACAGCUACCUCUGAAUCUCCGAAAAAUUAAUUGUGCGAAAGAAUCAAUACCCACUAUGUCCGGGAACACCUGGAUCUGCACAAGAAGUAGAGGGUGUAGUAUGAGUAUAACCAACUUAACAAGUAAUAAUACUAAAUAGGUACCUGCACUCACUGGGGUGUGUACAGACUCCAGAGGGGCUCCUACAACCCAAGCGCUAUAAUACGCACGGAUAACUCGCGUGUUUCACGGACAACUCACGUGCUAUAGUAUAAUAUAUGAAUCCGCACAGACAACUCACGUAUUGCACGGAUAACUCACGUGCUAUAGUAUAAUAUCUCACAAUCAGGCCCUCGGCCCCACUCAGUCAUAAAUCUCUCUAGUCUCUCGGACUCUUAAUAAUCAUGAAAAUCAGCCCAAACAACAAUGAUAUGAUGCAUCAAUAAUGGAUAAUAGAGACUGAGAUAAAAUAAAUAAGUAAACUGUGACUGAGUACAAAAUAAUAAUUUAGCAGAUAGUUCAACAUGUACACGACCUAUGUGGGUCCCUACAGAGCCAACACAUAAUCUAAACAUGAUCUGUAGUUCAAUUUCUCUACUACAUGAAGAAUGUAUAGAUAACAACAGAUUAUUCAACUACAAAGUUCCACGAAAUUUGACCAAGUCACAAUUCCUACGGUGCACGCCAACACGUCCGUCAACCUAGCAUAUGCAUCACCUCAAAACCGAUCACAUAACACAAAAUCUGGGGUUUCAUACCCUAAGGACCAAAUAUAGAACUGUUAGUUACGGAAAACUGUAAAAUUCUCUAUUCUUCUAUGCCCUUGCCUCGCGAAUCAGCCUCCAAAUGCCUCGAAUCUAGUCACAAAUAAUUUGAUUCAAUCAAUACAAAUUAUGGGAAUUAAUUCCAUAUGAAAAUACUAAUUUUCCAACAAACAUCCGAAAUUGCACUCAAAAUCUCCUGUGGGGCCCACAUCUCGGAACCCGACAAAAGUUACGGAAUAUGAACGCCCAUCCAACCACGAGUCCAACCAUACAAAUUUCACUGAAUUCUGUCAUCAACUCAACCCUCAAAUCUUCAUCUAAAGUCUUUGAAGAUUUCUACCAUUUUCAACCCAGUACUUACCCAUUUGAACUCAAUAAUCUUGCUACAAGCCUUAUUAAUCCCCCAUCUUUUACUCCAAACUCGAAAUUGAAGAAUUGGGAAAAGAAAUUAUUACCUCUUUGAAGCCCUAGCAAGAACCUUGUGAAAUCUUCAAGCUUUGAAUAAGAAUUGAUGAACAAUUGACUAGGUCUUCACUUUCUCUCUCUAAGAUUCUCUCACCACUGUCUAAAAUAUCAGUUUUUUUGCUCCAAAAGAGUCCCUUUGCCUCAAUAUAUCGAAAUAGGGUUGGGUAAAAAAUUAGAAAAAUUGAAGCCCCGACGUAGAUCUGCGGUCGCAUAUGUGACCGCAUAAUGCUUCUGCGGUCCGCAUAAUGGGCCGCAUAAUUGCCCUCUGGAACUGGGCGAAACUGACUCAGACUGCGGUCAACAUUUUCAACUUAAGUUCUAAACCUUGUAACUAAGUGUUCCAAAUCAUUCCCAAAUCUCACCGGACCCGAACUAAUCACCCUGGCAAGUCACAUAACAACUGUAAAACAUAAAUUGAGCAGUAAAUGGGGGAACGGGGUUGUAAUACUCAAAAUGAACGGCCGGGUCGUUACAUUCUCCCCCUCUUAAACAAACGUUCGUCCUCGAAUGGGUUUAGAAUUAUACCUGGAGUCUCAAAUAGGUGUGGAUAUUUGCUCCGCAUCUCCCGCUCAGUCUCCCAAGUAGCUUCUCCGACUGGCUGUCCUCUCCACUGCACUUUCACUGAAGCUAUGUUCUUUGAUCUCAACAUUCGAACCUGCCGGUCUAAAAUGUCCACUGACUCCACAUCAUAAGUCAAAUUACCAUCCAAAUGCACUGUGCUGAAAUCCAAAACAUGAGAUGGAUCCUCGACAUACUUCCGGAGCAUAGAUAUAUGAAACUCUUGAUGAACACUCGAUAGACUAGGCCACAAUACAAGUUCAUAAGCCACAUCUCCAAUCUUCUUAAGCACCUCAAACGGCCCAAUAUAUUGAGGGCUCAACUUGCGCUUCUUCCCGAACCUCAACACACCCUUCAUGGGCAAAAACUCGAGUAGAACCUUCUCCCCAACCAUGUAAGCAACAUCACAGACAUUCCGGUCGACAUAACUCUUAUGUCUAGACUACACCGUGCGAAGCCGCUCCUGAAUCAAUUUAACCUUCUCCAAAGCAUCCUGAACCAAAUCAGUACCCAAAAGCCUAGUCUCACCCGGCUCAAACCAACCCACCGGAGACCGACACCGUCUCCCAUAUAAAGCCUCAUAUAGAGCCAUCUGAAUGUUCGAUUGGUAUCUGUUAUUGUAAGCAAACUCUACUAGUGGCAGAAAUUGAUCCCAAGAACCCCCAAAAUCUGUAACACAAACGCGUAGCAUAUCUUCCAAUAUAUGAAUAGUGCGCUCAGACUGUCCCUCCAUCUGAGGGUGAAAUGUUGUACUCAGCUGAAUUUGUGUACCUAAUUCUCGUUGUACUGCUCUCCAAAACUGUGAUGUGAACUGCGUACCCCGAUCUGAAAUGAUGGACACUGGCACACCGUGCAGACGAACAAUCUAAUGGAUAUAAAUCUCAGCCAAUUGCUCCGAAGAAUAAGUAGUACCAACUAGAAUAAAAUACACAGACUUGGUCAACCGAUCUAUAGUCACCCAAACAACAUCAAACUUUCUCAAAGUCCGUGGGAGCCCAACUACAAAGUCCAUGGUAAUACGCUCCCACUUCCACUUCGGAAUUUCAAGUCUCUGAAGCAAUCUUCCCGGUCUCUGAUGCUCAUACUUCAGCUAUUGACAAUUUAAACACCGAGCUACAAACCCAACUAUAUCUUUCUUCAUUCGCCUCUACCAAUAGUGCUGCCUAAAAUCCUGAUAUAUCUUUGCGGCACCCGGAUGAAUGGAGUACUGCAAACUGUGAGCCUACUCGAGAAUCAACUCACGCAAACCAUCUACAUAAGGCACAUAUAGCCUACCCUGCAUCCGUAAUACACCGUCACCCCCAAUAGUGACUUCCUUGGCAUAACCGUACUGAACCGUGUCCUUAAGGACAAACAUAUGAGGGUGAUCAUAUUGACGUUCUCUAAUACGAUCAUAAAGAGAAGACUGAGAAACCACACAAGCUAAAACUCGGCUUAGCUCAGAAACAUCCAAUCAGACAAACUGGUUGGCCAAGGCCUGAACAUCCUAGGCUAAAGGCCUCUCUGCUACGGGUAAGUAUGCUAAGCUGUCCAAACUCUCCGCCUUACGACUCAUGGUAUCGGCCACCACAUUGGCCUUUCCGGGAUGAUAGAGAAUGGUCUGCACGAAAUACAUUCGGAAAGUCUCGCACUACCGGUACUGAAUCAAUAGUAGAGGUAUCUGCAUCAACGUUUAUCACAAAGGCCAAAUAUGACAUACACCCCUUCCCCGCCAUAUGUUAGGCUUUAAAAUAAGAAAUUACCAUGCUGGGAACAUAAUCUAGAGAACCUCUCCAUUCGACCUUUGGUAACCCCAGCAUUGCCAAUGUCACAGUUUUUGCGUGACAGUCUAGAAUAGCAUGAUAUGGAGACAACCAAUCCAUACCCAGGAUUACAUCAAAAUCAACCGUACUAAGCAAUAAGAGAUCAACUCUAGUUUGCAUUCCCCCAAUAGUUACCACACACGACCGAUACACACGGUCCACCAUAAUAGUAUCGCCCACCGGCGUAGAUACACAUACAGGUGAAACUAAGGACUCACGGGGCAUAUCAAGAUAAUGAGCAAAAUACGAUAGUACAUACGAAUAAGUAGAACCAGGGUCAAAUAAUAUAGAUGCCUCCAUGUGGCACACUGAGACAGUACCCGUGAUCACUGCAUCUGAGGCAACGACAUCUGGCCUGGCGGGAAAAGCAUAGAAUCGUGCUUGACCGCCACCUGAUCGGCCUCCCUCUCUUGGGCGACCCCUAACUGGCUGAGCCCCACCCCGAGCUGGCUGGGCGGGUGGUGUAACUGCUGGUGUUGGUGCCGUCGUCCAAGAACUCUGUUGUGGAGCCCCACUCAACAGCGUAGAAAAAUCUCUCUUGAAAUGACAAAAUUCUCCGCACUCGAAACAACCCCUCCUCUGACGGAACUGCUGCUCAUGAUAACCCGAGGAAUUAUCUAUCGAAUCCUGGGCGGACGAGGCAUGAUGAGAACUCUGUGCUCGUAGUUCACUAAAUGAAGACUGGCCUGAGUGAGAACAGUAAGAACUGUGGCUAGCUGAUGCACCACGAUGAGCUGGACGAGUCGUCUGAGUGGGCCUAUAAGGGCGACCCCUGCUGUGGUAGAACUGUCCCCCAGAAGGUAUCCCACCAAAACCUCCUAAACCACGAGGCCUCUUGGCCUCCCUGUGACCACGCUCCUGGCUACGGACCACCUCAUCAAAAGUGGCACCAGAUACCCUCUCCCUAGUCAUAAGAAACUGUAGUUGAUAUGUUACGACAACAAUGAACCUCCCAAUCCUCGCCCUAUCAGUGGGAACCAACCAAACUGCAAGACGAGCCAAUUCAGAAAACCUUAUCUCGUACUGGGUCACAAACAUGCCAUCCUAUCAAAGCUGCUCAAAUUAUCUGCACAGCUCCUCCCUAUGAGACUGCGGCACGAACUUCUCCAAAAUGAAAAUAGAGAACUCAUACCAUGUAAGUGGUACUGCACCAACCGGCCUGCGCCUCUCAUAAGCCUCCCACCAUCUGAAGGCAGCCCCAGAAAACUGAAAAGUAGUGAACGAGACGCCCACUGGUCUCCAAAAUACCCGUUGUCCGAAGCAUCUGCUGGCUUUUAUCCAGAAAACCCUGAGCAUCUCUAACUCAGCACCGCUAAAUGAUGGAGGUCGAAGCCUCCCAAAUCUCUCAAGUCUCCUCUGCUCAUCAUCUUCCAUAACUGGACUAUCGGGGCCUGAGCAGCUGUAAUCGACUGGGCUGGUAGUGCCCCAGGUAUUUGAAAUCCCUGCGCCACCUGCUCUGGAGUACGGGAAACAGGGGUAUGAGUACCUCCCCCAGCCUGAGAAGUGGUUGGUGCGGCCUGAGCCAAAACCACUUGAGCAAGGCCAGUGUAAACUAUCAAUAUCUGAGCCAAUGCCUCUUGUAGGCCUGGAAUCACAUUGGGCACAGCUGGUGCCUGAGCGGGUCCCGCAGGCUCAACUACAUCUAGAAUCUGCUCCUGAGCUGGAGAAACUGGUGGUGCUACAUGUGCUGCUCCAAUUGAUGUACGAGCGACACCUCAACCUCGACCUCUACCUCGGCCCCGGCCUCUCAUGGCCCUAACUGGUGGCAAUGGUUGCUCACCGUCCAAUCCGGUAGUACGUGUUCUCACCAUCUGUGAGAGAAUAGAAUAACAUAAUUUUAGUUUUCUAGAAUCAACAAGUUUGCACGACCGAAUAUAGGAAAGUUAAAUUUUCCUAAGGAUUCGACAGCCUCUCGAAAAUAAGUACGGCCGUCUGCGUACCGAUCCGUAAGACUCUACUAAACCAACUCAUGAGUCAUGAGACCUAUGUAACCUAGGCUUUGAUACUAACUUGUCAUGACCCAAAAUCUCACCCGUCGUGAUGGCACCUAUCUCAAUACUAGGCAAGCUGAUAAUCUCAAUAAAUCACAUAUCUUUUAAAUUUGAAAAUACAAUAAUUAAAUUCAGCGGAAGAAAUCUCACAAGUAUAAAUAUAAACACUCCCAAAACCCAGUGUCACUGAGUACAUGAGCAUCUAAUAUGAAUACUAGUCUGGAAAAUAUGGUUUAUAAUAGUCUGAGACCAAAUACAAUAAACAAGGAGAUAGGGAAGGAGAGACAAGGUCUGGGAAACAUGGCAGCUACCUCUAAAUCUUUGGAAAAUCAACUGUGUGAAGGAAUCAACACCCACUAUGUCCGGGAACACCUGGAUCUGCACACAAAGUGCAGGGUGUAGUAUGAGUAGAACUAACUCAGCAAGUAACAAUACUAAAUAAAGAACUGACAGUAGUGACGAGCUUCACAGCUGAGUCCAAUUAUAGUAAUUUCCAACAUAAUAAGGUAGGCAUGCCUUCAAGUUCAACAUUUAAGACCAAAAAAUUAAUUUCAUGACAGUGAUAUCUCUCAGAAAUUUCAUGAAAUCAAUUGCAUCCUCUCAGGACCACAGUCACUUAGCCAUUCCAUCCGCUCAGCACUCGCACUCAGUAGGUACCUGCGCUCACUAGGGUAUGUACAGACUCCAGAGGGGCUCCUACAGCCUAAGCGCUAUAAUCCGCACAGACAACUAACGUGUUAUAGUAUAAUAUCUCACAAUCAGGCCCUCGGUCUCACUCAGUCAUAAAUCUCUUCAGUCUCUCGGGCUCCUAAUAAACAUGAAAAUCAGCCCAAACAACAAUGAUAUGAUGCAUUAAUAAUGGCAAUAGAGACUGAGAUAAAAUAAACAAGUAAACUGUGACUGGGUACAAAAUAAGAAUUUAGCAGAUAGUUCAGCAUGUACUUGACCUAUGUGGGUCCCUACAGAACCAACACAUAAUCUAAAGAUGAUUUGUGGUUCAAUUUCUCUACUGCAUGGAGAAUGUACAGAUAACAACAGAUUAUUCAACUACACAGUUCCACGAAAUUUAACCAAUUCAUAAUUCCUACGGUGCAUGCCAACACGCCCGUCACCUAGCAUGUGCGUCACCUCAAAACCGAUCACAUAGCACAAACUUCGGGGUUUCAUACCCUCAGGACCAAAUUUAGAACUGUUAGUUACCGCAAACCGUGAAAUUCUCUAUUCUGCUAUGCCCUUGCCUCAUGAAUCGGCCUCCAAACGCCUCGAAUCUAGUCACAAAUAAUUCGAUUCAAUCAAUACAAAUUAUGAGAAUUAAUUCCAUAUGAAAAUACUAAUUUUCCAACAAAAAUCCGAAAUUGCACUCAAAAUCACCCGUGGGGACCAUGUCUUGGAACCCGACAAAAGUUACGGAAUAUGAAUGCCCAUCCAACCACGAGUCCAACCAUACAAAUUUCACCAAAUCCUGUCAUCAACUCGACCCUCAAAUCUUCAUCUAAAGUCUUCAAAGAUUUCUACCAUUUUCAACCCAAUCCUUACCCAUUUGAACUCAACAAUCUUGCUACAAACUUUAUUGGUACAAGCAUGAAUAAAUAAUACUUGUACACUCAAGAAUUAUACUCUUAAUCUGCCAUCUUUUACUCCAAACUCAAAAUUGACGAAUUGGGGAGAAAAAUUCUUACCUCUUUGAAGCCCUAGCAAGACCCUUGUGAAAUCUUCAAGCCUUGAACAAGAAUUGAUGAACAAUUGACUAGGUAUUCACUUUCUCUCUCUAAGAUUCUCUCACCACUCUCUAAAAUAUCAGAUAUUUGUUCCAAAAGAGUCCCUUUGCCUCAAUAUAUCGAAAUAGGGUCGGGUAAAAAAUUAGAAAAAUAGAAGCCCCAACAUAGAUCUGCGAUCGCAUAAUGCUUCUGCGGUCCGCAUAAUGCGCCGCAAACCUGAUCCCUAAAACUUGCCUUAACUGCUUCAUUCUGCAACCAUUAUGCGGUCCGCAGAGUGAUUCUGCGGCCGCAUAGUGGGAAGCAUAAAUGUAUUUUCCUGCUCGAAAUUUUCUUUUACUCACCAGCGCUGAAAUGUAUUUUCCUGUCCGAAAGUUUCUUUUACUCGCAAGCUGGCCGCGAGAAAUUUCUACAACCUUAGUAAUAAUUAAUCUACCUCGGUACCACAAAACCUUAAUUUCCUUAGCAAACAUUCUCUAGGGUCGUUACAUAUAAGUCAACCUCCGGUCAACCUUUUCAACUUAAGUUCUAAACCUUGGAACUAAGUAUUCCAAAUCAUUCCAAAACCUCAGCGGACCCGAACUAAUCACCCUGGCAAGUCACAUAACAACUAUAAAGCAUAAAUUGAGCAGUAAAUGGGGGAACAUGGUUGUAAUACUCAAGUUGUGGCAUGUGCCCAUGACACACAAUUGUCCCCGGCCGGGUCGUUACACAUACAUACAACAUAUCCCCCACCCCACACUUUAAGUUAUGGUAUGUCCCCAUGACACACAAUUAAAAAUCAUAAGGUAAAGGAAACUUCCCUUGCUCACUGUAGCCUUCUCUCUUGAGCCCUUCACUUUCCACUCAACACUUGUAGUUGGUUUGUCCUUUUGUGUCCCCUUUGCUAUAUUCAUCUCAAAAAUCACAAUAUCCUCACCCACUCUAAGCAUGAGUAUUUUCUCGUGUAUAUCCAAUAUAGCUCUACCCGUUGCUAAGAAUGGUCUUCCUAGGAUGAGGGGGACCUCGUUUUCCUCCAUUUUCACCAAUAUAAAUUCUACAGUAAAUACGAACUUAUCCACUCGAACUAACACAUCUUCUACUAUCCCCUCGAGUAUUAAAGUCAUUUGGUCUGCCAGUUGUAAAGAUAUUGGCAUCGACCUUAUCUCUCCAAUAUCCUUCUCCAGUUUCCUGUAAAUAGAUAGAGGCAUUAAACUAAUUGAGGCACCAGAAUCACAUAAGGAUUUAUCAAACUUAAUAGUGCCUAAAGAGCAAGGUAUAGUAAAACUCCUUGGAUCUCCACACUUUUGUGGGAGUUUGUUUUGCAAUAUCGCGCUUCAAUGCUCUGUGAGCUUCACCAGUGAAGUAUCCUCUAUCUUCCUCUUCUUUAUAAGGAUCUCAUUCAUGAAUUUGGCGUAAGCAUGCAUUUGUGAGAGCACUUCUAUGAAUGGAAAAUUUACAUGAACCUAUUUUAGCACAUCUAGAAAUCUCCUAAACUGCUUGUCCAGCUUUUCUCUAUAUAGCUUUUGAGGAAAAGGUAAAGCAGGCAUAUGCUCGCUCUCAUCAUGUUCCUCCCUUCUUAAUUUUUCUUCCAUCUUAUUCUUCUCAGUUUUCAUCGAGCCUUUCUUAUUUUUAUCAAUAUCAUUCUUCAGCUACUCCCCACUUUCGUUUUCAUGUAUCGCAUCCUUUUGGAUCGGGGUGGGAUCUUUCAACACUUGCCCACUUCUCACAUUUACAGCAUUCACUGUUUCUUUAGGAUUUCUCUCAAUAUCAGUGGGGAGAGUUCCUGGAUCCCUCUUAGAUAAUAUUGUUGCAAUCUGCCUAACUUGUCUCUCCAGGUUCCGAAAAGAUGUGCCCAACUCUUUGAUAGCUACUCCAUGAGCGUCCAGCCUCUCAUCUGUCUUGAUAAUGAAGGCCUUUAAUAGAUCCUCUAGACCUGACUGAAUGGGAUGUUGAGGCUGAAAUUAUUGCCUCUACUGAUUUUAGUAUGCUGGAGCUCCUUGUCCCUGCAGUCUAGAGUUAUUUUGUUACCAAGCAUUCACGGUACCUCCAGGUGAACUCCAUGAAAAUUCGGGGUGCCUCUAACCCAUUGUAUUGAAACUGUAGUUUCCCACAACAUUUACUUUCUCAGUUGAGGCUUGACACUCAUGAAUAGGGUGUCCUCUUCCACAUAUAUCACAAACUAUAUGAGGCUCAUUUUGUAUCGAGGCUAAGGUCAGCUUCCGUAUUUCUUAGCCAUAGCAUCCAGUUGUACCUGCAUAGAUGUAUUAGCAACAACUUGGUGAAUACUAGUUGUUCUUCUUCUUUCAACACUCUCAGAGGGCCACUGAUUUGCAUCUUUAGAUAACUCAUCAAGAAUUAUAACUAUCUCCUCUGGAGUCUUCUUCAUCAAUGGGCCUCCAGCUGCAUUGCUCAAUGUUCUACGUGAGGCUGGUGUCAAUCCAUCCCUAAAGUCCUAGAGUUGCAUUCAGAGUCCAAUUCUGCUAUGUUGAUGCUUUCGAAUAAUCUCUUUAAACCUCUCCCAUGCUUCAAAAAUAGUUUCCGUAUCAAUCUGGUAGAAGUUAUGGAUUUAUCUUCUAAACUUGCUCGUUUUAGUAGAGGAGAAAUAUUUAUCAAGGAAUUUUCUAGUCAUCUUCUCCCAAGUUCUAAUGGAUCCCGUGGGUAAGCUUCGAAGCCACUGUUUUGCAUCAUCUUUGAGUGUAAAGGGGAAUGCCCUCAAGUACACUGCAUCUCGUGAUACACCAUUGUAUUGAAAGGUGUUCAUAAUCUCUUCGAAGUCCAUCAUAUGUGUAUUUGGAUCUUCGUUCAUCUUCCCUAUGAGGACACAACAAUUUUGAAGGGUUUGAAGCAACCCUUGCUUCAACUCGAAAUUAUUUGCUGUAAUUGGAGGUGGUCUCACACUUGAUAAUCCUUGAUUGUAGACCAGUCUAAUAUAAUCACCAAGAGGUCUUCCUUGUAUGGGAGCUAUAUUUUCGAACUGGUCCGCACCCAAAGGUUGAUUUUGAGCAAUUCUCUGACCCCUUACUUCUCCAUAGAUAAUUUGUGCAUCUCUGAUAGUUUCUUCCUCAGCAUCCCGUGCAACUUGUUAUCUUUGUUAGGUUGCCUCUCUUGCAUCCAAAUCUAUAUUAUCAUCACCGUUUCCAGCCAUAAGUUCUUUGGUCGAGGAUUGCCCAACCUUUUCUGAUGUCUCGGUGAGAUUUCUCUCCUUCCUCAAUUGUCGCAGUUGUUUUUCUACCUUUGGCUCGUAUGGUAGAACUUCUUUAGCAGAAGCUCGAGUCAUGUACCAAUCUAAACCUGUAACCUGCACACAGUCAAAGAACACCAACCGUAAAAAGAGAAAAAUAAAAUUAAAUAAAAAGAACAAAAUCAUGAAUUAGCACUACAAACUAUUUCAAAUGCACACUAUUAAUCCAAUAGCACAUACAGGGAACCAGGAAAAAAUAAAAGCACAACACUUUGGUUCUGAGGGAAAUCACCCAGUCAAAUACCAUGCUCAAGUUGUUAUUGAGGGGGGAAUGGUGAGGCUGGUUUUUACUAACAUGGUUUGUUCUUUUGCAGGAAACGAUAGUGUACUCAUCCCUUGCCAUUUACUAUGACUUCCAUGGGUGGUUGUAGCACUAUGUGCUCAUUCCCUAUAAGGAGGAGUGAUGGCAAGCACAAGCAUGGGAACGAAAUAUAACGGCAAAAAGCUAAGAAAUCGCCAAUACAGUGGCUAUUUUUGGCGAAGAUUUCUGGGCAAUUUGGAAACAAAGUAGAACAAAAUAUCAGUGCAACACUAUAAUACAAUAGCUCAUAAUCCAAAACUUGCAAAGAUAUCAAUAAGAUUCACAAGGCAAGCACACGAAAUUGUAGGCAAAAUCUGGACUGCUGAGCACUUUUGGACAGUACACUCGCGAGGGCUCUUUUAGCGAAAUAUUUCGGGCACAAUGGGUAUAAAAUGGGCUAAAUUAUUGAUGCAGCAUGGGAGAAGGAAAACCAAGAUCGAAUUCAUUCAAAGGUUUCAAGAGAUAAUAGAGGGAGGUCACGCAAAAAAGAUCGCAAACAUAGUGCACUUGCAAGUUUCUGGGCAGAGCACAUGCUUAAAAUUUUGCGAGCCUCGGGUAAUUUUUGUAGAUGUUGUAAUGACACUUUAUGGAGCAUGCAUGGACAAACAAUUCAAAUGAUGCUACAACACCAAUGGAGGGUGGCUCACAUCACCAUUUUUUGGGCAGUGUCUAUUUUUUGGCAAAUGGAAAUUGGCUAUUUGUGCAAGCAGCGUAACUGAGUAGUGGCUUUCAAUGAAUAUGGCUAUUUUUGCAAACAUCGGAUCUUGCAACUGGACGCUAAAUAUAAUGAGCUUCAAGGGCUAGAUCUUAAGUAUAAAAGCUACAUUAGAUUUCAUGUGCUAUCAUUGUUGAGCAUUUUACUCAACUUUGAUAAUAGGCUAUAUGUAGUUUGCAAAGUUUAUUUCUUUCAUUUCUUAGGAUUUCAUGAUACUUNNNNNNNNNNNNNNNNNNNNNNNNNNNNNNNNNNNNNNNNNNNNNNNNNNNNNNNNNNNNNNNNNNNNNNNNNNNNNNNNNNNNNNNNNNNNNNNNNNNNNNNNNNNNNNNNNNNNNNNNNNNNNNNNNNNNNNNNNNNNNNNNNNNNNNNNNNNNNNNNNNNNNNNNNNNNNNNNNNNNNNNNNNNNNNNNNNNNNNNNNNNNNNNNNNNNNNNNNNNNNNNNNNNNNNNNNNNNNNNNNNNNNNNNNNNNNNNNNNNNNNNNNNNNNNNNNNNNNNNNNNNNNNNNNNNNNNNNNNNNNNNNNNNNNNNNNNNNNNNNNNNNNNNNNNNNNNNNNNNNNNNNNNNNNNNNNNNNNNNNNNNNNNNNNNNNNNNNNNNNNNNNNNNNNNNNNNNNNNNNNNNNNNNNNNNNNNNNNNNNNNNNNNNNNNNNNNNNNNNNNNNNNNNNNNNNNNNNNNNNNNNNNNNNNNNNNNNNNNNNNNNNNNNNNNNNNNNNNNNNNNNNNNNNNNNNNNNNNNNNNNNNNNNNNNNNNNNNNNNNNNNNNNNNNNNNNNNNNNNNNNNNNNNNNNNNNNNNNNNNNNNNNNNNNNNNNNNNNNNNNNNNNNNNNNNNNNNNNNNNNNNNNNNNNNNNNNNNNNNNNNNNNNNNNNNNNNNNNNNNNNNNNNNNNNNNNNNNNNNNNNNNNNNNNNNNNNNNNNNNNNNNNNNNNNNNNNNNNNNNNNNNNNNNNNNNNNNNNNNNNNNNNNNNNNNNNNNNNNNNNNNNNNNNNNNNNNNAACUCGGGUCUUGAGUGAAGAAGGAAUGAUGAAAUCCUUGUGCUCGUGUUUUUCCAUCUCCUCCUUAGCCUCCUUAGGUCGAACAUGUGUCAAAAGUGCAAAAAAUAAUAUUUUUUCCAUAUAUUUAUAUCAAGUAGGGUCGGGCCCAAACGAAAUCACCUUUACCUAGCCAAAAUAGGACAUUUACUUUGUAAAUAUUGCACAGGCGCGCUGUAUGGGGCGACGCGCCAUGCGGGGUAUUAGUGGGAAAAUCUAGAGAGAUCAACAAUUCAACAGGCAACAAAAAUACACUGUUUCAUCACACUAUGCCUCGCACCCAGCGUCGCACUAGUGCAAAUUACUCAAAGUACGGCUCAAACCUUGUGUUUUGACAUCCAGACUUGGUCCUCGACCCCCGAACACGAUCCCGGCUAAAUCCCUUGGGCUUUUACUCAAACUUUAAAGCUCAAAAUCGCUCGAAUUUAUUCCAUAACAUCUACAUAGCUCAGAAUCACUCCUACAUGGCAUAAAACACACAAUAAGUGCAAAAACACUAUCAAUUAAAGAUCAAACACAAGUAAAUUGCAGUUAAAUAGAGUGUAAUAAGCAACUAAAAUACGAGAUUAUAGCCUACCAUCAUCGAGGAAAAAGUACCUUGCCCUUUGUCCAGCCCAAGACAAUAAGAAAGAAAAUAAUAGUCGGCAGAGGGAGAGGUGCAGACCUCUCUGAGUCUAUCUCCUAUAUCCCAUCUAGGGAGGUGUCAGAGGGAAACUCAGCCUUUAUUCAAGAGGAGUAGACGGCCACCCAGUCGAGGCCGCAGUGGUGAUACCAGCUCAGGGAUGAUCCGUCUUCAUGUCACAGCACCUACGAGAGGUCGGAGAGUGCUAAUCAGGCUUCUUAGCCAUCGGCUACACCAGUCCCUGAGGCACAGGUUACACAUGAUAUCCCCGAUGAUGGCAGAGGGGGAGAUGCUACAACUACAGGGCUUGAGAGAUCAAAGAAGAAAGAGGUUUGGGAGGAUUGCUUUGUUUGCUUGGCCGCUUUUACCAGUUUCCGUAUGUGGUGGCCAGUGAGCUCGCUAACUCUUGAGCGACAGUUUCUGUUAAAUGAUUUGGAGAAAUACAACCCAACUAUAUUGAGACAGUUCAUGGCACGAAAGGGGUGGAUGUGGUUCACCGAGAAAGUAGACGAUGCCAAAUAAUACCUUGUUUGAUAAUUAUAUGCCAAUGUGGCUCAUAUAAAGAAAGGUACGAAGGUGACCAAAGUACGCAACCUCAAGGUGAGAUUUGAUCAGCAUACGCUAAAUACGUAUUUGGGCUUCAAAGAUUUUGAGCUGAAGGAAUAUCUGGAGAAGUGCGCACUAAAGGAUGAAGUCCGACCUUGGUUGGCUAAGAUUCUAGCACCACCAGGGCCACCGCCACCAUGGAUCACUGCUGGGGUUCCCAUCCACCGGAACACCCUAAGUUUUGAGGCAAAGAGGUGGCAAACCUUUGUCUACAACAGACUAGAUCCAAGCCAGAACCAGAUUCACCUCCCUAUCCCUCGAGCAGUGCUUGUGGCUUCCAUCAUGGUCAGCUACCCAAUCAAUGUGGGUGUCAUGAUGUCGGCCAACAUUUUAGUGAUUGCACGGUAGGACAGCUCAUCCUACCCUUAUCCCAUCACUAUCACAGAGUACCUCACCUAUGCAAAGGUAGAGCCGAGGGAUUUUGACACCAAGGUGAAACCAAAGAAACCAUUCGACUGGUAUUCUCUGAUGGAUGCGAGCAACCCAAAGAAGAAAGCACAGCCUUCUACCACCGUAGGCCAGUCUAAUGAGCUAAUAGUGGUAGCUUCUGAGGCAGUUGAUCUUCCAUCCACCUCUGCUAAGCCUUCUACCAGUGCCACUGCUAUGACUCCACCAUCAUCUUCAACUCCCAUAUCUGCUCUGCUAGUCUCCCAAACAUUGGCGAGUCUCAACAACUGGAUGCAGAUAGCUACUUCUAAGUUGUCUGACUUAUCUAGUACUGUUACAAUGCAGUCCACUUCUCAGGCACCAUAGUCUCCUUCUGACAUUGAUGAUACAGUGAAGAAAAUUUUGGAGAACCAGAAGACGAUCAUGGAUAACUUGGUAUGACACUGGUCAGUGAUUAAGAAGUUGGGAAAGGAAGUAAAGAAGAGGAGGAAGUCCUAGGUCAGCAAGAAAUCAGUGGAAAAGCUCUGUAAGGAGGUGACUAGACUUGCUAUAGCUGGCGACCUUCUCUUUGACAUGCUGCUUGACCCGCACCAGUUCGCCCCAGAUCCUUCAACACCAUCUGCAUCGGUAGCACCAACUGGCCAGUCUGACGAUCCAGACCAUGAUGCAGACACUAUUGAGGCAAUGCAUGAGAUGUUCGCCAACCCAGCCAUACCUAGAUUUGAUGAUGAUGUGACUCAGUUGGCUGAUCCUGAGGGAGAUGACAUUGUCAGGGACACUGAGAUGUCCAAGGAUCCAUAGGGAGUUUUUUUCACCCUCUCAUUUUUUUACUCUUAUUUUGCUAAGCAUUGGGGACAAUGCUUACUUUUAUUUGGGGGGUAGAGUUUAGUUGACACAUUGGUACACUUUGAUACAUUUGGUCUGUAAUAAUUUGACGAUACUCUUUCUCUUCUUAUUUGUAUUUAUCUAGCUUCUCUCUCUUCUCUUAUGUAUAUUUAUCUCUCUUUAGUAGUUUUUGCGUAUUAGCUUCUAUAUUAUUUCCAUAUUAGCUCGUGUUUUGUUAAGUAUCUUCUUUUUAUGCUUUAGUAGAUAAUAAGCCUUUGGUUUUCUUAACGCCAUGGUUCUUUCCAAAGAAAGUUGUGUGAACUGGUUUACUUGUCCCAACGAUGGAUAGCGUGACAACCUUCUUAAGGGAAUGAGUCUAUUUUUGUGUUUAGGUAAUAAUAAUAGUAGUAAUGAAUAAAAGACCAAAUCUAGUCGUGCUCAAAGAGUCAAUCAUGCUUCAAUUGGUACCAACACACUUAACUACAUGUUUAUGGUUAGAGACAAGGUUUUUGAAAGAAAUAGCUCUAGUUAGUGGCUUUGUGACUCUUGAGUUGACUUUGGUAAUCAUCGAGUGAUUUAAUUGGACCAUGGUGAUCUUUAAACUUAAAUGUGGUCGUUGUAGGCUCUCGACUCUAUCCUCUUUUACUAUCUAGUUGUGUGAGGGGUGAGAUGAAUUGUUGCAAGUACAAGUAUCCGUGCGAAGGGUCUAGAACCUGUCCCGAAUGUGUUUCAAGGCGAAAUCCUAAGUUUUGCUUGGUUUGAGAAGUUAUUGUAGGGUUUCCUUGGCCCGUUUGAGCUUUCUAUUACCAACCAAUAUCGUUAUCCCAAGUCAACCCAUUUGAACCUCUAGCCUUUUGUCAUUUGAUAACCAUGUUCUCUGUCUUUUCCCCGUUUUGUCGUAACCCUCUCUUGGCACCCGAACUUUUCUUAACACUCCUGUGAAACACGUAGCUUAAAACAUAAGUUUAGGGGAGAGAUGAGGAGUUUGAAAAUGUAUCGAGGCACAGAAAGAGAAAAGAAACGAUCUCCAUGAAAGAGAAGGCAAGAAAAGAUAAGAACAAAAAGAAAACUGCAGAACAUGAAUAAGUGGAAGGGUUGGUGGAUUCAAAAAAAAGAGGUAAUGAUCCCUAGCAUGAGAAAUCAAAAAAGGAUAAAAAGAAUGAAAUUAACAAAAAAAAAGAGUGACGUUAGUCCCCAAUGAAAAAAAAUGCCUCUAAGAAUUGGUAAUUGUGAUCCGAGAAAUGAAAAUGUAGAGUGCUUAAGUAAAGGUGUAACCACUUACCCAUAUGGUAUCCUACUCUAAUCCAAAAGCCAUCAUUACAACCCGAAAUAAGUCCUACUUGAUUUCAAAUUAAGUGACCAUACAUUAGUGGCAAUCUACAUGAGGGCAAGCCUAUGGUACUUGAAGCUGUACUUGUGACAUUCUCUUGUGAGAGACAGGUGAACCUUUCAUGAAUCUUAAGAUUGAGUGCUAAUUUCUUAAGUGAUCUUGGCAAAUGGAAAGUAGAGGAGGAAGUGUUUGGAGUCCACCAUGACCUACAUGAUAGAACAAGAGUCAUUGAUGAGUAAAGUCAAUUUUUGAAGCUCAAAUAUCACAUUAGAACUAUAUGUGCAUGAAUAUUUGACUUGUCACCUUGUUGAUAAUACAUGAGUAGUGUGGGUAAUUGUUGAUCCCAAAUGAUGUGUGACUAGCUCACCUUUGACUUGGUGAAAUGACCCUUAACUCUAGGAGGUGGGGACCAAUUUAUUUGCUUAAGGACAAGCAAAGACUUAAGUUUCGGAAAGUUGAUAAGUGGGAAUUUUGACUACUUAUUAGCACUUUUUUGCUUUGUUUUAGUCUGAAAGUGUUGCUUUAUGUCCCCGAAACUAAUGAAAGUGUGCAAAUUACAGGAAUGUUGGAAGCUUGUUCUCGCAUGAUGAAAUCUGACACAAAAAGGAGUGUUUCGAAUCACAAGGCAAGAAAGGGGCAUAGAACUAAAGAAGUAUGGUCCGCAGAAUUCUAUUUGCGGCCGCAGAUCAAGUGAAAGAGACCAACAAGAACUUGGCCAAUGUGCGGCCGCAGAAUAAGGUCUACACUGACAAAUGAUUCAAAGUUCAGAGAGUGUUCAAAAGACCAAGUCCUGAAGCCUUGUUGAAGUGCGGACCGCACAAGAAUUGUGCGGCCGUAGAAGAUGCUUCACAGCCGCAAUCCAUAAUUGUGCGGCUGCAGAAUCCAAGAUCUUUCCAACUGAAUAAAUCUUCGUACCGCACAUAGAAUUGUGCGGCCGCAUAGCCUCCCAAGGGGAAUUAUUGUGAGCGAAUUUUGGGCCACUAUAAAUAGACGAGUUUCACAUUUUUAGGUCAUGUUUCGAAGUUUAAACUGUUGUAGCCGUUACAUUUUUUCCAUAUUAGGAAGUUUGUGACUAUUUUAGUGUUUAAAUAUUACAUUUUAUCAUUUUAAUUUUAGAUUAUGAGUUAUAAUUAGCAUUUCUUCUUUAUUUUCUUCAAUUCUCACUAUGAGUAGCUAGAUUCUAACUAGGGUUGUGACCCAACCCUAGUGUGUAAACCUUGUGAGUAUUUAAUUUAAUGUUUGUUUAUGAUUGGGUAUUGAUUAUUUAUCUUAGUUUAUGCUCUAAUUUUAGAAUUAAUGGUUGCAAACAUUGAUUCAUGCCUUUUUGACUUAGUCUCUACUUGAGAAAGAGGGACCUAGUCUAGGAUAACUUGGCUAACAAGGAAUUGGGCUAAUUGAAGGUCUGAUUAGCCUAUUUAAAGGGUUCAAACUAGAGGUAGUGAGAACCUAACUUGAGCUCAUAUCAACUAUUUUGUUUGAUACCCAUUUGAACUUGAGAAAGCCAAAUUGGGCAAAUCACUCUUUGAUCGAGAGGUAUUGAGUAAGUAACGUAGAGUUGAGAGCUAUAAUACACCCCAAUCAACAAAAUAAGUAUUAACGUAUUUAACCCAUUAGGCGAACACCUAGGUUAUGGUCACAUCCCAAGGCUUUUUAAUUAUUUGAAAAAAAUACCAAAAACAAUCAUUCGCUUGUAGUUUCUUUUCUUAGCUUAUAAUUGCUAGAGUAAAAUUAGAAUUAGAAAUCAAAACCUUUUGUGGAAGUUAAAUUUAGUUAUUCCAUUCACUUUCGUCAAGUGUAUACUCUUAACACCCAUGUAACUCCCUAUGGAAAUGUAAUGACCCGACGGGUCAUUUUGAGUAUUACAACCUCGUUCCCCUAUUUAAUACUCAAUUUAUACUUUGCAGUUGAUAUAUGGCUUGCCAGGGUAAUUGGUUCGGGUCCGGUGAGGUUUUGAACUGAAUUGAGACACUUAGUCUCCAAGAUGAAAACUAAAGUUGAAAAGGUUGACCGGAUAUUAACUUAUGUGUAAAUAACCCCGAAAUAGAAUUUUGAUGAUUCCAAUAGCUCUGUAUGGUGAUUUUGGACUUAGGAGUAUGUCCGAAAAAAUUAUUUGGAAGUCCGUAGUUACAUUAGGCUUGAAAUGGCUAAAAUAGAAAUUUAAGUUUGGAAGUUUGACCGGGGAGUUGACUUUUUGAUAUCGGGGUCGGAAUUCGAUUCUGAAAUUUGAAUAGGUCUGUUAUGUCAUUUACGACUUAUGUGCAAUAUUUGAUGUCAAUCGGGCUUGAUUUGAUAGGUUUCGGCACUGAAUGUAGAAGUUGGAAAUUUUUAGUUUUAUUAGGCAUGAAUUGGGGUACGGUUCAUGGUUCUAGCAUUGUUUGAUGUGAUGUGAAGUUUUGACUAAGUUCGUCUGAUGUUUUAGGACUUGUUGUUGUAUUUGGUUGAGGUCCCGGGGGCUUCGGGUGAGUUUCGGAUGGUUAAACGGAUAAAAGUUGGACUUAGGACAAAGCUGGAAGUUGCUGCAUACUGAUGCAAUCGCAUCUGUGGAAUUUGGCUCGCAGGUACGAGCCCGCAGAAGCGAGCUUGGAAAGCGCAGAAGCGAGUAGGGGCCGGUGAGUCAGAGUGCAUAGGUGCAAGCAUUUUACCGCACCUGCAAGGUCGCAGGCGCGAGGAGAAAUGCGCAGAAGCGGAGGCAGCACUGUGGACGAUUGCAGAAGCGGACAUUUUUGUCGCACCUACAAGACCGCAUAUGCGGCUAUGCUGAUCGCAAGUGCGACAGGCCCUGGACAGAAUAAAUUGGAGGAGUUGCAGGAUUUUGGCAUUUUUGGACAUUUUCAACACGGUUUUGGGCAAUUUUUCAGAGAUAAUUCACGAGAAAUCUUGAGAUAAGUCACUUGUGAUCAUUUUUAGUCAAUAAUAUUGGAUUAUGAUUGAGUAUUUCGACUAGAUUACAUAUUUUUAGGUGAAAUUAGAGGAUUUGGUCCUAGAGAUUUCAAAAUAAGAAUUUGAGAUUUAGAGGUCGAGUUGAUGUCGGAAUUUGGUAAAUUUGUAUGGUUGAACUUAUGGUUGAAUGGGCGUUCAUAUUUUGUAAAUUCAUCGGGUUACGAGACGCGGGCCCCACGGGCAAUUUUUGGGUGAAAUUUUGGAAUUAAUUCCUAUAAUUUGUUUUGACUGAAUCGAAUUAUUUAUAACUAGAUUCGAGGCGUUUGGAGGCCGAUACGUGAGGCAAAGGCAUUGCAGAGUAAAGAAUUGCACGGCUUGAGGUAAGUAACACUUCAAAAUUUGGUUCUGAGGGUAUGAAUCCCUGAAUUUGGUGUUAUAUAAAUUGUUUGAAGGUGAUGCACACGAUAGUUGACGAGCGUGUGGACGUGCACCAUAGAAAUUGUGACUUGAAUAAAUUCUGUGAAGUUGUAAAAUUAAAGAAUCAUGUUAUUAUCCGAAUAUUUUCCACGUAUUAGGAAUAUUGAGCUGAGACUCGUAUUAAAGAUCAUGAUUGGGCUACGUGCCUAUAUUUUGGGACCCACAGGGUCGUAUUGCUGUUAAAUUAUUUGUUUAAAUUUAUAAUUUUGUACUCAGUCACAUCUAUCACUUGCAUAUCAUAUCUCAGUCUCUUUUAUCAUUCACUGAUACUUUAUAUCAUCAUGUCAGGUUUAUUAUUUUCAUGUCAUUGAGAACCCGAGAUACUAUAGAUUCUGAAUGAUAGUUAUGUUUAUUUAUUUAUGCCUGGAUCUGGCUAUUAUAACGCUUGGGUUGAAGGAGCCCCUCCAGAGUCUGCAUCCCCACAGUGAGUAUAGUUGNNNNNNNNNNNNNNNNNNNNNNNNNGAGGGAUGGAUCUUCCCUGGGCAUGGAUCUUACCCUAAGCAUUUAUGUUGAGGGAUAAAUUUUCCGUGGACAUGGAUCUUGCCCGAAUCAAUGAUAUUCGGGGAUGGAUCUUCCCCUGGGCUGUAUUGGCCUUAUAUAGUACUGAGUGACUAACUGACAGUUGAUAGAUAUACAUAUAUAUUUGGGAUGGAUCUUCCUUGGGCUAGAUUGGCCAUAUACAGUACUGAGUGAUUGAGUAUUUUAGAUUGUGAGUAAACGGAGUUUUCACUAAGGUGCAUCACAUACAACAUGUACAUUAGCAUGUAGAUACAGAGAUGUCAUAUUCCUCGUAUUUUCAGAAUUGAUAUGUUUUAUUUGUACUGAAAGCAACUGUUGAACUUGAAAGCAUGCCUACAUUUCUAUAUUAUUAUUACUUAUACUGGACUAUACCUGCGGAGCUCAUCACUACUUUCAGCCCAGAGGUUAGUCUUGUUACUUAUUGAGUUAGUUGUACUCAUACUACACUCUGCACCUCGUGUGUAGAUCCAGGUGCUUUCGGACACGGUGACCGUUUGAUCUCAGAGUGCUAUCAGUUGGAGACUAUCAAGGUAGUUGCCUGGAGUCCGCUAACCUUGACUCACUUUCUUUAAGUUAUUGUACUAUUCUAUACUUUCAGACAGUGUUUUGUCAGUCAGACUUUAUAUUCAUAUUAGAUGCUCGUGUACUCAGUAACACCGGGUUUUGGGAGUGUUUAUAUCUGUAUUUGUGGGUUUGUUUCGCUGAAGUUAAAUAUUAUGUUUUUCAAACUUCAAAGAUAUGGUAGUUUAUUGAUAUUUUCAUCUUGCCUAGUAUUGAGAUAGGUUCCAUUACGACAGAUGGGAUUUUGGGUCAUGACAGGAAAUCAACCCCGACUCUUGUUGGGUAUUAUUCUUCCAACGACCGUUUCCAAUCACUAUUGAGUGCGGAUUGGAUGUGGAUCAGGGGCUUGAUCUGGACAGGUUGAAGUUUUUGUAUAGUCUCAGUUAGAGGGGAUACUCUACCGAAAAUUUUAUGAAUUUAGAGAGUUAGCCAAAUUUGGGGGCCUUAAGGAAGUUGAAAUUUUGGAAGAAUAUCUAAGAUCCAUAUAAAGUCAAGAAUGAUUAAAGAUGAUGGUUAAGGUGAAAGUAGUAUAACACUGUUCCUAAUAAUGACUUGUAAAACAUUCUAGGACAAAUUUUCUUAAGUGGGGGAGAAUCUAACACUCCGUACAAUUUCGAAGUGUUUAACGGCUUUAAAGAAGAUCGGCAUGUGCUAAUUAUAUUAAUUCGCGUGUGAGCAAGGGAUAAUGAUAUAAAUGAUAUCACUUGAACAUGAUAAUAUGUGUAUGAGGUAUAUUAAAAAUGGUUUAUGGUCUAAGAAGAGCCCUUAAGCUAAGUCAAGUUGGAAAUUAUAUGAUGGGCUAAAGUUUCAAGUGGGUUCGCACAAGAUUUAACUUCAAACGAGCAUAAAUCUCAAGAUAUGAAGUGUUUUUCAUGGUGUAUGACCUAUCAUAUAAAAGUUCUAUGUGUCUACUUUCUAAUGCUUCAAACCGUUCGACAUUUGGAUAUUUCAACAAUACGUUAUGGCCUUUUUACCAUAAGGUGGUAGUACAGCUACGCAGCAGGCUACUCAACCUGCAUAGCCAAUUUAAGAUUUUGGCCAAGGGAAAGGCCUCAUGCGUAUGUUUUAUGAGUAGGCUAUACAAGGAGAACGCAAUUUUAGGGGCCAUUUUAAAGGGGAUGAAACAAAGGGUUUAGAAAGAUAAAAAGUUAGUUCUUCAACUUGAAAUUGAUUUCUAGAGAGAAUGAGGAGCUAUUCCACCAUUAAUACACUUCAAGGUAAAUUAUUUUGGUACAAGGAUGAUUAUAUUACAUCAUUUAGUGAUUAUACUAACACUAUUAUAGAUCAAAUCCAUAGAAAAUGGGUUGAAUCUUCAAGAACAUCAAAAAGAGGAAAAGUGAGAUUCUUCCACCAAGAGUUAAUCCCUUCACUUGAGCUUCAUAUAUAUGUCAUAUUGGAGAAUUGGUAGAAUCUUUAUGUGUUUUAUUUGAAGUUGUAAUGGGAUAUUGUAUGAACCCUAAGGGUGGGUCUUGAAAAUGAUAUUUUGGGCAAAGAAGAAGAUGAAUAGUGAUGAAUUGAUAUAAAUGGAAUUGUUUUGAGUUUCUAAUAAUUCCAAUAGACUUGAUAACUUAAUUGAUGAAUGAAUUGAAUAGGGAAUAACCAUUUGGACAAGAUGCAACACUAGUUCUUAAAAUGGGUGUUCUUGAACCUAGGGUUUUGUUAGAGAAAACAAUAUAUAGUGACUUAAUGAUGUUGGAUAAUUAACGUAGUGCUAUUAAUGACUCCAAAUGAGUAUUAAAUAAUAAGAAUGGAAUUGAAUAGGCUAAUGGGUGAGCCUAUUGGAUAAUUUGGGAUGGUUGAAGGCUUGUUGCCGAAUUUUGAAGCCUAAAUAAAUAUUUAUGCAUCUUUUUGUAUUUGUUUUGAUGUAGUUGGAUAUCUUAUGGUAGAUACUGAAUUGUGGGCAAUAUUGGAGCAUGAUAGUAUUUUUGGAGCUUGAAGUUUGAGGUAAGUUGAUUAAAACUUACUCUCGUGAGGGAUUCUCUUUAAAAGCAUGUCUUAAGUAGAUACAUUGUAUUAUAUGUAAGUGUGCAUCAGUACUUGCGGGGACAAGCGGGAAAGAUGUCACCAUGUGUUUUUAAAUUAUUGCUUAUGAAGUGUCGUGUAAUUUUAUAAAAAUAUUAUUUUCAAAACUUGUUGGCAAAAUGACACUUAAGAAAAUUCUUAUAAGUUAUAUUAAAACUUAUUUGUUGAUAAGAGUCUAAAAUGCUCGAAUGCUAAAGAUAUAUUUUCAUGAAAAAGUUUGUCUUUUAAAAUUUCAAAAAAGGAAGCACUUGUUGUAUCUUUAAAUUGAUGUUAAUUCCUGAAAGCUUUAACAUGAAAAAGGUUAUUCAAUUGAUUUUGUUCCAAUAGUUUGGAUUGGCUAUGAAAAUAAUGAUUUGAUAAAAAUAGAUCCCUUGAGGCAAUUAUGCUAUGAAUAUAUUUUUGAUAUGUCAAAUAUUUUGGAAGUUACUAGUGGACCACCGAGAUUGGUUCGAAUGUUGAAUUCAUUACUAUGAAACUACAUGUGCCGGUGUAGGGACACAUUCCAAGGCUAAGCCGAGGUUUGUGGGAAGAGGGCAAAUGAUCAUUACUUAAAGUAAUGAGGUUAAGUCGACUCAUACGGGACUAUGGGAAGCCGCCCAGACAAGUACGGUCAAAAACUUAUUGCUAGGAUGAUCACCUAGUAGUUGUUCAUUAUGUCGGUGUCUGUAUAGUACUCCCGGUGAAAGAUAAAAAAGAUAUUUCUAAUAUCAGGCCUAAGGAGCCGAAAAUAAUUUCAAUGACUUAAUGAGAUUAAAAUGGUUUUAUACGAUUUACUUAAUAAGAUUGAAAUGGCUUUAUAUUAUUUCUAUUAAAUAUAUUGGGUUGAUAGAGACAUUCUAAAACGUUAUACCAUGGCUUACAUUUCACUUGUCUUUUAUUUAAAAUAAUAAAGAACAUGAUUUAUAACCGUUUAUCACUUUAUGUCCAAUAUUGGUUGCAAAAGUUUUAUAAAAUCUUGUCCCACGAACUUGAGUUAGAGAGAGUCUAUGACACUUAUUGAGUACCGUUGUGGUGUACUCAGCCCUUAGGAGCCCCCUUCUAAGGCCCCACUUAAUAUAUGUUAGUCGGGCAUUAGCCCAAGAAUUUAGUUCUAUUCCUUGGUAUAGAGGCUCCAUAGUAGUUGUGAAUAAUUAUAGUAAUGGGUUUGUACGCGACAUACGUGAAAAGAUAUUUAUUUUACUUAGUUUCAUUAUUAUGAUUAUGAGAGGCUUCAUGUAUAAUUUUGAAUUGGAAAAUUGUUCCAUUGUUUAACUUGAAAAAUAUAUAAAAUUUCAAAGAGCUUCCACAGUUAAAUUGGUUUUCAUGCAUAUCGUUUGGGUGCAUCUUAUAGGUUGGUUCGCUCGGGCCAGAUAGUGUGCCGGGUGUCGGUCACGUGGAUGUGGGUCAUGACAUCCUCCUAAUGACUGUUGCUGGUACUGGAGGAAAAUAUGCACUAUACAUAACAAAUUUGCAGCUGGAUAUGUUUAGGAUGGGUGGCUAUCAGUGAAUGGACAAUACUCAUUAGGCAACGACUACAAAUAGAGACAGGGGAGUAGAGAGGGUUUGGCUGGUAUGAGAUGGGUUUGGUGUAAAUAUAACACCCCAACAUAUAGCUUCAUCUAUUGGGUAGCUAUGGACAAAAUAUUGUUAACGAUGGAUAGAUUGGCUCGAUUGGGAAUAUGCAAAGAAAACUCAUGUGCCAAAUGUGGGGAAGCCAUUGAAACAAUUGACCACCUAUAUUUUGAAUGCCCAUUCUCAAAAACAUGUACACUGGAAGUGCUGCAAUGGUUGAACAUGGGGGUCCGGCAAUGGGACUUGAAGGGUCUCUGGAGACGUAUGACUAGAAGAAUGCAAGGCAAAGUAUGCAGGCAAUUAAUAAUAUCGAUAAUGGUAGCGGUGGUGUACCACAUCUGGAGAGUAAGGAAUGUUGCUAAUUGGGAUCAUAGAGUCCCCACAUGAUUGUCAAUAAUAUUAAGCAGGAAAGCAAAUAGAAGAUACAUGAUAUACUUGUUUGGAGAUCCUUAAGACAUAAUUAGAGAGCAUGGGUAGAAAGAUUAUCAUAAAUAGGAGUAAUUGUAUAGCUGCUUGAUAUGGCCAGAAUAGAACAGAAAUGCUAAUAGAAAAGGGGGUUGAGUGAGGAAGGAAUAUGGGGGAUUCAAUUGUAAAGUUUUUGUGCUGGUGAUCGAUAAAAUUCUUUUUUUCACCAAAACAACAACCUUUUAGCGGUUAUACAUGUAUAGGGUAAAAUAUGUUAUAUUAAAUGAUCGCAUGAGGAAAUGACACGUGGAGACGAAGACAGUAGAUAGCUGAAACUGAAGGCAACGAUCUCGUCUGUUAUCGUAGAGAAUGAUAUUCAUAAAGAUGAAAUAAACGCAUUCCACCCGGUAGCAUUUAAUGAAGAUUAUUCUACAGCAUUAAGAAUACUGCCUGUUACAAGAAAUAUGAUAUUCAUUGCGGCGCCGUUAGACAUUCUUCAAUGGCCCUCAUAAUUGACACUAAAGAGGGGCUUGAUCCUAGGAUAUUGUUCCCUAGGUGUAGCUAUAAAUAAUGAGCUCUAUUAUCAUUGUAGUUUCUGGAAAACAUAUGCUACACUCUAUUCAAAGCUUAAUAUAAUUUUAUCUUCUUGUUUUUUGAUAUCAUUGUUGUUGUGCCCGGAAGCCCUGCUCCCGCAAUUAUUAUUUCUACUAUUUCGUCUCCAUCUCAAGGCUAAGUAUUACAUUUUUAUCUAAUUCAUCUAUUAUUUCAGGAUCAAAUUAAUUCACUUUUCUAAAAAUUACGUAUAAAUUCAACUAUAUCGUUUUACGGGUAAACAGUUUGGCACCCACCGUGGGGCCUAGACAGUUGUGUAAUUAAGUCGGUCCCUUCCUUUUUUUUACUAACAUGUUUAAUCAUUUGUUCUUAGCAAAAAAUUAUAAAAAAUGACAGAUAAUGGUGUUAACUACACACACAACCUUGAGGCCCAAGGAAAUCAGCCUCAGCACGAAGAUUCAAUUAGUGUUACCCGCAGUAAGGGGAACGAGGCCACACCAGUCCACGGCAGGCGGUACCCGCGACAUGUUCGGGAGGCGACUCCUAAUAAUGCGGAAGAAGAGUCGUUGAAGCGGUAAGGGUCCUGCAGGAACAACAAGAGGUCAUUCUAGGCCAUCUCACGCAGCAGGAUAAGGUUAUGACAGAGCUAAAAUAUGCGUUAUCGGGUGCUUCCAAUAACGUGAAUGGACGAGGUCCAGUCCCUCCCGGUGAUCCCGCAAAUCAAACAAUGCAGAGGGUCGACAAAACACCCCGAGAGGCGAGGUCGGCUUUGAUGGGGUUGGGGGAGCAAAUCUGGUCAUAACAACGAUAGUGAUCCCUUCAAAAACGAACUCAUACGAUUUAUGAGGGAAGUGAAGGCCUGCAUGGACCAAAUCCUUUGUGCACCACCGGUGCUGAAAGGACUAUGCUAAAAGAACUACACUCUAUUGCCGUACAAACCAAGCGCGUCACCAGAAUUGAUCCCGUAGCGGUUUAAAAUUCCUGACGUACCGAAAUAUGAUAGGACUUCAGACCCUCAAGAUCAUAUCACCACCUAUACAACAACGGUGAAGGGUAACGAUUUAGCUCCCCACGAGAUUGAAUCAGUUUUGCUGAAACAAUUCGAAGAGACUCUCACGAGGGGAGUCUUGACAUGGUAUUUGUUGUUGCCCGAGCAUUCUAUAGACUCAUUUGAGAUGCUCGCAGACUCUUUCAUUAAGGACAAUGCUGGGACCAGAAAGGUGUAGGCCCGAAAGGCCGAUAUAUUCAGGAUUGCACAAGGAGAGUCUGAGUUGCUGCGAGAAUUUGUAACCCAGUUCCAGAAGGAAAGGAUAUUGCUCCCGGCCAUUCCGGAUGAAUGGGCCUCUGAAGCAUUCACCAAGGGUUUGAAUUCGAGAAGUUUUUAUGCUUCCUAGAAGUUAAAACAAAGCUUACUCGAGUUCCAAGCGACGACUUGGGCGGAUGUUCAUAACCGGUAAGAGUCAAAGAUAAGGAUUGAGGAUGAUCAGCUUGUCUUCCAGCAUUGGUUAAAGGUCGGGAGAAGAAUAAAGAGAAAUCAAAAGACGAUUUUGACACAGAUAGACGGUCUUCGAGGAGCCGGGUUUUGCCUUAUGAACGGGCCGAUGGAUGCGGCACAAGCUUCCAAUAUGCAUAUAGGUUUGUUACUGAUAGAAGGAUUGAUCGCGGCCGGAACAACAGGUCGUUACAGGACAAGGAAACGUCAGGUUCUCGAGACCCUUCCUACCCCAGACUUUCAGAAUACAACUUUAACGUCAGCAUGGUACAGUUAGUAUCAGCUAUGAAGAACAUUAAAGAAGCACGGUUCCUAAAGUCUAUGAGGUCCGAUCCAAGCCAGAGGGAUCCUAAUUUAUGGUGUGAAUACCACGGGAUGAACAGUCACCGGACUGGGGACUGCCGGCAUCCGCACGAAGAAGUGGCGAUACUGCUGAAAAAUGGCCAUCUCAGGGAGUUCCUAAGUGACCGAGCCAAGAACAAUCACAGUCGCAAUCAUGACAACAUGGAUCCCUCAAAAGCAGGAGAAGAUCCCCCACGCCUGACGAUCAAUAUGAUUUUUAAGGGGAACGAGAUUAACAGGGUUACCUUUUCGGCAGCAAAAAAAGAUGAAGGUAUCAGUAACCCAUAUCAAGAGACUCCGGGAAGUCACUGAAGAUGACAUCACUUUCACGGAGGAAGAUGCAGAUGGAUUGUUGCUACCAUACAAUGACGCAUUGGUAAUUUCUUUAAAUGUGUUAGAUUUUAAAAUCAAACGUGUUCUAGUGGAUCUAGGGUGUUCGGCCAAUAUUAUACAAUGGAGGGUAUUGGAACAAUCCAAACUUACUGGAAGCAUCAUUCAGGCCACAAAACUUCUCGCCGGGUUCAAUAUACCAAGCGUGACAACCCGAGGAAAAAUCAUGUUGUCCACGGACGCCGAGGGGGUGAUGAAGACGACCCUUUUCCAGGUGGUGGAUGGUGAUAUGGGCUACAACAUUAUCCUGGGAAUACCAUGGUUGCACGAGAUGAAGGUUGUACUAUCAACGUAUCACCAGUUGCUGAAAUUCCCAACUCCUGAGGGGAUUAAACAAAUAAAAGGCGAUCAACCGGUGGCAAGAGAGAUGAAUGUGAUUUCGGUAUCCAGUAGCAAAGAGAAGGAGCAUGCGGCAUAGCAAUUACAAGAACCGACGCCUACUCCCGAGUCAAGCAAAGUCAACCAGAGGGAAGAGACGUCGGAAUCUUAUCAAGUGCCAAGAUAUUUCCAGGUACUAGAAGAGAUGAACGCAACAAAGUCCACAGCGGAAAAUCUUGAGCAAGUCCUGUUGUUCAAAAAGUUCUUGGAGAGGAAAUUUCACUUGGGGACAAGACUGCACCCCGAGCUCAAGUCCGGGUUUAUUGAAUUUCUUAAAUUUAAUGUCGGUUGUUUUGCGUGGUUGCAUGCGGAUAUGACAGGUAUUCCAACGGAAGUGGCCGUACACAAGUUAAGCCUAGAUCCUAACAUUCUUCCGGUAAGAUAAAAAAAAAUGUCAUAUCAUCGAGGCCAGAAAUAAAUUCGUCAAGGAAGAGGUAACUCGCUUACUUAAUAUCGGUUUAAUCCGAGAGGUAAAGUAUCCAGACUGGCUACUAAUGUAAUAGUAGUUCCUAAGAUGAAUAAUAAAUUUUGCAUGUGUGUAGACUAUAAGGACUUGAAUAAGGUGUGCCUAAAGGACUCAUUCCCAUUGCCAAACAUCGAUCAAAUGAUUAAUGCAAUGAUCGGGUAUGAGUUAAUGAGUUUCCUCGAUGCUUACUCUGGGUACAACCAAAUUAAGAUGAACCCGGAAGAUCGGGAAAAAACUUCAUUCUUAACAAUUUUCGGCACAUACUGCUAUAAUGUGAUGCCCUUCGGGCUAAAGAACGCUGGAGCCACUUGUCAAUGGCUCGUAAAUAAGAUGUUUGAAAAACAGAUAAGGAAAACCAUGGAAGUUUAUAUAGACGAUAUGCUUGUUAAGUCUUUGAACGCAUGUGAUUAUCUUAAAUACUUGCAAGAAACUUUUGACAUCCUAAGGAAGCAUGACAUGGAGCUUAACCCCGAAAAGUAUGUGUUCGGGGUCAGCUCCGGCAAGUUCCUGGGGUUUCUGGUGUCACAAAGGGGUAUUGAGGUUAGCCCCGAUAAAAUCAAAGCCAUCAAAGACAUCCCAGACCAGCUAUCAAGCGUAAAACAGGUUCAAAGGCUUAUAGGGAGAUUGGCCGCUUUGAGCAGGUUCAUUUCUCAGUCUUCAGAGAAAUGCCACUAUUUCUUCUUCUGCUAAAUAAGAAGAACAACUUCGAAUGGACCACAGAAUGUCAGCAGGCUUUGAGGUAAUUGAAAUGAACUCGGACUUUAUGGCCGAUUUCAGCCCGGGAUUACUACCUCUGGCAACCAAAGAGGCAGUAAUGGCAUCAGAAUCAAUAUUAGAAUUUUGGACCCUAUUUAUGGAUGGAGCUUCCAACGUAAAAGGGUUUGGUCUUGACAUAGUAUUAACUACGCAUUCGAGAGAAACCCUAAGGUAGGCCAUAAGAACGGUUAUUUUAACUAACAAUGAAGCAGAAUAUGAAGCUUUGAUUGCAGGUCUCGAAUUGAUCCAAGAGUAGAUUCUGAGGUCAUAGAAAUCAAAUGCGACUCCCAGCUAGUGGUAAAUCAGGUCUAUGAGAUCUUUGAAGCCAAAGAUAAGCGCAUGUAACAAUAUGUAGCGAAGGUUCAGGCUUUGCUUGCUCGAUUCUGAGAGUGGUCAAUUACGCACAUCCCGGGGGAAGAAAACACGGAAGCAGGCGUACUAGCUUAUCUUGGCUCAUCAACGGAAAUAAAGGGAUCGAAUUCCUGUACGAUAGUAUAGCUUAUACACUUGGUUCUAGAUGCAGGUAGCUACUACGAGGUAAACACGACUAAUUUGGUCUGGAAUUGGAGGAAUGAGAUCAUUAAUUAUCUCGAGCACGGAAAAUUGCCUGACGCCAAGGCAUCCCGGGCGAUGCGCGCUAAAGCAAUACGAUAUAGCUUUAAAGUGGGCCAAUUGUGUAGGAAAUCUUUCCAAGGUCCGCUGGCCCGAUGUUUGGGAGCCUCCGAAGCCAAUUAUGUCAUGCAAGAAGUCCACGAAGGAAUCUGUGGAAAUAUUUCGGGUGCAGAUUCCUUAGUACUAAAGUUUAUAAGGGCAUGAUACUAUUGGCCCCAAAUGGAACAAGACACCAAAUCUUUUGUACAAAAAUGUGAUAAGUGUCAACGCUACGCUUCGUUGGUACAUUAACCACAAGAACCAUUGCACUCAUUGUUUUCUCCAUGGUCGUUCAUGAAGUGCAGAAUGGAUAUUGUCGGACCACUGCCGCCGACCCCUAGUAAGGUAGGGUUUCUUUUGAUUUUAACUGACUAUUUUUCUAAGUGGGUUGAAGCAAGUCCUUUUAGAAAUUGGCGAACGUGAAGUGGUGGAUUUCUUGUGGGAGAACAUAAUUUGCAGAUUUGGGAUACCAAAAGAGAUAGCAUGCGACAACGGGCCACAAUUUAUAGGUGCUAAGGUCACAAAGUUCCUUGAAGACUUGAAAAUCAGAAGGAUCACAUCCUCACCCUAUCAUCCGAGUGCAAAUGGUCAAGCGGAAUCAACGAACACAGUGAUUAUAUAAAAUCUCAAAAAGCGAUUGGAAGUAGCUAAAGGUAGAUGGCCUGAGGAACUGCCCGGAGUACUAUGGGUGUAUCAAACAACGACCAAAUCGAGCAUAGGAGAGACUCCUUUCUCCCUUGUGUACGGAGCAGAAGCCUCGAUCCCGGUGGAAGCAGGGGAGUUACCUUGAGAUACUUCCAGGCAAAUAAAGAAGCAAACAACGAAGUAAUGUUGAUCAAUUUGGAGCUUCUCAAUGAGCGCAGGGACUUGGCGCAUAUAAGGAUGGCAGCUCAAAAGCAGAGAAUAGAAAGAUAUUAUAAUCGAAGAGCCAACCUCCAUUAUUUCAAAGUGGGAAACUUGGUUCUAAGGAAAGUAACUCAAAACACUGGGAAAAUCAAUACAAGGAAGCUAGGUCCAACAUGGGAAGGCACCUACCGGGUUUCAUCUAUCACCGGAAAAGGUUCAUACGAGUUGGAGAAUCAAAAAGGAUAAAAGUUGCCAAGCAACUAGAACGUGGUGCAUCUCAAGAGAUACUAUUACUGAUGAACAUCACUUAUACUGAAAGUAUGUGUUGCACUUUUUUUCCCUCCAUCCAGCUUUUGUCCCAAUUGGGUUUUUCUAGCAAGGUUUUUAAUGAGGCAGCAAUGAAAAACAUACUACGAAGAAGGUUUCAACAACAGCAACAAGACCUUUUAAUAACAAGGCACACAAGCGAAGAACCACUCUGGAGCGGUUAGAUAAUCAUUUGCUCGAUAGCAAAGUUCCCACCGGGAAGUUAUAUUUUCUAUCGAGCAAGGGUUACCCCACUGUUCACAAGUGCAAACCACUAGAGGAUUGUUAGAUAGUCUUUGGCUCCAUAGCAUAAAUUCCUAAGGGGAAGUAAAGUUUGUUAUCGAAUUGAAGAUUAUCUAGCAAUUCAUUAGUGGAAUCCUCGAAGGUGUUAAACUUACAGUGUUCCAAUUCGCCUUCUUCGCAUUCGAACAGGGAAGAAUAGUUAUAUCAUUGGACCGGGGACUGCGCGGCCAGCCCCGUAGAAACAAGUUGUACAAGUUAGCCACAAGAAAUGGUGAUUUCCUUUUAGCAUAACAAAUGCUUAUGUAAUUUUUGAAAAUGGGAGGAAUAAAGUAAAAUUCUUUUAUUUCUAUCUUGUUUCUUGUCUAAACGAUGAAUUGAUUUUUUCAUUUGAAAGUUAAACAAGUACUUCAAAUGCUAGUGCCGUAAUGAACAGGAGACGUCCUCUUCAAGAUCAUUGUAAACAUAAGGGGGCCCUCUCUUAUGAAAACCCUCACGAUAAAGGGUUGAUUUCGGAAGACCUUGUGCCCAAAAUCCAAAUGCUUUUAGGAGGAAAUACACCCAAAGCCUUACAUAAUCAGGCGCAAACAGUAAAACUUGCGCAAAACACUCAAACAAGAAAGGAUACAAAGAUUAAACUUGCAUAAAUGUUCAACAAAUGAACGCAGAAAGACUCAUGCAAUACUUGAAAAAAGGUGUUUUAUUUACAAUAAAGGUUCCAAAAUGGCACAAGUACAAAAGUUGGGAAAAGAGAUGAAAAGCUAAGCUGUUGCAUCUCCUGAACCCGGAGGAAGAGAAGCAUCUAGGCCCCAGGAGAAAUGGGUAGAUCCGCCACCGGCUCAAUAUGACCUUCAUCAUUUUGGCCUUCAACAUCUCUGCCUUCCGGUUCCUCUUCAGUUCCUAAGAAUUCGUAACCGGAACCAGAAGAAUCAGAAGCAUCAGGUCUGGCCGGAAGACCCCUUUUAGCAGACUCCAGCUCACGGGCUUUAGCGAUUUCAGCAUCAAAGUCAAUGACACCCGUUUUAUCCUCUUUGAAGGUUUUUCUCCUCAUGUUAUAACAUACAUUUUUUCAACAACGAGGGAAGCCACUCGUUUCUUGAGUUCUUCUUUAAGUUGGUCAACCUCGGUAGAAAGAUUUUCCCGUGUGGAUCUAACUGACCAGAGGCUAACAUCGAGAUCACGGACAGUAGAGAUGAAAAGCCUAUUAUGCUCAAUGGUUGCUCUUAUACUUCUCCUCCAAUUGGGCAAAUUUCACCCCGGCAAUAGCAAGCUCUUCAGUUUUGGAGUUCAAGGUUGCUCCAAAUUAUUUAAUCUUUUAGCGGAGGCAGCCUCAUGAUCGGAUGCAGCAAGAACGUCACUAUGGACUUCAACCUAUUUGGCCUUAGCCUCUUCAAAUUGAACCCUCAAUGGGGCGAUCUAUUGGCUAAGGGUCUCUACUUCUUGCUCUCUUUGUUGCAAACAAGCCUCCAACACAAUAGCCUCAGUAGCUUUGGCUUCCAGUUCUGAGAGGCAAGCAGUAGUUUGGUCCCGCUCGGCCAAAAGUUGAUCCCGCUCGGAGGUAAGUUCCUCCUUAUCCCAAAUCAAACUUUGAAGGCCCUAGAAAGCAAGGUAUUGGCCUGCGAAACAAAAACGCCAAACUCAAAUUACUACUAAAUCAAGGAUAGAAGAGAGAACAAAGGAAAUAAAGAGUAUACCGUUGUGAAGUUGUGCAUAACAUUGUUCAACAAGAACUCUCCCGAGAGAGCUUUUAUUUUUUCCCAAUCUUUUUCUAAAUCCAAAGGCUCCAGAUAGUUAGCGAGUUCUACCGACAAGGAAAACAGAUUGCACCCGGCAAAGACAGAGAGCAUAACGCUCCUCCUCCUUUGCGUAUCUUCUGAGAAGGUGGCAUAAUUUUGCCCCAAGUUCCCAUGAAUUGGGGAUUGGGGAUAGGAACAUCCUCUUCUCGGACAGAUGCGGCCGAUGGAGAUGAUGUAGCAGUUGUUGGUUGAAGAAUCAGUGAAGACGAAGAUGAAGCUAAUGGUGUUGAAGGAGGAGAAGUGGUUGCGGCAAGCGCAAUGCUGGGUGUUGGUUACUCAUCAACCGAAGAAAGCAGGAACCCGGUACUCAAUCUCAUAGUAUCGGGUGCAGUGAUUGUGAUCCGAAAACGAAAUUGGCAUUUUCCACCAUCUCAAACUCCCCCUAGAGCGUCGAGGCAUCAUCCUCGGUUGGUAUAACUAAGUCAACAAAUUGAGUAGUCUGUUGAGCUGAGGAAGGUCGUCGUCUUCUGUGUAGAGAAGCCCCUCCUCGCUGGCUUCCCCAUCAUCGUCAAUCAUCACGAUGUCUAUGGUCGGCCCGGGCGGAGGACUCAUCACCACAACUUCCGGAGAUGACUUGAGAGUGGCAUUCUUCGCCCUAUUAUUCUUUCCCCCAUCUGCGGAGAAACGUCUUCUUUUUAGUGGCUUGUUCUCCGGCCGGAGACUCCGGGAAGAAGCACACGCACCAGAAGUAGGCCCGAAAAUGCCUUUCUGUGUAAAAGCCUCCUGCAGCAACCUCUCUGUGUCAGCAGGAUUAGCCAAAACGUCCUCCUCAAGGAUGACAACUGAGCCCUGGGUAGACCUGAAUCCAACAGGAGAGAAGAGUCAAACAACUUCCUUAUAUGAAAAGGUAAAAACAAGAUGAGUUCAACUUACCAUUAUUUUUGGUGUUCCACCCAUAUUUUAAGGAAAGUUCUUUCCACGUGUGGGUUUUGGGCAUAGUAACGUCCAAACUUUUCUAGACCCAAUGGUCCAAGCCCUCAACCCUAGGUGGAACCCACCGAGUCGCUGAAAAAGGUAAAGGAAGAAAGAGUCAGUAAUAAUGUGAAAUGAUCUUUAACAGAAGAAGAAACAAAUGAUAGACUUACAUGUGCGGUUCCAUAAUUUCGAGAAAGACGGAGUCAUGGCCGGGAUGAUGUCACUGGUGGCGACUGAAAUGAAUUGUUCUAUCCACCCACGAUUGUUGUCAUCAUCCAUGAUGGAUAGCAGUGCAUGGUGGCCACGAUUGCUGAAAUUUAUCAUUCCCCCGCGGAAGCUUUUGGGCGAAUAGAGGUUCAUCACUCGAGCUAAGGAUAUCUCUUCUCCUAUCUCCUGGCACUAGCACCGAAGGCAAGAGAUUGUCCUCCACACAGAGGGACUUACUUGUGCCAAGCACACCUAAUAGAUGAGGCAUAACUCCACAAUGACAUAGUGUAACAACCCGGACGGUCAUUUUGAGAGUUAUAGCCUCGUUCCCUUAUUUACUAUUCAUUCCCUAAUUAAAUUUUGUUAUGUGACUUGCCGGGGUAGUUGGCUCGGGUUCGGAGAGGUUUCGAAAUGAAUUGAGACACUUAGUCUCAAGGUUGAAAGUUUAAGUUGAAAAGAUUGACCGGAUAUCGACUUAUGUAUAGAUGAAUGUGGAAUGGAGUUUUGAUGGUUCUAUUAACUCUGUUGGGCGAUUUUGGACUUAGGAGCGUGUCCGAAUAGUAAUUUGGAGGUACGUGGUUGAUUUAGGCUUGAAAUGGCAAAAUUCGGAAAUUUAAAAGUUUGAUCGGGAGUGGACUUUAUGACUACCGGGCUCGGAUUUGGGUUCCGGGAGGUGGAGUAGAUUCGCGGUGUCAUUUGUGACUUGUGUUCAAAAUUUGAGGUCAAUCGGACGUGAUUUGAUAAGUUUCGGCGUCGUUUGUAGAAGUUGGAAUUUCUUAGUUUCAAUAGGAUUAAAUUAGGGUGUGAUUCGUGUUUUUGAUAUUGUUUGAUGUGAUUUGAGGGCUCGACUAAGUUCAUAUCGUGUUUUAGAAUUAUUGGUAUAAUUGGUUGAGUUCCCGGGGGCCUUGGGUGGAGUUCGGAUGGUUAACGGAUCGAAUUUGGAGUUUGAAAGAUUGUUGAAGUUGGGAGUCUUCUGGUGCAAUCGCACCUGUGGAGCUUUGGUCGUAGGUGCGAGCUCGCAGGUGCGAGCUCGCAGGUGUGAGAAAAGGAGCGCAAGUGCAUCCAUGGAAGGGUUGUGCAGUGGUCGUAGGCACGGAAGGAGUUCCACAGAUGCGGAUGUGCAUCUGCGCGAGGUUGACCGCAUAAGCGGAUUUGGCUAGGCAGCAAGGGCGUCGCAAAUGUAGAGAAGGCUCGCAGAUGCGGUCCUGCAGGUGCGAGGCUGGGACCGCGGGUGCGAUGGGUUGCCAGUUAAGUGGGUUCCGUAUGAGCGUGAUUUUUUCGCAAAAGCUGAUGCGUAGGUGCGAGCCCAGGCUCCACAUGUGCGGAAAUGCCUGGGGCAGUAUUUAAAUUCGAGGGUUUCCGAGAUUUUCUUCAUUUUAAACAUUUCAAGCUUAGGAUUUGGCGAUUUUGAGAGGAUGUUCGAGGGGUUUAUUGAGGUAAGUCACUUGUGGUUAAAUCUAUUCAAUAAUUAUGUUUUCCCAUUGAAUUUCUCACCUAGAUUGUGUGGUUUUGAGGUGUAAUUUGGGGGUUUGAGACUAGGGAUUUGGAGAGUUUAAAUUGGGGGUUUGGGUGUCGAUUUGGUGAUGGAUUUUGGUAAAUUUAGUAUGGUUGGACUUAUAGUGGAAUAAAUUUCUGGAUUUUGUGACUUCUAUUGGAUUCCGUGACGUGGGCCCGGGGCCGACUUUUGAGUGGACUUUUUGACUUUUAAUUAAAAGCUUAGUAAUUUCAUAUGGAAUUGAUUCCUUUAGCUCGUGUUGAUUGUAUCGAACUAUUUGUGGCUAGAUUCUUGGCAUUUGGAGGCCAUUUUGCGAGGCAAGAGCUUUUUGGAGUAGAGUUUCGUACGGUUUGAGGUGAGUAACACUUUUAAGCCUGGUUCUGAGGGUGUGAAACCCCGAAUUUCGUGUUAUGUGAUUAGUGUUGAGGUGACGCAUGUGCUAAGUGACGGGCAUGUAGACGUGCACAAUAAGAAUUGUAACUUGGUCGAUUCCAUGGAACUGAAAAGUUGUUAAAUCUUGUUGCUACCCGUAUUCUCACCAUGUGUUAGAUCUAUUGAGCUGUCAGUCAUGUUUGAAACCCUGCUUAGGCUAUAUGAUGGUACUAUUGGGACCCACAGUGGUCAUUUUUUGCUGUAGAACUAAUUGCUUAAUCUAUCAAUUUAUACUCAGUCACAGUUAUUACUUGCAUAUUAUGUCUCAGUCUCUGUUGUCUUUACAUAUUAUAUAAUAUCAUCAUUUGUAGGCUGAUUAUCAUGAUUCUGGUAAGCCCGAGAGACUAGAGAGAUUAUUGGCUGAGUGGAGCUGAGGUCCUAUUGUGAGUGAUAUUUAUGGGAUCGGGCUGCACACCGCAACAGGAUUUAUUGAUUGAUGCCAUGAUUUGGCUUAUUAUAGCGCUUGGGCUGGAUCGCCCCCUCCAUAGUCUGCACACCCACAGUGGGCGCAAUGCUAGCAGUUAUGACAUUUGGGUUGGAUAUGCCCUGUUUACUUGUAUUUGGGCUGGAUCAGCCCUGCUUUAUUUGCAUGUGGGCUGGAUCUGCCCUGUUAUAUGUUAAAUUUUGUUGUGAAAUCUGAAAGCAUGUCUAAGUUCUUAUUGAAAGCAUGUCUAAAUGCUUGUACCUUCACUUGCAGAAUAUAAAUAUCUGAGAUAUCAUUGUCAUAAUUUUUUAACUUUUCGUACUGUUAAAUGUUGAAAGUGGACCGUAAUAAUUGGACUUGUUACUAUUUUCAGUCUAAAGAUUAGAUUUUUUACUUAUUGAGUUGGUUGUACUCAUACUACACCAUGCACCUCGUGUACAGAUCCAGGUACUUCCUAUUACGGCGGUUGUUGAUUUGCAGAGGUCAAACUAUCGGAGAUCAUCGAGGUAGCUGCUUGGCAUUUCACAGACCUUGACUCUCCUCCCUUAUCUUUCAGUUUACUUAUUCAGUAUUACUCUUAGACAGUGUACCCGACUUUGUCUCUUCGUAGAUGCUAAUGUACUCAGUGACACCCCGAUUUUGGAAAGAAUUUAUGUAUUGAGUUAUGAUUUUCUAUCCUGUUUUAAGAGAUUUUCCUUUAUUUAAAUUGUUUUAGUAUCUGUUAAAGAUUUAAAGUGUUGGAAAUGUCUGAAUAGUUGGCUUGUUUAGUACCAUGAUAAGCGCCAUCACGACGGGUUGGUUUUGGGUCGUGACACGGAGUCAAGCUCCCGCUCAAAGAAAAUACUCCAAAAGUGAAGGAAUACGUGUAAAAGUAUGUAAAACCCUUCUUGGGUAAAGUUAUCUGCUCCACCAGAUCGGGAGAGAUAAUGUCCAAUUCUUGACAGUGGCAUUCUUCCUUCAUAGCAGGGAUACUGGAAGGACGGAUAGAAGAAGGAUAUACGUUAAUAGCCCACGUACGAGGGUGAGCAGAAGGGUAUUUUUCUUCGAAAUCUUUGGUGGUAAUAAGGUUCUUUGGGAUGAUGGUACUCAACGUAGGGGGAACAGCAUCAUCAGUUUUGCUUUUGUUCUUUAAAGAACUAGGGUUUCUUGAAGAGGGGGCCUUUUUUUUUAUCAGAAAGAGGGUUUUCUCUCAAAGAAGGAAGAUAAAGAAAGGUUAAAGUCGAAGUACGAGUUGAGUAAAGAAAGUUUUAGAAGAUUUAGAGUAUUAUGAAGUGUAAAUGAAGGAGGUUGAUGCAUAUAAGUAAAGGUAUAGGCGGCUAAACUCGUGGCCAUAAUUACCUCGAUAACCGACAAAAGUUAUGCUAAAUCAUGGGAUGACGCGUGUUCGGGGCAUUUAAUGCGAAGAGACAUGCGUCUAAUCAAUCGUCAGAAACCUUUUAGAGGGGUCAGUAAAUUUCCCGCCAAAAAGAAAGUUUCUACCAAGUUCCCAGUGACACAAAGGUAUGCCACUGAAAAGUAGGAGGACUAUAUGUAUAGGGUAAAAUAUGUUAUAUUAAAUGAUCGCAUGAGGAAAUGACACGUGGAGUCGAAGACAGAAGAUAGUUGAAACUAAAGGCAAGGAUCCCAUCUGUUACCGAAGAGAAAGAUACUCAUAAAGAUGAAAUAAAUGUCUGUCACCCGGUAUUAUUUAAUGAAGAAUAUUCUAUAGCAUUAAGUAUAUUGCCCGUUACAAGAAACAUGGCAUUCACUGCCCGUCAUUACACAUUCUUCAAUGACUCUCAUAAUUGACAUUAAAGAGGGGCUUGAUCCCGCGAUCUUGUUCCAUAGGUGCAGCUAUAAAUACUGAAUUCUAUUAUCAUUGUAAAGGACACAGAUUUUCUAGCAAACAUACGCUACACUCUAUUCAAAGCUUAAUAUAAUUUUAUCUUCUUGUUUUUUGAUAUCAUUGUUGUUGUGCCCGGAAGCCUUGCUCUCGGGAUUAUUAUUUCUGCUAUUUUGUCUCCAUCUCAAGGCUAAGUAUUAUAUUUUUAUCUAAUUCAUCUAUUAUUUCAGGAUCAAAUUAAUUCACUUAUCUAAAAAUCACGUAUAAAUUCAACUGUACCAUUUUACGGGUAAACAACAUAUAAUAAAAGUCAUAUAUGGAUAGAAGCACUAGGUCUACCGGAAAUAACUUACGUGCAACUGAUAAACACACCAAAGUAAUAAGGGGUCAUUUGUUUGGAGGAAUUAAAAAAAAGUUUAGAUAAAAAUCAACAUGAAAUAAAUAAAAACUUUUAGCUGAAGAGAUUAGAAAAUAAAAUUAAAUGGCUAUAAAGUGGAAAAUGCCUACAUAACUUUCUAAUUAUUAUUAUUAUUAUUAUUAUUAUUAUUAUUAUUAUUAUUAUUAUUAUUAUUAUUAUUAUUAUUAUUAUUAUUAUUAUCAUCGCCUAAUUUCACUGCAUAAUACUCCUCUGAUAAUUAUUAUUUGUCGAAUCGCGAUCUUUAAGAACAUGACAUGUAUCUGUAUACGGAAUUUAUCACCCAAUAAUCAUGACCCGUUAAUUUAUAUUCUUACCUUAAAUUAUUAAUGUCGGGUUUUAGUUCAAAAAUUGAGGUGAAUAGAAAAUGGAGGAAAAAAAUAAAAUUUUGAUUUUCACUCCUUUACAAAGGAACAAUAUCCCAUAUUGGCGGAGAAAAGCUCAUUUGUUAAGUAUAUAUAUAGUUGCACUUUUUCUAGCUCUUAAAGAGUUGAGAAGAAGUCAAGUCUUGCAUUGUCGUUGUUGGCUCGGCUUUGGAUUUGACCUGAUUGAUUAGUUUUUUUGACCAAAUUUAUUUGUUAAAUAGUUAAAUUAAAUUAGUAUUUCAAUCCAAAUCAACCGUUUACGUAAUGGUAAUUUGAAUUUCCUCUAGUUUGAGUUUUUCAUUUUAUUUUGCGUAAAUAGCCAUUUAUGUAAUAGUCGGUUUACGUGAACAAUCAUCAGGACGAGUUGCACCUCUUCGUUUGAACUCAACUGAACAAUCAUCAGGACGAGUUGCACCUCUUCGUUUGAACUCAACUUGUUGGCUAUAAAUCCCAAGCCAUUCCCUCAUAUUUUUCUUACAAAAAUUCUGAAUUCUCUUUCUUCCUUCUACAUUAUUUUUAACUUAAACAAAGCAACAAUAAGUAACUACCGAUUAUUUGUGUUCGCUGAAAUAUUGGGGUUUGAAGUACCGCUACACCAGCGUGUAAUCCGUUCUAUCCUGAGAGAAAAUAAUCCACAACCUCGGAUAUUAGGAGGGGAUUAAGUUCCUUAAUGAAACACUGUGAAUUCAAUGCGCUCGAAUUAAUUUCUAUUUCUUCUACCUUUCUGAUUUUAAGUUAUUUUUGUUAUUGCUUUACAAAUAGAUAAGACUAACAAUUAAUACUUAACAUUAAUAACUAAAUUUGAGAUUACAAUUUUCGGAUUAUCGGGAUACAAUGUAGUACCCUCACUUUUUCGAAAUAAAGUUAGCAUUCUUUAUUGGCGGCUAACAUAUUUUGCUUUUCUAUUUGAUGUAAAAAUAAAAAAGAUAAGCACACUCGGUAUUUGCAUAAUAAUAAUAAUAAUAAUAAUAAUAAUAAUAAUAAUAAUAAUAAUAAUAAUAAUAAUAAUAAUAAUAAUAAUAAUAAUAAUAAUAAUAAUAAUAAUAAUAAUAAUAACGAACAGAAAUAUGUCUUUUAAUUUGUGUAGUCAUUGUAUGCAAUGUUCAAAUUGAAAUAUUUUAAUCGAAAGACCAAAAACAGUAUGACGACCACACGGCUCUUUCAUAGAAAAUUUCGUGAUUCCUCUUUAAGUCUAAAUCAUGGAACAAAAAAAUAUCCAAGUGGAUAACUUUAUAUGGCUAUAAAUUUGAGCCUUGUUCCUGCUGUUUUUGUAUCAAUUUAGCUAACUAUUCUAGAAAGAGAAAGCAGCCAUGGUGUCCACUACCUCAAGUUUUCUACUUCUUGUUCUUGUUUCUUCUUCCUUCUUUGUAAUAGAAGCUCAGAUACCUGCUCCAGUGAAAGGUCUUUCAUGGAAAUUUUAUGAAUCUAGUUGCCCUCAGCUUGAAUCCAUUAUUCGGAAGAGGCUUCAAAAGCAGAUCAAAGAUGAUGUUGGUCAAGCUGCCGGUUUACUUCGCCUUCAUUUCCAUGAUUGCUUUGUUCAGGUAAUUUUAUUUAUUUUUUGAAAUGUUUGUAUUUAUUAAUAUAUAUGGUCAUGAUUAAAAAAAAACUACCUUUUAAUUAGUUAUCUUUGAUAUAGUGAUAUUUAAAAGUAGAUUAAUUUCAUUAUUGGUAAAUAUACAUUAUUGUAGGGAUGUGAUGGUUCGGUUUUGCUAGAUGGUUCAGCAGGAGGGCCAAGCGAACAGACUGCAAUUCCUAAUUUGACCCUAAGAAAGAGAUCAUUCAAGAUUAUUGAUGAUCUUAGGAAAAGGGUUCACGAUGCAUGUGGGAAAGUUGUGUCUUGCUCUGACAUUACAGCUAUUGCUGCUAGGGACUCUGUUGUCUUGGUAAGACCAAAAUUACCAUUUAGUCCAUGCUAAUCUUGCUUUAGAUCAUGUUAGUUUAUUUUUACUAAUCAGAAACUCUUCAUUUAAUUUUCAUAACUAUAUUUAUAUAAUUGAGCAACUCACUCUUAACUACUUCUAUUAUAUGUACCUAUAAGUUAAGUUAGACUCAUUUGUUAACGGCCUAGGAAAUUGAUUCACUCCUCAUUCUCUUGCAUAAAUAAAGCUAGCUAUGGGCCGGAGCUGCAACACGUUCUUUAAAACCUAGUAGCUUUUGUCUAAAUUAUUUAUUUGUUUUAAAGAAUGCAUCGAAUAGUACUAUUAAUUAAUUUGAUAGUAGCUUAAUUUACUAUCAAUAACUUAAUUAAUUACUUAUGAGAUUAUGUUCCUUUCAGACCGGUGGGCCCAACUACAAUGUGCCCUUAGGAAGAAAAGACGGACGGACCUUUGCAACAGAACAAGCAACCUUAGACAACCUUGUUGCACCAUUUGCCAACACUACAGUCGUCCUCAGUCGCCUUGCAACCAAGGGUUUAGACGCCACCGACGCCGUCGCUCUAUCCGGGGCCCACACCAUCGGAAUCAGCCACUGCACUUCCUUCACCGACCGUCUCUUCCCUAACCAAGACCCAACCAUGGACCAAACAUUCGCUAACAACCUUAAAACCAGUUGUCCAACCGCGAACUCCAACAACACUGUCGACAUGGAUAUCCGAACUCCUAAUUUAUUUGAUAACAAAUACUAUGUUGAUCUCAUG